rnacentral:lncRNA from 1 species
UGGGUGAACCUAAUCACAAGUUGCAAAUGCAAGCUGAAUCUCCUCUAAACAAUCGGUCUCGACUAUCACUUGCGGGAAGUUAUGAUCCAGAACAAUUUGAACUGCUGAACGCUUAAUACAAAGCUUGGCGAGGAGGAAAUUUGAAGUGCCCAAAGUUACUACAAAAACCCAAAAUUAAGCUCCGCUUUGUAUGCAUGAGAACUCGACUACAACCACCGGUUUAUCCACUCUAAACAGUAACUCAUAUGAUAGAAACAGUACCUUUUGGAAAUAAAUUUGUUUUAUUAUGUGACCCAUAAAGUAUAGCUUAAAAAUUCAAUCAUUAUAUAAUUUCAUAUGUUAAAUAAUAUUUUUUUCUUCUAUUCAAGAAAUUAAACCAAUGUUACCAUAAACUUCAUUUAAAAAAAAAAGCACAAAGAGGACUUUAUUUUUAAAAAUUUACAAGUCUAUCUGCAACAUUAUAUGGAAGGAUAAAUAGCGACAAGUAUUAAAAUAAUUUGUGAAGGAUAGCCUUUUUUUUAAAUCGAACAUUUUUACUUUUAUGAUUUUUAUCUUUUCUUUCUUCUACACGUUCUCUUUAUUUCAUUUCCCCCCCUUUUUCUCUGAGGCCAUUUUUCUUUUUCUUUUUUUGCUCUGAAUUAUGAAAAUUUGAAUAACUCAUGUUCACGCCAUAAUGGUUGAACUGUUGAAGAGAGUGAAAAACGAGGGAACACGCAACGUUUGCCAUAGGGGAGUACUCACAGCUAUAACGAACUCUUCUCCCACGCAUUUCCCGCCCUAUAUAAAUUCCCUCCUUCGCUUCUUCAACACUCAUUCACAAUUCAAAUUUCCCUCUCUUUCUCUCAUCUCUUUCUUCAGUCGAAUUCAAAUUUUCUCUCCAUCGCCACCAUGCUUGCGACGCUGAAGUAAGCCACAGCUUCUUCAUCCACUCUCUUCUCCGUCUCGCAGUUUCAAUUCUACCUCAGUUUCUGAUCGGCGAUGAAUGACUUUUGUGUAACCUUGCUCUCUUUUUCAGAUCUGAAGACUCCAGCGGCCAGUUGCAGCUCGUUGAACGUGAAGACAUCGACGAUGAAGAUGACCUCUUCGAAGCCAUCGACAAACGUAACUUCUUCUCUCAGCUUCGUUUUCUUCCGUUGCUUUUCUAGAUCUAUUUACCAGAAACCGAUCUCUGUAAUUCGAUCGUAAAUUCUUCGUUCUGAACUGUUUUUGUCUUCAUUUUCAAUUUCCCUGCUAUGCGCUAAGAGAUUUCGUCAGAUGCACUAUUUCACUGAGAAAAUCACUUGCAAUUACGAAAUCUUCAUCCUCACCUGUACUUGUUUACAUUCUCUCUGGUUUUUGUUGAAAUUUUGACUAUACACUCUGUUUCAUCGAAUACCGAGUUAGUUUGCAAAGCACAAUUAUGUCAUCGUUUGAUUAUUUGAAAACGGAAAUUGUAUUGUCAUUGAUUGAUUCACGAGAAUUUGCUUCUUCACAGUGAUUUCUCAAGGCAUUAAUGCCGGAGAUGUGAAGAAGCUUCAGGACGCAGGAAUAUACACCUGCAAUGGCUUGAUGAUGCACACAAAGAAGGUUUAGUUUUAAACACAGAUCUGCUUGACUUAGAAUUUCUCUGCAGUUCUAUGACUAUCUAACUUAAUUUUGCUGCAUGUUCGUAGAACUUGACUGGAAUCAAAGGUCUAUCUGAGGCCAAGGUUGAUAAGAUCUGUGAAGCUGCUGAGAAGAUUGUGGUUAGUGAUCGUAAUAUCUGGUUUCUAAGUUGCUUCAGAAUACUGUUUCAGUUCCUUGUUUAUAAUUCGAUCUUCGUUUCUAUUUUCUCCUUUUGCGAUGCAGAGUUUUGGUUAUAUGACCGGAAGUGAUGCAUUGCUGAAAGUAUGUCGUUUAUUUUGCUUGGAAAUUUUGAAAUAUGGACUAGAUCUGCAUAUCUCUAACAUUUUGGUGGUUUUGUUAAGCGUAAGAGCAUUUGUGAUCCGAAUUAAUUGUAAUCUGUUAAUGCAGAGAAAAUCUGUGAUCCGAAUUACCACUGGAAGCCAAGCUCUUGAUGAAUUGCUUGGAGGUUGAUUUACGCUGAGAUUUUUCUUUUCUUAUGUAGACUUGUGUUUUACUGAUCGUAUGACUCGUUCAUUUUGACUGUGUUAUGCUCCUCUUUGAAUUGCUCUUUCUGAUAUUUGAAAUAGGUGGGAUCGAGACAACUUCGAUUACUGAAGCAUUUGGAGAAUUCCGGUGAGAACAUAGCACAUAUCUGGUUUCAGAAUUCAGAUAAAUUCAAUUCAUACUCAGUUUCUGAAAAAGUUCAUCCUAAUGAUAUGAUUUUUUUGUUGCAGAUCUGGGAAAACACAGCUUGCUCACACUCUCUGUGUUUCCACUCAGGUUUACUUCUAUUAGGUGUUGUUAAUUAGUAUUUGUUAAUUGUCAUUGAACCUGUUCUCUCAAGCUAUCUACUGUAUUAGAGUGGGUGAACAGAAUGUUGAACUUAGAUGAAAUGCUAGUGUUUUUCUGAAGCGCCUUGUAUCUCUUGUAUUGUAUCAUUGUAUGCAUUCAUAGCUUCUCAGGCACUGAAUUUUGUUUAUGCGUUUGUCCUGGCCGCAUUUUCUCGCCCAUUGAUAUAUUUGGUGCAUACUACUAACCUCUGAUGACCCCUGCAGCUGCCAAUUAAUAUGCGGGGAGGCCAUGGAAAAGUUGCAUACAUUGACACAGAAGGAACUUUGUAUGCCUUUUUCCCUUAGCAUUAUGUAACUUCUAAGAACUUUUGGUUGUGAUUGUGCUUUUACUUACUAGUGUUUUGUCUUCAUUCUCAAAUACCUGUAGCCGACCUGACCGUAUUGUCCCCAUAGCUGAGAGAUUCGGCAUGGAUCCUGGGGCUGUUCUGGAUAAUGUAAGUAUUUCCUGGAUCAUUCAGUUGGGUACUGAAGGGAAAUAACUUUGUGCUGAGUUGCUGACUUCUUACCAUUGUCUAUUUGUGACUGCAAGAUUAUCUAUGCUCGUGCUUACACUUAUGAGCAUCAGUACAACCUCCUCCUUGGUUUGGCUGCAAAAAUGUCUGAAGAACCAUUCAGACUUCUGGUGAGAUGUUACUAAAAGAGAACAGAGUUAUCUUCCAUUGCAAUACUAUGAGAUAUGGAGAGUUAACAGAAUUGAUUUAUGGCAGAUUGUAGAUUCAGUGAUUGCUUUGUUUAGGGUGGACUUCUCAGGAAGAGGAGAGCUCGCUGAGCGCCAGGUAUAUGAAUCUGUCAUUUAAAUGCACUUUACAACAGCUUUUUUCCUUUUCUAUAUCAAUUUUUGCUGAUAUGAACAAUAACCAUUGCAGCAAAAACUGGCACAAAUGCUUUCUCGAUUGAUAAAGAUAGCUGAGGAAUUCAAUGUUGCAGUUUACAUGACAAAUCAAGGUAUAAAUUCUGCACUUGUGUAUGAAACUUCCCCUGUGAACUCUUCCCUCUCAAGUCCUAGAUGAUUUUCUCAAUGGUUUUGUUUAGAACAAUAAGCAGAGGUAUUUGAUUUUUAGUUAUGGCUUUUAUAAGACUAAUGCUUAUCUACAAAAAAAAUUUGUUGUUUUGGUUGCAGUCAUCUCUGAUCCAGGAGGUGGAGUAUUUGUGACUGAUCCAAAGAAACCCGCAGGAGGGCAUGUGCUAGCCCAUGCGGCCACAAUAAGGCUGAUGUUUAGGAAAGGGAAAGGGGAGCAGCGCAUUUGCAAAGUGUUUGAUGCCCCAAAUCUGCCAGAGGCUGAAGCAAUAUCCUUUAUCAGACUUUGCCCCUUUAAAAUAAUCUGCUAGUUGAUCAAAAAGACUUUAGUUCACUGAAAGUUUGUGGUUUAUAAUCUGCCUCAGAUCAGUAGUUAUGAAAUUAUGGCUGUUAAAACAACUUGAAAUUAACUUUUACUUAACACUGUAACAACAAAAAAACUUUUACUUAACACUAAAUAACCAGCCACAAGUGAUUUUUUAUGGCUAAAUUACCAUGAAGGCCAAUGAAACCAAUUACACUGCCUUUGAGAAUGAGGAAACCAUUAUCUGUAUUAUCUGCAUGUUUUUUUCCUUGACAAUAGCUACGUGUUCCAGAUAACAGCCGGAGGCAUUGCAGAUGCGAAGGACUGAAAGGUCGUUACCUCCAACUUCUGAGGCCAUUCCACGAUGGAGACUAAUAUUCAUAGUAACUUUAAUCUUCCUUAUAUUUGCUUAUAUUUGUAUUAAGACUUAAGAGUACUGUUGCUUGAAGGUGUUACUACUUACUACAUUCCAGAGAUAUUACGUGAAUAUUUUAUAUCUUUAUAUCUUAUUAUAUACAUUUCCUUCGUUUUUAGCAGUGCAUAUUUUGCAAUUAAAACGUAGCUAAACAUUUCAAAAUCUUUGCUGCCACUGAUUUUCUGGAGAGAUCCCACUUUGAAUAACAGUUAAAGUAGGGCACAUAAUAAACCUAAAUAAAUAAGAUCAAACUAAAGCAGCAAAUAGUCUUUAUUUAGGAUGAAUCAGAACGCAAGUCAAUAUUAUUACAUGAUAGGUGCCAAUAGAGUAUGAGCCUCACUAUUUGCUUGCAAACAACUUUGUCUAGCUUAAUGAAAUCAUAUCACGGUUCAGCCAGUAAACUAAUAUGAUAAGCUAUCCCUUGCUAGAGCCUCUCAACAUUAAUCAUAUGAUGGGAAUAGAUUACUUGAAUUUGAAAAUACAUAAUAAAACCCGUACUUCAAAUAGAGGAGUUGCAAUUAGAUAUUAUUAGACCAGUUAGCAGCACUCCCAACCCUUGGCAUGCCAGUUGUUUCCUUCUUAGCAUCAGCAUCCACCUUGAAAGUGGCACCACACAUCUCUCCAGAACUGUCAACCCUAGGUACAGCCUUCAUCUCAUUUAGUGGAUGCUCAAAACUGCUCAAACCUCCAGAUGUUGAAAAGAAACAUCCUGAAAUGUGAUAAGAUACAUACGUUACCUCUCGCAUGAAACCAUUGUAUGUGCCAAAUAUAUAAAAGCUAGACAAUCUACAGUCAAUUACAGGAGAAGAGGAACUUGAAACGAAAUCGAUGAAUUGCUACGUAAACAAUAAUAAAAAGCCAAACAAUGUCAAUGUCUACAUUUCCCAUUUCCAAGCCAUUCAUUGAACUCCUUAUUCCUUUCUUUCUCUCGAUUCACUCUUCAUAUAUUUUUAAAAGUGAGGUACACUGGGGAUUUAUAUUAUCAAACUACCUUUUAACAGCAAAUCAUAGUAUUAUUACCUUUAGGAAACGGUGCAGAGGAUUUCCCACAGCUUUUAGCAACAAUCUCAGUCUCAUCUGAAAGAACAAGGUUUCCAUCCGCAUCAGUUCCCCAGAAGAAGGGAACACUUCCAUCAUCAUCCUAUAAAGGACCACAAUAUGCAUACCAGGUUAGAGAAGCAAACGAGUGGCAAAUGUACAGCAGAAAAGACUGAGCAAGGAUAACUCACAGAAGAAAUGAAUGCGGUUUUAGAGCCACUGUCAAACAGAACAAAUGUAAAUUUGCCUUGGAAAUCUCUCACAACCUGAGCAGCAGGAUAGGGACCGCGAUCUCUUAGAGUCCUGUAUGCCUCUAUGACAAUGAUCACUUCAUUUGCUGUUUUAUUCAAUCCAUACUGUUGCUUAAGAUGGGCAACAUUCUGAAUGUGGCCUUGAAACAAGCAGAAGAUGUCAUCCACAACCGCAAACAGCCUACAAAGGUAAGAAUGAGGGGAAAAUUCAUAUAAGGAAUCACAUGAAUGCUAAUAAAGUAAGAAAAGAUAAAAUCCACUCUCAUCAUAACAUUAGACCAUUCCUAAAUUUGCCCAAAUUAAGCUCUAAUAAGAUUAAGAAUGACUUUGAAGUGAAGAUCAUAUGUUCAUGAAAAACAAGUAUAGCUUAAAAAUCACUAUAAGCCAUAAGAUCUUCCAUUACAAGUAUGGGGUUUAAAUUGAUAACACAAACUUAUAUGAACAGGUUAAAUUUAUCAGUAUAGUAAUGUAAUAAUCAAGAAACCCUCAAGAAAAUCAAAGGGGUUUUAUCAAACAAGUUUCAUCCUUUUCAAUCUAAUCUCUCUCCUACUCAAAAUGUCUAAGAAGAUCAUCCCUGAGGGAAAAAAAACAAAGUAACCUAGAUCAAGACAUCAACAUAGAGUUAAACAUAAGACACAUAGAAUAGAAUCAUGGAUUAUCAUUUUCUUUUUCAUCUAAUCCAAAAUGACUCAAAAUAUUCAAGAAAAAUAAAACGGGGUAGUGCACCUUGGAAGGAGAGGGUUCUGUUUGUGAAGAGAAUAGGCCAAGGUACCAGAAGUGCCAAGGUUGACGAUGACGGAACCAGGGUAAACAGAGGAGAAGUGCUGCGCCAAAAACCCAUCUUUCAGCGCUGACACGGAGUUUGACUGAGGGCUUUGCAGUGCCUCAGGACCCUUUGCCACCGAUUUGUCGAAAACCGCCAGCAUUUUUCGUGGAUCGUUGAAAUAGAAAGCGAAGAUGAAAGGAACGAAAUAUGGUUUUGCAGUAGUGGAAGAAGAUGCUCAAGAUUGUACUGUGUAGAGAGAGGGUUACAUAUAAAACCUGUGCGAUGGAAACUGAAUUACCCAUCAUACCCCUGCUUUGUUUGGAUAAUUUUCACAAAUUGCCUUUUUUCUAUGGUCAGAUGCGGUUCUAACUUCCAUUUUCUACUAACGACCAUUUUGUUGUCUCCUAGUCUAGGUUUUUUUUCUUCCUUUUUUCGGGUAUAUAUUUGGAUUGUUUGGAUUUUUAUUCUUCAAUUUUAUGUAGUCAUUAAUUUUUUAUAUAAGGUCAUAUCAUAGUUUUUAUAAGAAAAUCAUGUAUUUUAUUCGUCUAAUGGCAUGUGUCAUGAGUUCCUAUAUUAAAUAAAAUGAUUUGAUAUACACAUAUUGUCAUUGAUAUACGAUCGUGACAUGUGUCUUGUAGAGAUUUCAGGAAUUUCGUCAUGGUCCAAUAAUAUUGAUUGAUCACUCCACAAUAGGAAUGAGACAUGACUUUAGGAAGUAAUUGAGGACAGCAAAACGGGAAUGAUUUGAUACUUUUUUAUGAAAUUAAAGCUUAAUGCUAUUGUAUGAUUUUUUUAAUAAGUAAAUUAGUCUUUUCUUAUGGUUCGAAUCCAGGACACUAUACCUUUUAGUCUUUUACCUUUCAUCUCACUCAAUAUUUAUAUUUCAUAGCUCUUACCAUUUGGUUAACCUUUGGGGACAGAUGUAUUAAUUGUAUGGUAGGCUGGUAGCAGAAUAAACCAUGUCCACUUUUUUUAUUCUAGAGGUGAAUCUGAUUUGUUUUGGUUCUAAUGUUCUAUACAUUACGUGAUCAUUGGAUGUCCAUUUCAUAGGAUGAGCUCUGACCCAGUUACAAUAUUCUUCCAAUUACCAACUUUGUUAUACGUGGUAAUGUUAGAACUUAGAAGUUAGAACACAAUUCCACCAUGCCCAUUUUCCAACGCUUGUAAGAGUAAGCAGGAGACACCACACCACAUUAACUAAUUAAUUAACUAAAUACAAACUCAUAUUUGACUAGAGAUUUGACUUUUGAGGCAUUUGUAUUGUACAAUUUUGUUGUUUUCCGAAUAAAAUAUUUUUUUUUCUUUGGAGGACGGUUCCCACUUCUCAAGAUUAAAAUUUAAACGUUUUAUUUAUUUAUUUUACAUUGAAAAGAUAAAUUACACACGUCAAGAAUCGAUCUCUGGACCUCGUCGUACCCAACCCAUAUGUCCCUAAGCUCUCAACACUUGAGCUGUCAUACGUUUUAAAAAAAAUAAAAAGGGAUUUCUUUUGAUCAUGAAAAAGACGGAACUUAGAAUAGAAAUCAAUUCGUGGUCGAAGCUCCAUAUGUAAAUGAAUAAAAACUCAUCAUGUUCAAUGUUGAAACCUCCAUUUUCGAAAAAAAAAAGUCCAAACCUCAUCUACUAAAAGGUGCCCACUAGGGUGGGCAAGUUAUAAACUGGUCCACCGAUAGACCAGAGGGUAACUUUGUCUUUUCCCCUUCCUUUACCCUUUUCCUCUUCCCUUACAUUUCUCUUAGUAAACUCCAGCAGAGGUUGCGCUGUCAGAAACCCUAAACACCAGUUGCAGAAUCAGGGCACAAAUCGUCAAUUGCCACACUCCAACCAUGUCUUCAUCGAGAGAAGCAGACUCGAGCUCAUCUUGCCACAAUCGAAAAGCUCCAACCCAGACCCAGUGGAGAAGCAGAAUCGGAAUCGGAUGAUUGCGUGGCGCCGCGGCCGGACUGGGCGAUCAAGGCGACGAUGAUGGCGUUGGAGAGGGCGAAGACGAAGAGAGGGCUCUAGAGGCAGCCGACGGAGAAUCGGAGAGCGGAAGGGAGGUGAGUGAGGAUCCAUGAGAGAGCGAGGCAGAUCUGGUUGUUCAUAGAUGCUUCAAGUUCAUAGCUUUUUAGUUGUUCAUCUCCUUUCCAUCCCCUUCAGAUCUAGUUAUUUUAAGUUUUAUGGAAUUUAUUUUGUGUUUUCUGUUGUUUCUAGAAUUGAUUUAUGGAAUUAGUUUUUGGGUUGACUGCGUAGCGCGGCUGCCACCAGAUUGAGCCAUGUAUGGAUUUAUUUUGAGGGCUGGAGACCCUUGUGCGUGCUGUUGAUAAAGGUUUUUUUCUUGUUAGUACUGCUUUGGAACUAAACUCUUAUGAUUCAAGCAUAGCAAAGCAGAUACGGGUUUAUCGUCCUCAGGGAUUGUGUGAACAUUGGUUCCACGAGCUAAAUAUUGAUUUGAGCAGAUGAGAAUAUGUUUGAUAAAAUUGUUUUUGUUGUUUUUGAAUAUAAAUGAAAGCAGUAAAAGAAGGUUUACUGAGGUAACAAAGAAGAAAAUGUAUUUAGAUAUGUCGUCACCUAGUCCUUUGAUUGUUUUCAACUCAAACACUUAUGUAAUGGUUCAUUUCACUUAUGAUGCCGAGAGCUAUCCACCUAACUAUCCCUAGCCUAGGUGAAUCUAUCAGUUGGAAUUCCUAGACGUAAUCCCUUACCAUCUAGAAAACCCAAAAGGAAUAAUAUAACUCAAGUUAUCUCUCAAAGACAUUCCCAAUGACCAAUCUAUCCUAAUACAAGGUAUCCUAGGCUUGCGAAUCUCCGUUCUCACCCGGAAACUUCUGUUAGAACUCAGAACCCCACCUGUCACGUGGAAAUUCACUAUUGCUCUUACCUAAGAUAUUCUCACCUUAAGACAAUUGGUUCAGUGAGUGGUUUCUCUCUUGAACCGGACCUGCAUUUAUCUCCCGAUCUCAUGCUAGUACUCGGAAAUCUAACGCAAAUCACUGAUACUUGAAGCACAUAAAGCAAAACUUUAACACACAAAUUGUGACCUAAGACAUAGGUGUUCUACCUUCAUUGAACUAAGCAUACACUAAUUCAUAUCAACCUUCCGAUCUAUUUAUAAAUUAGUGAACUCUUUUGAUUAUCAAUUGAUUGGUUAGAGGCAUGAAGCAUAGAAAGAAACACCAUACAUGAAAGAUUAUCAUUUACAUUUAUGAAAAGAGUUUACAACAAUCAAAGCAUCAAGUUAUAACAUCCUAAAUACAAAAAUAGAAACAACAAGUACAAGGGAUAAGGAAGAAAAGAUGAAACCCAGAAGAACGACGAAUGAUCUACGGCGAUGGAAGAUUUCCCAAGCUUUCCAUCGCCUCCGAGAGGUUGUCACGGUCCUUCGGCGGUCGCCACCACGCUCCGGAGCUUCAAUCUUUCAAUCCUAGACCCAGGGACCCUUCCUCCAUGAAGCCCAGCCUCCUAUGAAUGUUUUAGGGAGGAAAAAAAUGGAAGAGAGAUGGAAGAGAUCCUGAAAAUUUCGGGGUCUGGCCUUUUAUAGAAUUUCUAGCCGACCUUAGUUGGCUCAAGCCAAGCUAAGUUGGCUCGAGCGAACCUUUCUUCAUGCUGAAGUAGUUAAGACCGCCUUCAGUCCGCUCAAGCUAACUCAAGUUAGCUCAAGCGAACUAUGCUGAAAAUCUACUGUAAAGUGGUGGCUUGAGCCAACUUUUGAGCGAACUCUUUCCUUUGCUUAUUUUUCAUCUCUGUUUCCAGUCCGCUCAAGCUAAAUUUGAGCCAACUUUCCUCACUUUAUUUUCUUGCUCAAGAUUCAAGCCUUCUUCAAGUGAUCAUCUUACUCCUACAUCAAAAUUAAGACAUUAAAUAUUAAAAGCAUAAUAUUUACAUUAUUUUUAUGCUAAAACUAAAUAUUUUCUAAGCAAGCUACUUUGAGGAUAAAAUGAUCAACAAUGCAAGCAUACUAGUCAAAUAAGUGUCUAUAAUGAUAAUGAAAAACACGUAAAAAUUGCACUUAUCAGCUGUUAUAAGACCACCUCGCUGUGUCACUUGCUUUUCAACAGAUUUUUAAAACCAUUGGUACUGUAGGCAGAUUUUGAGACCUUAUUUUUGCUGGAAUUGAAGGUAGUGGAUUGCUCUUGUUGUUUCGUGAAUAUUGGUCUUGGAUGAACCAUGAUUUGUGUACUGUGUGGAUCUGAAUUAGGUGGGUUAGUGAGUAUUUAAUAUUCAUUGUAAUACUCUUAGGUUGUGUUUGGAUGGGGGAAUAUUUGAGGGGAAUGUAAUUUUAGAGGGUAUUUCAAAUCCCUUCAAUUAAAAUACCUUGUUUGGAUAUCUAAUGUGAAGAAUUCUCAAAUUACUAGUAAUUAAAUGAGGUAUUUUACUCAAUAGGAUUUAAGGUAAUUGAAAUCACCUCAAAAUAGGAGGAAUUUCAAAUUCUUCAUCUCUCCCGUAACUCUAUCUAAAUUCAGUAAAAAAAAUUAAUCUCGGCUAAAAACCCUAAAAUCGGCCAUAAACUUGAAAGUCAACCAAAAACUCAAAAAUCGGCCCAAAACCCUAAAAAUUGGCCCGACACUCAAAAAAUCGGCAGAAAACAGAAAGAUGGUCCAAAACCCUAAAAAUCGAUCCGACUCUCAAAAAUCGGCUGAAAACUCGAAAGUCAGCACAAAACCCUAAAAAUUUGCCGAUAACCCUAAGAAUCGGCCGAAAACGUGAGAGUCGGCAUGAAACUCAAAAAUCGACCCAAAACCCUAAACUCGGCUAAAAACUCAAAAAUCGGCCGAAAACUCCAAAUUCGGCCGAAAAUUCUAAAAUCGGCCCAAAACCCUAAAAAUCAGCAAAAAACUCAAAAAUCAGCACAAAACCCUAAAAAUCGGCCUGACACACAAAAAUUGACCGAAAACCCAAAAUCGGCCCAUAACCCUAAAAAUUGGCCGAUAACCCUAAGAAUCGGCUGAAAACGUGAAAGUUUGGCCGAAACUCAAAAAUUAACCCAAAACCCUAAAAUCGGCCGAAAACUCAAAAAUCGAAACAAAACCCUAAAUAUCGGCCGAAAACCUGAAAGUUAGCCCAAAACCCUAAAAAUGGGCUCAAUUCUCAAAAAUCGGCUGAAAACUCGAAAUUCGGCACAAACCCUAAAAAUCAGUCGAUUUCGGUCAAUUUUUGAGUGUCGGGCUGAUUUUUAGGGUUUUGUGGCGACUUUUGAGUUUUCAGACGAUUUUUUAGAGUCGGGCAAUUUUUAGGGUUUUCGGCCGAUUUUUGAGUUUCCAGCCGAUUUUUGGGUUUUGGGGAUUUUUGAGUUUCGGGCCGAAUUUCACGUUUUCGGCCGAUUCUUAGGGUUAUCGGCCAAUUUUUAGGAUUAUGGGCCGAUUUUGGGUUUUCGGUCAAUUUUUUAGGGUCGGGGCGAUUUUUAGGGUUUUGUGCCGACUUUUGAGUUUUCGGCCGAUUUUUUCGAGUCGGGCCGAUUUUUAGGGUUUUCGGCCGAUAUUUGAGAGUCAGGUCGAUUUUUAGGGUUAUGGGCCGAUUUUUGAGUUUCGAGUCGACUUUCACGUUUUCGCCCUAUUUUUAGGGAUUUCUUGUCCUUUUAUGGUUUUGGGCCGCUUUUUAGGGUUUUGUGUCGACUUUUGAGUUUUCGGCUGAUUAUUAAUAGUCGGGCCGAUUUUUAGGGUUUUCGACUGAUUUUUAGGUUUUCGGCCGAUUUUUUGGUUUUCGGCCGACUUUCGGUUUUUCAGCCACUUUUUAGGCUUUUAUGUCGACUUUUAAGGUUUCGGUCUAUUUUUGAGAGUCGGGCUAAUUUUUAGGGUUUUCGGCCGAUUAUAUUAAGAUAAAAACAAUUAAAUGAAGGAAAUUCAUUUAUAUUACCCAAACGAAGAAUUUUACAAUUGAGCGAAUUUCAACAUUUUAUCCAAACAAUAAAAUUUGAAAUUCAAGGGAAUUCAAUUGAAUCAUUUGAAUUCCAUAGCAUUUAAAAUCCCUUGAAUUUCUACAAUCCCCCAUCCAAACACAACCUUAGCGUUUUGUUGGAAGGGGUGGAGGGAUGGACAAGAAUUUUGUAUCAGGCUGCAUUCUGUAGCAGUUUAGUUUGCUCUUUUGCCUGUUCUGUUAUGGUUCUCUUUUCACCAUUUCUUGUUAAUAUUUCUCACACUUGUAAAUGGUUAAAGUACUUCUCCUUCAUUCUUUUGCUUACCUAAAAAAAAGAAUUUAUUUUGAGUUUUCUGGAAUCAGUUUAUGGAGAUCGAUGGUUGAAUCUUGAAUGAGGUUUCGCAGCUUUUUACCCUUUUAGGUCUCAGUAAAUCCUAACCAUUGAUCUAAAGAAUAUUCCAAGAUUCUCUAAUCCAAUGGUGUUUAGGGAUGGUCCACCGGUGGACCAGUUUAUAACUUGCUCACCCUAGUGGGCACCUCUAAUAAAUAAUAAAUAAGUUCAAUUACAUUUUGGUCCCUAUAAUUUAAGAAUAUGUAAUUUUAUUUUCUAUUGUUUUAAUUGCUCGCAACAAAGUCUCAAUACUUUCAAAAUUGAACAAUUUGAUUAAAAUGUUAAUUUGUCAUCUCACAACUACCAAAAGAAUUGGCAUAUAUCAUAAUUUUUUGUGUAAACUGAAAUCGUUUUAACAAUGCCAUUAUGUAAAAGAAUAUGACCUACGUCGACUUUUCUUAUUAAUUAUUAGAUGACAAGUUAAGAUCAAGACCAAAUUCGUUCAAUUUUAAAAGUAGAAGAACUUAAUUGAAGUUAUUAAAAAUACAGAGACCCAAAGUGUGAUUAUUAGCUGAUAAGUUAAGGUCAUGACUAAAUUCAUACAGGUUUGUAUAAAAUUUAAUAUUGAGAUUGAUUCACAUUGUUUUAUCCUGCAUCAUGAACUUAAAACCAUAAAUGAAAAUAAAAAAAUUGUCUCAUGCAAAUUAUAGGUUAAUAAGUCUCGUUAUUACAUCUUAAUAUGGGUAUUUACUUGUAUCAACAUUUCGAAAGUCGGCACUUCAUCUAAUCAAUCACAUUCCCGCAGUGAAAAACAUGCUAUAAAUAUCAAUUAAACGAACAUCAAAUCAUGCUACAAGUAGGACUUGUAAUAAUAUCUCAACUUUUAUUUUUAGUUGUAUGAGCUUUACUUUUCUUUACGGCAGUAUACGCAUUAUUAAAUUCAUACAUGACCCAAAAUUAGAGGAGUUCCUCUACAUUUAACCCUAACAAUAUAUAACUACUUCACCUGCUGGGUGGAUACAAUUUACAGGUAAGUGAUCACACAACGAAACAAACUUGAGGGCACAUUCCUACGAAACCUUCCAAUUUUCAUUAGAUUAUAUUUUUUCAGAGCAUCACACGGAACCAUGUCAAAAUAACUGCACACUUGAAUUUCAGGGAGGAGAGUCAACAAAAAUCCCUUUUGUUUCAUGAAAUGACAGCACCUGGCAAAAGAUAAUGUUAUAGCCUCACAAAAUCCUUCCUACUCGUCAUCGUCGUCUUCUUCAGGCGCCUCUUUUAGCCACUACAAACAAGAAUCAAUAAAUGGCUUAUAUAAGAAAGUAAUACAUCUCAUAGGAUAGUUGGAAAAAAAUGCAAGUAUAACCUAAUUUUACAAGUGUGUAAAAAUAGAUAAGAAUACUCACUUGAAUUAAUUUUUGGGCCUGCUUAACAAAAACUUUAUCAUAUUCAUCUGCGUCUUUCUUCUCAUCUUCCCAACUCAAAAUAGCAUCUUCGUCUACAAUAUCUUCUUCAUACAUGAAGUGCAAUAUCUGAAAGCAAUUAAGAAGUUAGGAGGGGGAAAAGAAAAUCAAAUUUAGUGUUAGAAUGUGAAACUAUUCACUCCAAUUAUGUUACAAGGAAUGAAGUAGUAUAGGUAGGUAUAGCAGCAGGAAAAGGUGACGGUUAAAAAUUGUCCAAUCUCAAUAUCACUAAAGAAGUGGUCGCUGCCGACAAAGUUAGAUAAAGAAGAAUGAAAGCACGAGAACAGAAGGGAAGUUUUAUUGUGUGAAAGUCCAUUUCAUAACUUGAAAACGCACCAGCUUUAGACAUAAAAAUAUCUUCAAUAAAUAAUGGAAGAUAUAGACAGCUAAGUUUAUAGCUCAAUGCAUCUUUCUGACAUACAUCCUUACAGAACGAAGACAAAUCAACAACUCGUUAAAAAUAAGCAUACCUUUGUGAACAAUGGAGCAUACUCCUUCGCAGAUUCCAGACACAUUUCUUCAAGUUUUAGUAUUACUUCAAUCUGGAGUGAAAAAAUUGAAACCACGGAGAGAGGGCAGAUGAUUAAGUAAUAGGAAUCAAAUAGGGGCAUCAAGUAAAUGGUUACUGUAUUCGAAACAUUAAUAUUACUGACAACAUUUCAAUUAAAAAAUACCAUGCCAAUGUUAUGUAACAACUCGAGAGUUCAUUAAACGAAAAAAUUGCCUUCAUGUUUCACACAAUCAAAGAUCUUUUGCUUUUCUUUCUCAGAUGCGUGAAACCACCGCAAUGUCACAAUCAGAUCAAGCAUUGACCAAGCUAAAAGAAUGCUCGGCACUGCAUAUGUAUACAGCAAAACACAGCACUGCAUAUGUAUGCAGCAAAAACACAGCACUGCGCAUUUAAUUUUGUGAAAUUGUCUUUUCAUUAAGCCUUAAAAAUGGACAUCAGAUGAUAAUUAAACCAUUGAAAAAAAAAUGUAGGAUAGAUUCUCCAAAAAACUACAGGAAUGAACGUGAAUAAUUUCAACACGUAAGAAAGAAUUGACAGCCGCACCUGCUCAUCCAUAUCACUCAGAUAGGGUGCAAGAACAUUUUUCCAUUGUUUAAGUACAUCCUGAACAUUCUUCAUCAAGCUAUCUGAAAAAUCAUCCCAGACAUCAUAAAAAGCAUUAAGCAAGCAUAAGAAAUACCAAAAAAGAAAAAGAAUAACAUAUCUACAAACUGAUAAAAAAUAAAAUCAGAUGAAUCAGAACUACCUAACAUUACCCCAGUAGAAGGAGUCAGACACGUGGAUCAACCAACACCAUUAGAAUCAAUCAAAAACCAAAUUUUCAGUAAAACCAUCUAGAGCAAAUUCUUUUCAAUUAUUCUAAUGUUUUAUUAAGUCUUCCUCUACCCCUUUUAAUUGCACUGCCUUCCACUUGACUUGUCACUUUUCUCACUAGAGCCUCCAACUGACUCAUUUAUCUCAUUCUGAAUAUUUAAUUGUUUGGUAUCUCUGACAAGUUUUUCGGGACACCAAGUUUUCCAAAUAGGUUUGUAGUUCUAAACUAAGUUAUGGAAGAAUCUUUUAUCAAAUAAUAAGAAAGGAAUGGCUAAUAAAAAAGGCAUGGAAAAUAAUAAUAAGAUCAGGUAGCCAUAGAGAGAAGGAAUAAGCUUACCAGCUGAACUAUGGGGCAUGUCUAUAGCAUGUUUCAUCAUUGCAUAAAAUACAGCUCCAGCGCAAUCAGCAGUUACCUUAUUGUAUGACAACCUAACACAUAAAUAAAGGCCAUGUUUCUAUUAAUACAGCCCAGUAAACACAUUAAAAAGUGUGAUCAUAUAAAAAUAAUAAAAACAUAUGUUGAGAACACCAAUGUCGAUAAAUUGCAGUAAGAAUACUUCUAAACACAUCCUAUGAAGAUACCAUAGCUUCUAGACAUAAUGGAAUGCAGAUUCUUUACAUUUUUUAUUAAGAGCAGUUGUAAGUUUGGAUGAUCUAGAAAAAGCAGAAUUCCCGAUCUCAUUUCAAGGAUAUCCUAUAAUUUGAUUGCUAUCCUCAGCUUUUUAGACAACUCAAGAAACUCUGUUACACCAAUAAUUGUCUGCCUCCUUCAUUUCCAAUUUGUUAAUAAACAUCAGCAUCAAAACAACUGAAUGCAUGCUUGAAUAUGGGAGGGCAUGUUAAAUUAACGGCUUAUAGAGUGGAUUUACUAAUGGAACACAAUAUAGGUAGAUGUAAGAGAACAGACGAAAAAGGUAAAAAAGGAAGUUGAACAUGAAAACUGAAGGUAACUCAAAUGCUCUGCUCUAUAAUUAGUAUGAGAUGCCACCAUUAGAAAUGUGAAACAACAUCUAUGCACACGUUCACCACAUCCAAAAGUAGAUCUGAGAUCCAAUAUACAGACCGACACCAGAACUCUCUCUCCCUCUCUCUCUCUCUGUGUGUGUGCGUGGUUGUAAUUUGAUGCUUGAAAAUCGCAAGAAACGGAAUAGGCCUCCUACAGUCUACAUACAACUUCAAACAAUCCACAUAAAUAAAUUACAUACUUCAAGGAGUUGACUUCUAAGAUCAAAUGGUUAUCUUGUAUGUUUUCAUCCACACCCCUGAGAAAAGUUGCUUCAACCUGCAAAUGAUAGGAUAUUUAAAAAUCUGAUAUCCACAAAGUGUAAGUGACAUAAGUUUUACAGGUUAAAAUUCACACCUCUUUAUCAAAAUCAUCUCUAGAAUCGUCAUUAUCAUCAUCAUCUGAAUCACUAGAAUCAGGUUUCAGCUCCCCAGAAGGUGGGAGAAUGGUGUCAUCAUGUGUUAACUCCAAAUCAUCUUCAAUAGCUUUCAGUGCUUCCAAAAUUUUAUCUGCAGUAAUAGGCGCUACUGAAUGCCUCCACUCUUCUUCAUGGCCUCCUUCACAUUUUGGCCAAACAUAACCAGCCCCACCCAUACCUAGCUGAUCAAUGAAACAAAUUGAAAUGAGAAACAUUAAAUUCAUUAUAGAAUGAAAUUUUUAUCAACCAAAUCUUAGCUUCACAGAUUAAGAAUCUCAAAUUCCUAAUUAGGUUAAAUGUCUAUAAUUAUUUUGGUACAAGAUGAGACUGGAGCCAAAAAAGAAAGCUAGAUUAGUGUUAGUGUUCUGUACUAGACGAUUAGGAUGUACAAGCUUAUAGAAGUUUGUAGUGUAUGGAGUUCAGACAUGUGUUAAAACUGGCAUAUGUAUCCAUUCUAUUCUAGCUGUAAGCCUGUGACCAAUUCUGUUGUAAAAUAAAUGGACAACUCAUUGUUAGAUUAGACAAUUUAUGUUAUUGGGCUGGUUUCUGUUAGUUGAGGGAGUUCAAGGGAUUGUCAGUAAUUAAAUCUCUAACAAAAUGGGAGGAUAGGAAAUAGAAAAGAAAGAAGAUAAGGCAUCAUUCUGGAUAGUUGGAGAUUUGUCUGCGUGGGAGAUCUCACGCUUUAGAAAUCCUGAGAUAAACCAUAACCAAAUUCGGAUAGCUUGUAUUCAUCCUUUCUAAUGUUCAAGGGCUAGGGAAGGUUUCAUCAACCAAAUUCUAUCUUUUCUUUCAUUUUCCCCCUAAUAUCUGAACAACAACCAAUCAACUAAUUACAAACAAUCCCUAGAACUCCCUCAACUUGCAUAAACUAGCCCAAUAACAAAAAUGAGCCCAUCGGGCUUACCGAACACCCAACGACAAAGCAGCUACAUCUAACUAAUCAAUAACUUGCAAUAUAUAUACUCUACCACACAUGUAAUCAUUGUAACUUUUCUAUCAGAGUUAAGAAUGAACAGUAUAGCUAUUCUCAGAGAUUCUCCUAUUAACUUUCUCACACCUUGUAUCUCCAAUGCCCAACCAUUCUGCAGUAACAGACCUAACUGACCUUUCUUUUCCGGGUUCCUAACACAAUUUCAUUAAAAAUCACUUGCAUCUAAACUUAAUCUUCAUGAUCUGCCUACAAAUAAGUUGAGACAUACUCAACACAAUGGUGAAAAUUAUAAAGUGAAAAGUUCUGCAAAACAAACCUCUGAAGGAGGGCUAAAAUGUGUAUCCAAUUCCUGGUAAGCAAUUUCUACAUCUGACUUAUCCACUGUACUGGUGAUAGCUGCAAACAUUAAAAUGGUAAUUGGAAGGUAUAAUAUAUGCAUUUGACCUAUCAAUACAUAGCAUAAAGAAAAAGGAAUUUGCUUAUAACUUAAUAUAGAAGCUCCAGUAAGAAUAAUUGACCAAAUGGAGAAUAACCCAAUAAUUCAGUGAAGUAUUCUUUAAGGACCUAAAAUUUGUAUUAUAAAUCAAUUACAGAAUCAAACUUUUACUGUUACCAACUAAUGGCUUCAAGAUUACUAAAACAUAUUUUAUUGAAAAAUGGAAGACAAAAAUAUCCCACAUGACAAACAAAAAUAACUUAUAAUAUAGACAGAAUACACGGCAUAGGCAUUUGAGCCUUUCACUAAUUAUUUAUAAAUAAAUACUUUUCAAAAAGUUUAGUUCUUCUACAGCAAAGAAGACUAAGAAAAACUUAAUUAAACCACUCAAAAGGAUUUAAAUCUUUACAAUCCCUCCAAAGAAUAAGAUUUUGAUAAAGUAUAAUAACAUUGAUUGAUCCAUGUAGCUGGCACACAAAAAGUAAUUUAUAUACAAGAUUACUGGAAUUACAUAAAUCAAGCCACUCCUAACUAAAACAGCUAAUCGAGCUCAAAAUACUCAUUUUAAGAAUUAGACACACUCACUCAAGAAAAUUGAAUUCUAUGGAAAUAAAUUAUCAGUGGCGUCAGUGUUGCUUUUGGGUCGAAACAACUGUCUCACUGGUUUUGUUAGUUAUGAGAAAUAUUUUAUACUCUAGCAUUAGUAAAUUAAAUAAUAGGAGAAUAAAAGAUGAGGGUAUGUAUCUCCAGGGCACAGUUGAAAGUUAAAUGAAAAUUCAGCAAUACCACUAGCACUAUCAGCAUAUUCGAGCUCCUCAUCACUAUCUUCCUCAAUUGGCUGCUGUAAUAGAGAUACUUUUGAAUAAGGAGGAACAACAAACCCCUGCCCAACUACAACCUAGAAGCAAAAAAAUUAUGAUUGCAUCAAAAGCUGUAUACAUCAUGAAUAAUGGGCAAAUUCCAUCUAGCAAUGAAUAACUAAAAAAGUCUCUGUAUUCCAAUCUUUGCAAUGGAAAGAGUAACUGAAAUAAACAGGAAGUCAACUGAACUUAACCCAGUUCUUUUCUUAGAUUCAUGCAUGGUCAUAAAAAGUGUAAAUAAAGAAACAGCAUAAGAAAAAACAUUAUAGAAAAUAAUAGUUAAUGUUAUAAUACUAUAAUAGAGAAUAAAAAAAAAAACUGCUUCAAUUAUUCUUGAGUAUCAACUAAAGCCUUUAGUUUAAAAGAUCUUAAUACUUAAAGAAGUCCAAACAUAUGAGAAACCAUAAGAAUGAAAGUAUGGCUCCUGAAAUGGAAUGGUAUAAGGACACGAACCUUGAAAGACAAAACAACACCAGGUUCCAGAACAGCUCCCGACUUCAUAGUCGCUCCAUCACAUACAAUUGCAUGCCAAAGUUUGCAGCCAUCUUCUAUGGUGACGUUAUCCCAUAUAUAGCAUCCCUCUAUGAGUACAUCUGACCCAAUUUUACAUCCUUCUCCAAUAAUAGAAUUUGAAAUUUUAGUGUUAUACCCAAUUUUGGUGCCAGAUCCUAUAGCUGUGGACGGGCCAAUAACAGCAGAUUGUGACUGAGAUAUUUCUGAAAGAACAAAAGAAUUUAUUAAAACAGAAUAUAUUAAUAAAUGAAAAUUAAGAAAAUCAGUAAAAAAUAGUUUGGACUUUGGACUCGAGAAUCUAAAAGCAAGGGUCAUAAUAGGAUAAUUACUUAUUCAGAAAGUUUAAUCUCAUAGGAGAUGAAUAACCAAGUACAUUACACGAAGAAACAAACAUAGUCAUUGAUUGAAACUAAACCAAUAUAUGAGUAUUGAGUACACCAUAUUAUCAUCCAAGGUUUAAAACUCUUCACCAGCACACCAUUCAACACUAAACUUUACAUCCAUACCUGAAGCACGAUACAUUCCUUGUCGUUCAAGUUUAGUAGCUGUCUUGCCAAAAUUCAUAACAUCUGGUACAAAUGGAUAUGUCCAUCUAUGAAUUAUAUCCUUGCUGACAGUGUCGUAACUUCGGAAAUUAUCAAUCCUUGCAGCAUAGUCUGAGUGGAUUUCAUGAACAAAGAUUUUGUACCCCAUUAUCUGAAAGAAAUAUAUGGUAAUGUUAAAGAGGUGUAUACAGAAUGCUAAAAUCAAGAGAAUCUGACCCAUAGAAGAAUCUUUUUUUUUUGAAAUACCCAUAGAAGAAUCUAUUAGCAACCUAAAUGGUGAGGUAGUAUCCUAAAAUAACUUGAAGGCUUGUGCAAGAAAUGCACAAUACUUUCUCAUAGUUCCAAUGCAUCAUGACAAGAAACUUUUGGAAAAGUGACCCAAUACUGAAGUAGUUUACUAUUAUAGUUUCAACACAUGCAAACAUGUGAUGUGAUCAAUACAAAAUAGCACCUAUGGUUAUAUGUGUAACGUGUUCCUCAAAUAAGGCACUACUGAAGGAAUGUUGAAGGUCUGUAUGAGAUUAAAGUUAGCUCUUUUGUUGCAGUAAAGGAACAAUUCAUGAGGAUGAGCUAUUUCCUUCCGUUACAAACUUGAGGAAUAAUUCCCAAAAGAAUAGCAUACACUAGAGUACUGAAACAACAAUGUAUGUCAAUUUAGCAUGUGGAAGAGAAAUUACAUCAUCAACAAGCAAUCCCUUGACAAAAUGACGCCGUAGAUGUUGGUAGUCAAAAUUGUCCGUAAAUAGGCUAAGGACUUCCGGCGAGCAUAUGUCAAUGUAACAAUCCUGCAGAAAGGAAAUUAUCGACCUAAUGAACUCCGAAAGUAUAAUAAGGUUGCAUAGGCCACAAGGAUAUGACCUAACAAAGUAGUAAUGAAUAACAAAGAAACAAUAAGAACAGUAAAUAGUUCACAAAACAACUAAUGAUAAAAUUAGAUUGGUAACACAUCAUUGAUUGAGCGUCUCUUGGCACACAGACCAAUCAUGAGGUAAGCAUCACUGACUAGGAAAUAUAUUAAGUUAAAGAUUCUACCUGCUUGUCAUGGUGCAGAGAGAGGGAAGGAUUAUCAACAAGCAAUGACUUAUCAAGAUGUAAAGUGCUUUUUGAAUAGUCUGCCUUAUCCUCAUAAUACAAAAGCUGCUUGGUAUCAGGAUCAAUGGCCAUAAAAAUUUCAUCAGUACCAAGUCGAGACUGAUGGAUAGCUUGAUUAGGUUUUGACCGUUUGAUGACCAUGGUCAUUACAGCGUUACUAUCUUUCUUCUUCCUUUCUUUAUGUUCUAGAAGUGCCUGAGUAAGUGACAUGUUGCUUACAGUAUCUCCACUGAUCAGGACAAAGUCUCCAUGUAUCUUGAAAACAACAUUAUCAUAAAGUGUUACUACUACACAUACAAAACCUGGUCCCAAUAAAUUACUCAAAGUGUGAAAGAAGACUAUGUUAACAAAAUCACCACUCAGACAGUAAUAACAAGAUCAUCAUGUGUGAUGUGUGAAGUACUACACAUUUUUUAAUAAUCCACUACAGAGAAAUGCUACCAACAUAUUUUGAACACACUCUUCAACACAUUCACUACGAUUGGCUCAUUUUUUACAAAGUCAACAUGUUUCUUUAUAAGUUAUCAGUUUACCAGACAAAUUGUGUAACAUUACAAAAAAAUAGACAAAUCAUAGAGACAUGUUCAAAAGAGUGCAUUGCCGGCAAUCUCGGUAUCAAAUCACAAAACACAAUUACAAUGGACUGGCAGUGGCAGUGGCAAUUCCUAAAAAGAAGCUAUAAAAACAGAGCAUGCAGAACUUGUCAUCAUAGAUAGAGCCAUGUUAGAAGACAAACCACAUUGCGCUCAUAGAUCACGCGGAGCGCGUCUCCAGCGCUCACAGAAUUCUGCGACUCGAUAGUGGUCACGGUGAAAUUCGGUUGCGAUAACCACUCGGAUUUGUCCAAAUAUUGAAUCACUUGCUUGGCAUGAGCACAGCAGAAAACGAAAACCUCUUCAACACCAGCGGAUUCGAGCCAGGUCAAGGUGUAAUUGAUCAUCGGAACAUUCACGAGUGGCAAUAACACCUACAAUAGCAGGAAAAACAAAACUGCGUUACAUUGCGUGAUUCAACAGCAAAUGCAUUGAAUCCAAAGAGGGAGAGGGAGAAAAAGUACCUUGGGGCGUUCAAGCGUGAUAGGUCUGAACUUGGUGGUGAAGCUAUCAGCCAAGAGAAUGGCCUGCCAUGGAACCCUAACCAAAUCGUCAGGGUCCUCUGAAACCCUAGCGGAGCUUUUCUUUGGUGCACCCAUUUUGUUCGUUACACGAAGCACGCACGAUUAACUGCUAUCCGCAACGAUCAGAAGCGAUGCUACUCUGACUACUUAGUUUGAUUUUCGCCUUCUCUUCCGUCGCAGACAGGUAACUGCGGAGGAGGAAGAAGACGCAUGGUGUUUUGUAUUAAUGAUUCCGAACAAUAGAAAAAUUAGGUAGAGAACGGUGCGUUGUGACGGCACAGGCGAAAAACGGAAGAGAAACGCACCUGUGUGACGGCGGGUGGCGGUGGUUGCGGCGGAGGGGCGAGGGUACCGGCGGUGUGAACUGUGAAGCUGCUUACGCUGAAACAAAGCUAGGGAGCUAGUGCUUGAGCUUGAGACAAUGAAGCUUUUUUCCUUUUUCUUUUUUUUCUUUAUGAAAAUGAAAUCUUAUAAAACCAUAUCAAUUUUCCAAUGUUUAAUAUUUAUAGUAAUAAAUUAGUCUUAUAUUAGAAUAAUUAAGGCUAUUUAAAUUAUCGGUUAUAUUUUUUGGCCCUCGUAUGAUAGCUCAAGUGGUAGGAGCUAGGGGGACAUAUGAGUUGGGAUCCAGGGAUCGAUUCCUGCACGAGUGUAAUUUAUCUUUCUGAUGUACCCACUAGACCUCUCUCACCCAAUCCACAUGUCUCAUAUCUUAAGGGUAUUGUUUAGUUUUGUUAUCUAAUAAGAAAUUAUCAUGAGUCUAGUUAUUACUAUAAAUUUGAAUAAGUAUUUUAUCUUUUAAUCAAUUGAUUGUUCGGAAUUCUUUCAAUUUCAACACAAACAACAAAACUUGAAGAGGUUUUAGGUGACCAGAAUGAGGAGCAAGAGAAAAAAGGGGCGUUUCGGUCAAGCUUGUGUUAGCACAGUUUUUUUUUGGGUUAAAUGUGUUCACCGUCCCUGAACUUUGAGCUAGAUCUGGUUUACGUCCCUCGUCGGAAAAUCUUCCUAGCGCCAUCCUCAAACUCAAUUGUUUGUACGGAAACCGUCCUUGCCGUCGAUGAAACUCCGGCCGCCGUGUCCAGGUGUCACUUUGGAGCUGACGUGUAAUUUUUUUUAAAAUAAAAUAAGAAAUAACAUAAUUGAUUUUUAGCUAACCCCAAAUCUUUCCUAAUUUAAUUUCUAAACCUUAAAACUAAAACUAAAACUUUUUUUUUGGGUCCUUUUUAGUUUUUCAUCUAUACUAAAACUAACACUAACAGUAAAUAAAAGAACGGUUAUAAAAAAAAAAAUUAAAUAUGAAAGAAUGUGCUUUGUGAAAAAUCAAAGCACAAAAUCAGAUCUGGGUUUCUCUUUUCUUUCUGUUUUCCUUGUCCAUCAAUGGCAGACUACGACACCCACCACCACCAACAGCGCCUCCAGUGCUGCCACGACGCCACUGUUGGAUCCCCAUCACGCUCCUCUCCCUCGCCCACCUCAUCUUCUACGUCUCAGUCGCACAGACGUUCCGCUCCAUCAACGACGUCAAGGACCAGCGCCACUGCCACAAGCUUACUCUAGGCUUGGCCACCGAGAAGCUCCGGGAGAUGAGGAUGCGCCUCAGCAGCGUUGCCGCCGGUGAUCUGCCACACCUUCAUCCCCCUUUCUCUCCUCUCUCCGGCCACUUCCAUUCCCAUGUUGUUUUGUUGCCACAAAACCCUCUCUCCCUCAUCAAACCCAAACCCGACAAUUAAAGAUCGCACCUUUCCUUCUCCGCCGGCGAAGAAGAACGCAGAACCGGUGGCAGCGCUGGAGAUUCUGGUGCUGGAGAUUGGGGGUUUUAGGGGUUUUGGUGAACAGGUGGAGAUUUAAGGUUUCUGCAGAUCCCCAAUCCCCGACGCCGGAGCGAAGACUCCUCCUCCUCCACUGCAUCUCAUCUUAUAUCACGAAUCUGGGUUUGUAAGCAUUUUUCAGCGAGGAUUCUAGCGUACAGGUUGUGGUUCCCUCUCACCAGAGCUAAGGAAUCUAGUGUCCAGGUUGUAUUCUUAGGACUUUAGUAAUUUUUCAAUUUAAAAUUACCAAACCGUGAUGAAAUUGGGUUUGUCUGUAAAGCCAUUUGAUUGUUAGUAUAACCAUUGUAAUAUCGUUUUAUUCUCUGGUGUGUUCAUGUUUUGAAUUUUUUAUGUAGUUCACUAUCUUCUCACGCUUCAAAUUUUUGGGUUUUUCUUAGAUGGAGGUUCUAGGAAAAAUUGGAGAAGAUGAAGAAGUGAUGAACAUAAUGAAAAACCCAGAAAUCGAACUAAAGGAAGAACCCUAAUUUAUGGGUUGGGUCUGAAGGAGGAAGAUGAUGGAGAGGGUUUUGAUUUAGGGUUAGUUUUAGUUUAGAGUUUAGAAAUUAAAUUAGGAAUGUUCGGGGGGCUUAAUUACAAAUAAAAAUAUUUAGUUUUUUUUAAAUUAACACGUCAUUUCAUUAAAUGACGUGGCAUGGCCACAUAGGACGGUUGGGUACGGUGGCCGGAGGCAAAUCGCCGGCAAGGACGGUUUCCAAACAAAAAAGGUAGUCUGAGGGUGGCGCUAGGAAGAUUUUCCGGCGAGGGACGGAAACCAGAUCUCGUUCAAAGUUCAGGGACGGUGAACACAUUUAACCCUUUUUUUUUUCUAAAAAGAAACACUAGUCAACCAACACCAUUUUGUUCGGUUUUCGCGUGUGUUCCGUUACAACAUUGGUCCACGUGGGACUAAUGAUUUCCAAGACUGGUUCAAUGGAUGAAACUCACUUGAAGAAUUGGUUGAACAUGGGUUUACGUUGGUGCAUCAGCUUCAAUCAGGCAUUAGUGAGUCCUAAUGGUGUUGGUGCAACAAUUUUAAAGUGACUUAAAUAGGUUAAGUCGAAAUGAGUUGUAAGGUCAUUAAUCUCAAGUCAUCCUUCCACACAUAGCACAUUAGCAAAGUUAUUUGACAAAUUAAAGUUACAGAUUUAAAACGUUAUUUUUAUGCGGAGUGACUAAAAUCAAGCUCGCUUACAAAAUUAGAGACUAAUUUAAUCAUUAACCAGUUCAAAUCUGACUAUGACAAAUUGAUUAAUUUUAAUUGGAUGGUUGUGUAAAAUAAUUCACACUAAUUAAUUAACUCAACCCUUUAAAACAAUAAUUAACUCAACACUUAGGUAUGUAAUAACCAAAAUAAAUAUGAAUGUGCAUAUAUAAUAACUAAUACUCACGCAUAUUUGCACCAAUUAUUGAUUAAUUUACUAAAUAAAAUUUAUUAGGGCAUAAUGAUAUUUAAUUAUCCAUAUGACACAUGAUAUUCAAAAUCAAGGGUCUUAAUAUACGCAACGGAAUUCACAAUCACAACUUCGUCCUCAUCUUGAGCACGUCGUCUCCUUUCUCCCACGCACCAACAUUCACGCCUCCAUUGAACUCUCUGUCACGAUAGGUUCAACCUCUGCAAGUUCGACCAAAACGAUAACGAGUCUAGGCUGAGCAUGUUGGAGAGAUCAACGACAAAUCCAAUAUGAACAUACACAGGGCCGCCGUGUAGGGGGCUAGGAAAAGUAGGCAAUUGCCUAAGGCCCCCUAGAAUAUAUAAGGCCUCAAAAAUAUUUUGUAUGUAUAUACUAUAUAAGAUAUAUUAUUGAGACUUGAUAGAGUAAUGAAACAAUAAAAAAUUAUGCAACAUUAAUCGUAACAUGGAUAAUGUAAUGUAAGAACUUAAAAGUUCAACGUAGAAUGUGCAACUUUGGUAUUAUUAGUAGUAUUAUUUUGUAUUGGCAAAUUUACAUUUUUCCGAAAAAUUAAUAAAUAAAAUAGUUGUUGUUUAUACAUUUCGAAAACUAAAAAUAUUAAAUUGUGUCACUCAUAACAUUUAGAUUUUUAAUCACUUAUAUAUAUAUAAUAUAGUAUUAUAUAAGUUUGCUCUAGCUUCACUCGUUAUUUCUUCUCUAAAAAAUGAUUUUUUUUUCAUCACUUUAACAUUUUCGCCUUAGGCCCCAAAAUCUCUCUACACGGCCCUGAACAUACAUUAUGAUGCCACUAAGAUAAGAUUUCACCAUUGUUAGAUCUCAUUGUCAUAGCCCACCCUUAGCUGGGGCAGAGCCGGGCAAUAAUGAAGACAAAGCGGAUAGUGUGGCAGUGAUCAACAACGAUGAGGGUGAGAGGUGAAUCUCACUAUGAAAUUAACACAUUAAUUAAUGAUUAAUUUGAUUGUCAUUAUUAAAAAAAAUCAAAGGUCAAUAUUGUGUAUAGCAAAGCAUGGAGUUUCUUAAAUCUCAACCCCAAAUUUUCAAUCAAAUGACUAUUACUCCUUACCUUUUUUUUUUUUUGAUAAGCACUCCUUACCUUACUCUCCAAGGUGAAUCUCACUAUGGUGACUAGUAUGUCAUGGCUGUUUACACAAGACAUAAUGAUUUACAAAUGAAUUCCCCACUGCAGAUGCCAAGAUAAUGAUGAAAACAACGAAGCAUGUUUAACAACAAAUUCUCAAAUAACCAUCUUCUGUUCCAACCAGAAACAAUCGAGAGAAUGGUAGUAUACUAAUGCUUGAUAAUGCUGACAAGCUUCUCAUUCCAUUAUCAGAAACGUAGAGUUUCUGGGGGAUAAUGUGAUGCUGCCCAUCCUGUGUCAUGGAACCACAUAAUCAUUAUAAAAUCAUCUAUAUGAACAAACAAAGGGGGAAAAUCACAUCAAGCAACAACGAUAUAACUAAAGCAAGAAUGAAUGGAGUUAUUUUGACAACUAAAUUAGGUGCUAGACAAGCUAAAUCAACAGACCCUUCCUAAUUCCUAUCAUCAUCAUGCAAAUAUGAGCCUUAGAGAAAGAGAAGCGUACUGUUUCACUGGCACAUUUAGACAAGGAAAGAAGCCCGAUCCUAUUUCGAGAAAUUGAAAUAACAUCUUGGCCCCAAAUGCAGAAAUUGGAUAUGCCAUCAGAAUGACCUCUGAAAAUAAUGGGCUGCAAUGGCAAAUUCCUGCAAGGAUAAUAAAAAUAAUGUUGUUAAACAAAGCUUAUCACUUUCAUUAGGUUUUUUUUUCAGGAAUAUACUUUCAAAUAAACAAAUGCAUUACACCAAGCAGACUGUGUAUGAAACGUAUAACCACAGAAACAAGGCAAGGGAAGUCCAAAACUGACAUGAGAAUGAAUAAAGAACAAUUUAAUGUUAGUCAAAUAAGAUCUUUUGCUAAUUUUGGUCAUCAUAAAAUUCUUUAUUUCCUGGAGUGAAAUUAUAUACACAUUUUUAUAAUGGAGUUUGGUAAUAACUAGUAGGUGCAUAUGCCAUAAGGGGUGUCAUCCUUCAAACUUCAAUUGACCAUUUGCUUUACCUACUAACAACUUUCAUGUGUCCAAAUAUACAAAUUUUGAUCUCUAAUAGAAGAAGCUUAAAAGAGACAGCUCACAGCUUAGAAUGGUCCAAAACACCUAAGGAAUUUAAGAUUCAUGGGGUCAUAGCUCUUACAUUCUUAAGUCCCAGACUCUUAAAGUUCUGUCCAGAGAGCUGGAAAUGAGCAGAUGCUCGUCAUGUGAUGCCAACUGUAAACAAUGACAUUGUUGAAACUGUUGGAAAAUAUAUCAGUAUUUAUUGUUUUCCAGUCAAUUCUAGAGAUUCUAUUAUUGACUUUUUUAUAUGUAAUAAUUUUCUCCUUAAUUCAAGGAGUAGUAAUUCUCUCCUUAAUUCAAGGAGUAAUAAUUGUAUCCUCUCUAUAAAUACCAGCCUUUGGCUGAGGAAUAAAAUAGAACAGCAUUUACCUAUUAUUUUUCAAUAUGGUAUCAAGAGCCCUAGGUUGGGACUUCUACUGUAGAGCUUUCCACAGCUAGUCUGAUCAACCUAUUUCCUUCCCCGACCCGUUUCACAUACCCAUUUAGCCUCCUAUGGCAGGUCGCAAUAGGUGGCCCUCCAUAGCAGAGGCCUACACCGGAUCCACAGCCAACCACGGCGAACAAUCACUUGACUCGGGCGUCAACAGCGGUGAUGGCGGUGGCAAAGGAGACGGCGGUGGCCGCGGUAAUGGUGGUGGUCGUGGAGAUGGCACACCAAAGUUCGUCACAAACAGUGGCGGUAAUGACGGCAACAAUGAAAACAGAAACAACAGUGUUUAUGGUGACAGUAAUGUCAAUAUAGGUUGCAAUGACCAAGAGGGUUCCUCAUACUCCCUCAAGGUCAAUAUUCCUAAGAUGAAUGGGAAGAACUAUAAUGAAUGGGCCCAAACCGUUCGCUUGGUAUUGGAUAGCAAAGGGAAGCUUGGUUUUUUAACAGGAGCAGUAGCUGAACCAACAAGCGGAGACCCUCGUUACAAACAAUGGAAAUCUGAAAACUCCUUGAUUAUUGCUUGGUUGGUAAGCUCUAUGGAAACUGGAAUAGGUAAGCCUUACAUGUUUUUGCCUUCUGCAAAGGAUGUGUGGGAAGCUGUUAAGGAAACAUACUCUGAUAUUCAAAACUCCUCCCAAAUUUUUGGUUUAAAAUCAAAGUUAUGGCAGGCUAAACAAGGUGACAGGAGUGUAACUGCUUAUUACAAUGAGUUGUUGACCCUGUGGCAAGAAUUAGAUCUCUGUUAUGAUGACAAUUGGAGGUGUACAGAAGAUAGUGUUCUGUUUCUCAAGAGGCAAGAAAAUGAUCGUGUCUUCAUGUUUCUUGCUGGGCUAAAUACAGACCUUGAUGAGGUAAGGGGUCGAGUUUUAGGAAAAAUACCAUUGCCAACUCUUCGUGAAACUUUUGCAGAAAUCAGAAGGGAGGAGGCACGACAAGGAAUUAUGAUGGGCAAGACACCACGAAGUUCUGAAUCUGAAGGCUCUGCUCUGGCUACUAGGAACCUCGGCGAGGGAAAAAGGUCAGAAAAAGUUCCUUGGUGCGAUCACUGCAAGCGCGAAUGGCACACACGUGAAAAUUGUUGGAAGCUCAUAGGAAAACCUCCUAGCUGGAAGAAGAAAGGUCGUCGUGCAUUUCAAGCAAGUAAUUCUGAUCAAGGGCAGCAAUCCUCUUCGACUCAGCUUCCGCUCACUACGGAACAACUAGACAAACUGCUCAAACUCCUCGAGUCUUCAACCCCUUCUUGCUCUAUAGCAACAAAAGGUAAUUCUGCAUGUCUUAGUGUCAGUCCCAGUCAUACUUGGAUAUUAGAUUCAGGUGCCUCGGAUCACAUGACAAGUGAAUCCACCUUGUUUUCUUCAUAUAGUCCAUGUGCAGGUAAUCAAAAAAUAAAAAUUGCAGAUGGCUCUUUUUCAGCCAUUGCAGGUAAAGGGUCAGUUGUGUUGUCUCCAGUGUUAACUCUUAACGAUGUCCUUCAUGUUCCAAACUUAUCCUGUAAUUUAAUGUCUGUUAGUAAAUUAACCCGAGAUAUAAAUUGUCAAACCAAUUUUUUCCGUUCUCACUGUGUCUUUCAGGAUUUGAACUCGGGGAAGAUGAUUGGCAGUGCUAAGGAGAGUGGAGGACUCUACUACCUUGACAUUGGAUCUGCAUCACAACUACCUCCAAAAACAAUAAGUUCCUGCUUUGAAUCCUUUUUUGUUUUGAAUAAUAAUGAUGACAACGUUAUGUUAUGGCAUUUACGAUUAGGUCAUCCUAGUUUUCAUUACUUAAAACACUUGUUUCCUAAGUUAUUUUAUAAUAAGAACCUUUCUUUGCUUAAAUGUGAAGCAUGUGAGUUUGCAAAGCAUCAUCGUUCCCAAUUUCCAAUACAGCCAUAUAAACCAUCAAAACCUUUUUCUAUUGUUCACAGUGAUGUUUGGGGCCCUAACCGUACAAGUACACUUUCUCUUAAAAAAUGGUUCAUCACAUUUAUAGAUGACCAUUCAAGAGUAUGUUGGGUGUACUUGUUAAAGGGGAAAUCAGAUGUUUGUCGGGCUGUAAAGGAUUUUUGUACAAUGGUGCAGAACCAAUAUCAAACAAAUAUUCAAGUCUUUAGAAGUGAUAAUGGCAAAGAAUAUUUUAACACUAUUUUGGAUGAUUUUUUCCUAAAAAAUGGGAUUGUACAUCAAAGUUCAUGUCCUAAUACUCCUCAACAAAAUGGAGUUGCUGAAAGAAAAAAUAGACAUUUAUUGGAGGUUGCUAGAGCAUUACUUUUCUCAAGUAAAGUACCAAACUAUUUGUGGGGCGAAGCUGUUUUAACAGCGGCAUAUUUAAUUAAUAGAAUGCCCUCCAAAGUUCUCAAUUUCCAAACUCCAAUUAAUACUUUCAAAGAAUGUUUUCCUAGUACUCGUGUUUCAACUGAUUUGACAUUAAAAAUCUUUGGUUGCAUAGCCUUUGUUCAUGAACAUAAAAAUGUUGGAAAACUUGAACCACGUGCUAUAAAAUGUGUUUUUGUUGGAUACUCCCCAACCCAAAAGGGGUAUAAAUGUUUUGAUCCAAAAAACAAGAAAAUGUUUGUCACUAUGGACGUUACGUUUUUUGAAAAUAAACCUUUUUUUAAUGACACUCAUCUUCAAGGGGGGGAUAUAAAGGAAGACUCGUUUCAAAUUGAGGACAUGAGUUUUUUAAAUAAAUUAUCUUUGCCUGUACCACAAAGCUCUAAGACUUAUAGUUCUGCACCAACAGAAAAUGGCCAAGAUACUCUAUCUGAUCCUACUCCUGUUAUGAGUAAGGAACUUGAGGAAUCAGAGCCUACAUUUUCUCAUGAAGAAACCAAUGAGAAUCUUGACAAUAGGGAUGAUGAUGAUCUAAUUAAAAUGCCACAAAAUAAUGAGUCACUUAAAGAGAACAGAUUUGAAGUAGGAAACAGGACUUGGAAAGGGAAGGUUUAUGUGAAAAAGCACCACAAAGAAAGGAAUGAGUCCACAUCUCAACACUGUCAGGAAUCUGAACCGGGGAAUGAUCAACCUCCUAAGAAAAUGAAAGGUAAGUCUAUCUCUGUUUCUGAGAGUCGUAUUUUGUAUCCUGAUAUAGAUGAUCCUGUUGCCAUUAGAAAACCUGUUAGAUCUUGCACUAAACACCCUAUUUCCAAUUUUAUAUCAUAUUCAAAUUUGUCUUCAUCUCUGUCUGCCUUCACCUCAAAAUUGUCUAGUGUAGAAAUUCCAAAAAAUGUCCAGGUUGCUCUAGAAAUUCCAAAGUGGAGGGAAGCUGUACUUGAGGAGAUGACAGCUCUUGAAAAGAACAAAACUUGGAGUGUUAUGACACUACCAGAUGGCAAGAAGACAGUUGGAUGCAAAUGGGUGUUUACUGUGAAGUAUAAUUCAGAUGGGUCAAUUGAAAGGUACAAGGCUCGCUUGGUGGCGAAGGGCUUUUCUCAGACCUAUGGUAUAGACUACUCAGAGACAUUUGCUCCUGUUGCAAAAUUGAACACUGUCCGAAUUCUCUUAUCUCUUGCUGCCAACCUGGAUUGGCCCCUACAUCAAUUGGAUGUUAAGAAUGCGUUUCUUAAUGGUGAUCUAGAAGAAGAAGUAUAUAUGGAGAUUCCUCCUGGCUUUGAAAGCAAAUUUGGAUCAAAUGUAUGCAAACUAAAUAGGUCUUUGUAUGGAUUAAAGCAGUCCCCUAGAGCUUGGUUUGAAAAAUUCACUCAGUCCAUGAAGAAACAAGGGUACACUCAAGGACAGGCUGACCACACCUUAUUCACAAAAUUCUCCCAUGAUGGGAAAGUUGCUGCCCUGAUUGUUUAUGUUGAUGAUAUUGUCCUUACUGGAGAUGAUACAGUUGAAAUGGCAAGAGUAAAAGAGAAAUUAGCAGUAGACUUUGAAAUCAAGGACUUAGGACCCAUGAGAUAUUUUCUUGGAAUGGAGGUUGCUCGAUCAAAGAAUGGUAUUGUGGUUUCACAGCAGAAAUACAUUCUAGACUUAUUGAAAGAAACAGGAAUGAGUGGAUGUCGUCCAGCAGAUACCCCUAUGGAUCCUAAUGCUAAACUUUGGGAAGAAGGUAGUGUUCCCGUUGAUACUGGAAGAUACCAAAGAUUGGUUGGGAAACUGAUUUAUUUGUCACACACUCGACCUGAUAUUGCUUUCUCAGUUAGUGCAGUGAGUCAGUUCAUGCAUUCUCCUUUUGAGGAACAUCUUGAGGCAGUCUAUAGGAUACUGAGAUAUUUGAAGGGAAAUCCCGGAAAAGGCUUAUUUUUUAAGAAGACUAGUGAAAGAAAUGUGUCUAUCUUCACCGAUGCUGAUUGGGCAGGCUCAGUCACAGAUAGAAGAUCAACCUCUGGAUAUUGUACCUAUGUUUGGGGUAAUCUUGUGACAUGGAGGAGCAAGAAACAAGGAGUUGUGGCAAGAAGUAGUGCAGAAGCUGAGUUUAGAGCUAUGGCUCAAGGUAUUUGUGAAGGAUUAUGGAUUCAUAGAGUCCUAGAAGAACUUAAGAUGAAAAUUGAGCUUCCAUUGAAAUUAUACUCCGACAGUAAAGCUGCUAUUAGCAUAGCUCAUAACCCAGUUCAACAUGACAGAACCAAGCAUAUUGAGAUUGAUCGACAUUUCAUAAAGGAGAAGUUAGAUGCUGGAAUCAUAUGUCUACCUUUUGUGACUUCGAGUCAGCAAACUGCGGAUAUCCUGACCAAGAGCUUGGCAAGACCUACCUUUGAGCAUUUGAUAGGCAAGUUGGGCAUGAUAGAUAUCUAUGCACCAACUUGAGGGGGGGUGUUGGAAAAUAUAUCAGUAUUUAUUGUUUUCCAGUCAAUUCUAGAGAUUCUAUUAUUGACUUUUUUAUAUGUAAUAAUUUUCUCCUUAAUUCAAGGAGUAGUAAUUCUCUCCUUAAUUCAAGGAGUAAUAAUUGUAUCCUCUCUAUAAAUACCAGCCUUUGGCUGAGGAAUAAAAUAGAACAGCAUUUACCUAUUAUUUUUCAAUAGAAACCGUGGGUAAAAUCAAAUUGGGUAGUCCCAAAUAUUUUGAAUAUAACUCACAUACCUUUGUUACAUAUCCAUCAUGAGCUCGCCAAGAGGCAAUGACAUUUCCACUCUUAGCAUCAAAUAAUUUACAGUGACCAGAACUUAGUCCAGUUGCAAUCAAAGAUGACAAAGUGGGAAUACCACCUGCUUGCAUUUUGUUAGAACCCGAGGAACAAAUGGCAGAAAUAAGUGAAGGAAAACUAGAAUCAUUAGAUUCCCCCCUCCAAAUAUGAAGCUUUUGACCUCGAGCAACAUCAAUAAACCUGCACAGUACAGAAAAAAAUCAUGAGUUGGAAGGCGUCAACGUAUUUCCUAACGUGCAUCGAAUUGAUAUAGUAGCUAAAACAGAGAGUCAAUUUCACCUGAGAGAACCAUUUCCAGUGCCGACUACAAGAGUUUCAGCAGAGUCUAAUAGAUACAUACAAGUAUAAAGGCUUGAGUCAAAAGCACUAGACAAUAUUCCACUUGAUAGUGUAUUCAAAUUAAGGACAUUUGCCUGGUCACUGUUAAUUUUUGGCACAGAGGGUUGAUGGUUUGUAGGAUAGCCAGAUUCUGUUUGGGACUCGGCAAAAACUGAUAUUUGCUUCCCUGUUUGACUAUUCCAAAUAUGAAUUGUUCCAUCACAAGAUGCCACUCUUCCACUAGAAGAUAAGAUGCAAAUAUCGUUUACCACCUAAAAUUUGCAUGAGUAAUGAGUGAUUUGUAGCAAAUGCUGUUACAGUAGAAAAAUAAUAUCUAAAAGCCCAAAGAAGCUAAAAAAAUUUCAAACACACCUUAACUCAUGAAUAACUGUUACAAUUUGUAUACUAAUAAAUAUGUUGUUGCACUAAACAUCCAUUCACAUCACAUCCCCUUUUGUUUUAAAUCAUCAUCCAUUAUGCAUAUGGAUCACCUAGCAGUGCUAGGUGAUGCUUAAUGGAUGAUGACUAGCAGUUUGCUGAUUGAUGCCAUAGUUGAAACUUCAUAGUACUUAGUAGUUCUUUACUAUAGGAAUAUAUAAAUACUACAUGGAUUUACAUCAAGCAAACAAUGGUCGAAGAGUGUCAUUUUAACUGAAUGUAAAAGCAAACCUCCUCAUGGCCAUAAUAGCCUGACAGACAGUUAGUUCGGCUUAAUUCCCACUUCUGAACAGUGCCUUUAUAUCCUUGGCCAAUUCCUGCAGUAAAAACUAUACAUUCAUCCUGAUCAACAGCCAGAGACCUCACUGCUCCAUGAUGUGCCCGUAUAGAGUGAAGUACAGAUGCUCUAAUCUUCCAUGGAAGGUCUUCUUUCUGAACCCCAACCCGCCCAAGAAAUUCAGGCCCAUCCCAGAUGGUGGAUGGACUAGGGAACCAAAACCAGGGUUCAAGGUUCACUUGGCAUGACAUUCCUUCAUGCAUUACUACUGGGCUCUGCUGAACUUUGAAUGACCGUCUCUGAGGAUUCAAAUUUUUGGCACUUUUACUACCUUGGGAUUGUGGAAUUGACCAUCCAACACCAUUAAGCAACAGCUUUGCUGGAUUGUAUUCAGAUGUGAAUCCCCGGGAAAUCGCAUGUCUUCUGGCAAUAAAAUUUUCUGAGCCAUUUUUUGAUGAUUCUCCUGCAUAUUCCCACUGAACCACAACAGGCUUAGAAAUGAGCAAACGAGGCCAUGUGACAGAAAUUAUUGCACCAACAAAAACACAAUUUUCCACUUACAUGAGGGGGGGCAAGAAGGAAACAAAGGUAAACGUAGCAUACCUUCCAAUUAUGAUGGCGUAGAAGAAAUUGUUCAAGAAGCAACCAUGUAGUACAACAUUGACGAAGUUUCUCUAUCCCAAGAAGAGAUGCAAAGGAAGGAUAGAGAAGCAACCUGCAUAUGACCAGAAAAUUUUAUUUAUACUGUGAAUAAUAAAGGAAGAAUGUAAGACAAUAAAGCAGACACAAUAUAAAAUACAACAAACUUGAAAGUGAGCCACAACCAUUUACAGCACCUAACAUAAUGUACCCAAAAAAACUAACUCUCACGGUUUCAGGUGAAUGUGCAUACUUUUUGGGUUAAAAGAAGACCAGACACAUGAAAUGUCAUGGGUUUGGGUUUCCUAUUCUGAGCUCAAAUCAUAAUUGGAGAAGAUCAUUGAUCUUUCAAAUUUUUCUAUCAAUAAAUCAAGUGUUUCAAAUAUGCUUCUCAAAUUAUGAAAGUUGAGCAUUCCUAAAUCCCUCUAUCCCUAUAUGUCUAACAAUUAGAGGUGCAAUAUUGUCUAUGUCUAUUUGUUCUAGCAUUUUUUGUGGGGCAAAUCUACAUAUCAUAUGUGUGAUUACAUGCCUUUCACUAUAAAAAGGUAUAGUACAACUAUUUUCAGAUUUAACAUCAACCACUCCUAAGAAUAAAAAGAAAUUCAUUUCUGCUUAUCCUUGCAUGAUUUCAUUUUUAUCCACUUCUCUUACUUACUACUCUCCACUCUCCUUACCUAGAGCUUUUCUAGUCUUGCAUUAAAUACCCAUGAGAGGAGUUUCUCCCUGCAUAAACCUAGUCUAGAAAGCAGAUUUGUCACUCACACUAGGUCCAUACGACUUUCAAUUUGCAAGUCCCCUCCAAAUUUUAAUUUGGUAACCUUCAAGUUUCUGCCAACAGUAGUCGAACCUUUAGAAAUUUCCUGGGAGAAAGCAAGUUCAUCAAAUAAUUCUUUAAGCUUUGGAAGAAUAUGCAAUGCUGUCAAAUCUGCCCCAAUCCGCUGACAAAUUCCAAAGAGAGUAGUAGCAGCAACCUGACAAAGAGAAGGCGACUGCCAUUAUUUAACAAUUUAAGUGACUAUGGCAAGAUGCAUUGUGGCAAAGAAAUGGAUCAGACAUCUCCAGAGUAUCAGGAUACUAGCCAAAAGGAAACUUUGAUCUAUAAAGUUUGAAAUAUAACUUCUAACUUUGAAGGAUUGCAUACAAACAAUUUGGAAGAAGUGCCAGAGUGUGUCAAUCUGUUUUAGGUACAAAUACAAUGCUUGGUUUCAAAAACCCACGAGUCAAGGCACAGACCUUAAUCUUCAUUUCACCAUAACUCUUCAUUUGACAUUCUAAUUUAAGAAGGCAUAAAAAUAUUCAUGUAAAACUGUAUAUUCCUUUGCGACUUGUGAUUAAAAAGUAAAAAGUCCUCCCUAAAGAGUAAAGCUGAGAUGCCAAUUAGAGCCAAUGAAACCAAGGAAUGGACGAUGGAGCCAAAACAAACCAAUGAAUAAUUUGAAGAACCUGAAGCACUGCAAUUUCCAUAUGUUUCUGCAUGAGAAUCCCAAUAUGUAUGCAACUUACGUCCUGUAUAUUUACAACACAUUAAAAAAUUAAUUGUAAUACAAUACUUACUGGCAAUUAAAGCAUUUUGAAGCCAAAAAAGAAUAAGAACAUACUGCUAGCAGCUCUUUUACAAUGACCUCUUCUGUCAAGAAAGCUGCAAGGCCAUCCAAAGUGAUCAUACAAUCAAUAAGUGCUAAAGCACUCCAACUCUGAACAGGAUCAGGCUUAUUCAUGCAUGACACAUCAGUGAAGGAACGAACAACAUUUUUCAGCAAUGGUAGCAUCUGUUUAACAAUAAAGGAUUCCCCAAAUAUACCACCUGAAAAGUCAAAAGAGGAAAGGGGAUUAAAACUGAAGGCCUCAAACGCGAAACAUGGAAAAAUACAAAAGUCAAUAAAACAAGAAUACCAAUUCUGACUAGCACAUCAAGGCCAUCUGAACACAGUCCUUUCCCAAAGCAGUGAACAAGGGGCAAGAUGGUCUGGUUCAAGAAGAAAAAGGUCAGUAAAACAAUAAUGGUUGAACCUAAGUGGGAGUGCAUGCAUGUGGAAAAAGGAAAACAUAGUGCUGAGGUUGUUGCAAAACAUGAAAACCUGAUGAAUGGUAAUCGGAACACCAAUCUCUUCACUAGAACCGAUUAGAAGCACUGAAGCAGAGGCAGCUGAACUUUUAUCUGGAUAAAUAUACAAAUUUGACAAGACCAACGGGUGAACAGUUGCCAGGUAUGCCUGUUUACCAACUCGAUUCCAUAUUUCCCGUACAAAUGAAUCUUGUAAAAGGGAAACCUUUAAAUGCAAACAACCUGCUGUCUGUAAAAAGAUGUCUCAAUAAGAAGUCAAAGAAUUAAAAAAUAUGUAAAAAGAAAAAAGAAAGAAAAGAUCUUUACAGACUAAAUAAAUUCACACAAUGAAGUUCACAACUAGCCUGUAAAAUUUUCUGUACGGUUGGCAAUAUUAAUGUUUUUACUGCUUGUGCUGUUAAGCAUUUCAUUAGUUCCUCCAGUAGUAUAUAUGCCCAUUCAGCUUCGGUAUCAUUAACAGCGGUCACUAUAAGUGGUAAGCAAUAAGUAGCACACAUUUCAGUUGCAAAUGCACCCAUUUCUCUGAGAGCCCCCUGCUUUGCAAGAUUUGCAGCAUAACGGAGCCGAGUUUCAUCUUUAGAUACAAGCUGAAGUGGGGCAAGAAACAAGUAGGAGGACUUGACUGUCUUUGGGAAAUAAGGGGAUUCAAGAAGAAUUUUGGCUGAUGGCCUCCUAUAUAGCAAAAAUUAAUACUUCAACAAUAUGAUAGAAGAAACAACCCACAAAUCAUAACUAACAAGGACGGUAGACACAUGCAUUCAGUUGCACAUAGGCACGCACACACUGAUACCUCGUCCAAUCCUUUUGGAUGCAUGCUUCAACAAGUAAUCUAACAUGAGGAGGCAGUUCCUGUAGAAAUCCUGGUAAGGCUCCAUCCUCCAAGUACAUUGCCAAUGAAAUUGAAUCGAAGAGGGGCCUGCAAAGAUGAAGCUCAGCUAAGAGACAACCAACAGAAAAUAUGUCCCUAGCAACAUCUUCAGAGUCAAGUCUUGAAGAAGAUAAUUUCUGCCUCCAAAGCAGAAAGUCUGGAUAUCCUGAGGAGCCUUCAUCUUCCUCUUUCAUGUGUUGAAGAAAGGAGAUCAGAUUCAUUUUAUAUGGAACCCAAUAAUUUCUGUUUACCAAAGAUAGUUCACUUAUGUUUUUACUAAAUGUCUCUGGUGCUGGAUCUCCCAAAGAUGAGAUGUUCUUCCCUUUAAUAUGAUUUAGUGGAUAACGAUAACAAGCAUUCAAAUGCCUAGCAUGUUCUGAAAAUGCAGAUGCUUGCUCUAGUUCUUGUAGAUAAGCAGUUUCAGAUAGAAGAGAUGUCUCUCGCUGCAUUUCAUGUGCUUCACUCCAAACUUUGGCAUAUUUGUUGGAACCAUGACGUGUUAUUCUAGAAGUAGCGUGACGAAUGGGGUGCGGUUGUGUAAAGAGCUGACGACGUCCAGUAGAUCUUGGCAUUGUGGGUUCCGAUAAAGGAAGCAUAACAUUCUUAGCAAUAACUGCUGCGUGGCCAGACAUUUUGUACCCAAAGAUUAUAUCUAUCCAAUGGUGUAGUUGAAAUGACACCCUAUCACUUUCUAAUGCGUCACGGUGCAAUUUAAUGAAAUCCUCGGGACUCUCUGCCCAAGAAGGUACAGCCAAAUCAGCCAUACCAUCAUGUAUUGACCUAAAAAUUAGGGCAUCACAGUAAAACUCCGGAAUGCAUUCAUCAGGGGUCCAUUGAUAAAGCCUUUGCAUUGUGGAAGGAUAUUCAUUAGGUUCAUACACUGAACGAACAGCCAUUCGAAGAACGCUCAAAGGCAGCCUUCUUGCUUUAUAACUGCAGACAGCCAAUUCAGACAGACAUUCAUCUGAUACAUGAUGAGGGAUUUCAGAUGUUGAAUAGGUGAAAUCCAACUGUUCAUCACCUUUUGCCAGGCGCCAUUUGCUCUUGUUUAAGUCCCGCCAUCCUGCAUCACAAUUAUCAUCAGGCUUGGAGCUAAAAUCAAUUACCCAAGGCAUUACAGGAUGAAAUGUAUGGUCACCCCACCUUCUUCCUGCUAGUCUGUUUAAGAUAAGUAAAUACUCGAAAUUACUUAGUUCCCCUCUCCACCACUGAUGAAAGCUACAAUUCCAAUCUAUCGAUGGAGAAAGCUUCAGAUCAGCAUAAAGAUCAUUAGAAUGACAGCCACCAUUACAGCAACCGGUUUUUGCAGGUUUAGAAUCAACCCUUUCACUCUUUUGCGAAGUUAAACUUGAUUCCAACACAGGUUCAUUCCACAAUCUCAGCCAAGACCACAACGAGUCCGUCAACAAGAUAUUGGAAGGGCAUAUAUUACCAUGCGAAACCCCUAGACCGUGCAAGUACAAUAAGGCUGAGAGUAGCUGAUAUAUAAGAAAUCUUCUAUUCCAAUCAGAUUUCAACGCACCGGGGUUAAAAUGAAGAAUACUUUCCAAGUUGUAUGGAGUCUUUGGAAGCAUCAUGUUAAUGUAAUCAGAUGUUUUCAAAAUUCCAAGAACAGGAGCUAUGUUUGGAUGCCUCAAAGAGCCUGGAAAAGUAUCUUUCUCAAAUGAAGGCAGCCCAAGUAACCUAAGAAAAUUUACACAGUCCCGUCCAGACGCUUUCCCUGCAAUGAAGAGAUCAAGCGACUCUAACACAUGAUCUUCGCUUAAACCGGACAAGAAAUCAGCGGCAACCUCUUGAAACGUAGAAUACGAAGACAUUCCGACCCGAGCAAUGGGGGCAAGUGAGGUGAUUGUCCUGGAGCAAGAAAACCUUCCAGAAUGAUUACACGACGUGUUUCCGGAAGUAGCAUUUCCAGUUUCAGAAGCAACAGAUAUAGCAAUUCCACCAUUAAUCUCAUCAUUAUAUUGAUUGCCUCCAAUAUCAUGAUCAUUACUCCUAGUGCUUUCACUACUACUAUCCAAAAUAUAUUCAUUUCUGCAAACCCACCAAUAACUAAAUCAUCAAUCAUUUUGUUACAAGAAUGCAUACAACAUCAAAACAUUUCAUAUAACAAUCCACAAAAACAUCAUUAAAUUGAAUCUUACACAUAAUUGACAAAACAAUUCUUGUCGUGACCGGGCAUGUACUGCAAGAUGAAUUGACUGCCCGAUGCUUCAGUACCAGAAACCUGUUUUGGAAGAAACAGAAAAAGCAAGUUAGAAAAUGGAUUAAGAUAACAAAAAAUGAUCAGAAAAUUCAAAGAGAGGAUGAGAGAUUGACAUGAACGAUAGCUGAGGAGCCGAAAGGAAAAGCAGAAGUGGAGAUGGCAUAGUUGAAGACGAGUUGGUCAGAGAAAUCCGAGUUGAUUCGACGUUGGAGGCAGUCGAAGCAGUGAUUCUGUUCCUCCAUGGAAUCGCUCGCUCUGCUGAGUCGAGUCAACUCAGCGAUUCCUCAUGCUUUGCUGCCUGUGCUUCUUCUCCAACUGCAACAGUUGCUUAAACGCAGCGUUUUGUUGUUAAUCGUGGAACUCUGUUGUUAUAUUUGUUGAUUGAAUUUGAGAUUAGGAGUAUGAUUUUAAUCACGGAUCUAACUGAAAGCUUCUUACUUACCCCUUUCCCCAAGACCCCAACCCAAGACUGGUAGGUGGUGUGCACUGGUGCUUAGAUUAGCUAGAUGGAAGUGGUUCUAUUUGAAACGAAAAAUAAACAAAAUGUUUUGCUUCGUCUCAGGGUAGAAUCUUAAUUGUCACUCCAAUAUUCUCAUUUAAAUACAACUUAUUUCAUUUGCUUCGAUACACAACGCUACGGUUGGUUGGACAUCCCGCUAUUAGACAUUUCAUUAUUGUGGUGGUAUUUUACCGCCAAUUCAUGACAGUAAAAACCUGUCACAAAAGUCGAUUUAUUGUCACAAAAGUGAAUCAUCUACAACAAUAAUCGAUAUUUUAUUGCAAUAUAUACGACGAAGUGAGAUAUAUUCGACUAGUGUAGUGACAUCCAUAUUAUGCGGAGUGAUUUUUUAUAUUCUUGACAUGAUUAAAAUUGUGUGAAUAAUAUACUUUGGUAACGGUUCGUCAAGGUCGAUCCAGUCUAAGCCAAAUGUAUUUUGAUUCGGUGUAUACACUUAGGCAUUCCAACGACCUAAGUUAUUCUUCAACAUGCCAAUUAGCGAGGUUGAAACUAGGUUGAGCAGAAGUGCAUGUUUGGAGUUCAUUUUUAGGUUGUUCUUAUACUAUGCUGAUUAAAAUUGAGCUGAUCAGGAGUUAGAACAUGCUAAUAAUAGUGUUGCUGCGACAUGGCUUAAUUUAAUUUCUGUCAUAGUACACUGAACUUCAAACUAAGGAAAUUAAAAAUCCUGUUGGGUAUAAAAACAUGAGUAAUGUGUCCGUUGAAAAGAAAAGGAAUAUAUUGUUGCACAUCUGUUGCUAAAGAAAGAAAGCAUAACGUUAAUCAUCAGGAGACUCUAAGUCUCAAACACGGUUGUAGGCCACUGACUUGCUGAAAAGGCGCCUAAUGUAUAUGACUUGCAGUGUGCUAACAGCAGCCAACAAAAGGUACUCUCCGACAGUGUAGAAUAUGACUCGCGAGCGUGUGCUCUCAUUUGCUACAAACAAAAAAGGGAGUUUGAGUCAGUACAAGGUGGAUAAUGAAAGAAGAAGGAAUGCAGACGAGGAUAAUAUAUCUUUCAUUCUUGAUUCAGGAAAAUACUAUCAUGAGGAUAUUAAGAAACAGAUCUAAAAUGCUGUACAUAAUGACCAGAUAUCAUGAGACUGACAGUUCCUAGAUGCAGAAACUAGGAACAUUCUUAGCCAACAACAAGCGGUACAAACAAACUAGUUCUUAUAUGUCUAAAAAGUUAAUGGAUGGAUGAUGGAUCUCUGCUACACUAGGCCUGGGAGUGGAAAAGCUUUGGGUGAGAUCACGAUCACGUGAGAAACUGUCCCUUUCUUUUCACUACUUUCUCUCGAAAUCCAAGUUCUUAAAAGAAUUGGUGCUGAGCAUGAGUAAUUCUGUUAUCAAAAUUCCCACUCCCCACCUGAUAUCCAUGACUCUGUCCGGCAUUGCGUUUAGAUGCUCAGAAGAGGUUAAUUUUAGCCUCCCGGUUCUUAAAAAGUUUGUGACAAUAAAUUGCAUUUUAUAUAAAUGCAUAUAUGAUUCAAAGAAAAAUAUCAUGACUACCACAAUCAAAUUUCCCAAGGUAGAACAGUGGCAGUUCAUGGAAAAGGAGACUACUUACUAUGGCGAUGCCUAGUAUCACGAGCUUUCAAGUACUUUUGUUCAGCUGUAACAGACUCUAGUGCCUCCCUGAGCUCAGCAAUUUUAACAUUAAUUGGGUCCAGAUGCUCUGCAAGUGCAAACCAUCAAAAUUAGGGAAACUCCCAAAAACCAAACAAUAGAAGGAACAAAAACACUUAGAUUGCUCUUCACAAAUGUCAAGAAUACCUCAGGUAAAUGGUAAACGACUAUACUAUUUAAUACUAUAAAUAUGUUAAUUGUAGAAUCUACUAAGGAUGCUUUCCCAGAGAACAUACCAUCUUUGGCAAGGUUAUGCUCAUUGGGAAUAUGACCAACAUGGAUGUAGAAGGAAACAGUCUCAGGUGUCGAGUAUGGGUUAUGAAAACAAAAUUUGUACAUCCCAGAAGCUGGGGCUUUAAAUUGAAACUUGUCGCCAGAGGUUCCCUUGAUGUCGUGGACAGUAUUACCUGCAGGAGAUGUCACCUGCAUAUAACCCAAAAAUUAGGAUAUCUGAAAAGCUAAAGAUAGAAAACAAUAUGCAAAUUUGGGCUGCUCAAUCAGACAAAGAAUUCAUACAAACAGUAACCAAAGAUGGCUCCUAAUGCACUUCCUAUUAUACUAGUUAGCACACAUAAAUUUCUUUACACAAAACCACUAUGGAUUCAUACAAACAGUAACCAAAGAUGGCUCCCAAUGUACUUCCUAUGAUAUUACUAGUUAGCACAAUAUAAUUUUUUACACAACCCUAAGUCCCCAAAAUAAAAUACAUCACCAAGCAUCAGCUAAUAUCCAUGCAAAACAAGAAAGAACCAACAACCAAGGACUCACCAAUGAUCAUUCAUCACACAAAUGAUACUGAUCACUAAAACAUUUAAACACAAUAUAUGCAGAAUUUGAGGCAUCCAACACAUUUUGGUAAUCCCCAUCCAUAAUUCAGCUUAAGGAAGAUGCAACCAAGUCAUGUAAGAGACACAUCAAUAGCUUCCUACAGCUUAACCAAGUCCAUCCCCUUUUGUUAAAUGAACAAUUUUCAUGUUUGAUUAUAGCUACACAUAGAUCAUAUUCAACCCUAGUAACACCAAUCCUCCUCAAAAACCCUAAUAUAACCUACCCCAACUAAAAACCCUAAAUUCAACUCCAUAACAAAAAUCCAAUAGUUGUUACUAUACAACAAAUCAUCAGUGUGAGUAAUCCAAUAAAACAAAAUUCAAAUUGAAUGACAGGGAAUUGGGUUUGCGUUGCACUCACCGUGAGAUCAAUGCCGGGGUGAUCGGAGCCCCAGAAAAUGUCAUGGUCAACAACAACGAAGUUCCCGGAAACGGUGUCACCCUCAUAGAGCACAUACUCGUAGAUGCACUCAACCUCGUGCACAGUGACAGAGAGCGAUUCAAUGCGAGCAACGAAGCUCAGCAUCAAACACAUCAAAACCAUCCACAUCUUGUUCGCAAUUCUCUUUCCCUCCAUCAUUUAUUUACCCUGUGGAAUCAAAAUUGUGGUUCUCAGAUCUCAGAAGAUUGCAAGUUUGAGAAAAUUGUGAUCCGUUUUGGUCUGUGCGGUGAAGGUGCGGCGAUGAAGCAAAACGGCACCACUGUUGGCGUCGUGGACUUGAGAUGAUGAAGGUGGUAUAUGAAUGAGGGUGUAUGAUGGAGGCGUCGUUUUUGGUGACGUGUGACGUGCACUAGCCAAUCAGAGAAGACUGUAGGUGACAGGUCACACACACACUGUAACUUAACAAAUAUGGAAUUUAUUUUGACAAAUUUUUUAAUAAAAAAUAAUGAUAUUUAUAAUUUGUAAAGUUCUGUUUUUUGAAAAAGAAUUUGUAAAGUUAAUUCCUACGGUAUUUGACUUUCUAGGAGUUACAAUGAUUUUGUAAGUAAGACCUUGAGAAGAUCAAGUAAACAUAUCCCGACACACUUCCCACCUAAAUCAUCAUCAACACACUCCUCCAAGCUUAGAAGGCAACCCUGGGAAAAAGUAGAGGCAAAAGGCUUAUUCACCAUUCAUCAACUGACUGAAAUGACAACAUUUUCAGGUCAUCUAAGGGUCGAUCUCAACACACGUCGAACCUUUGACUACAUAAGGAACCAAAAGAAAAGCGGGUAAGUAAGAUUUAGCCAUUAACCCAAAUUCUCUUCACUAUUAUUAGUUACUUGGUCACUAGAGUAUCUUCACAUGUACACCUCAAAGGGCUCGAGGCGCUAGCUAGCCCAAUGAGAAUAAUUAAGUUCAUGAAGACAAGUGCUGAAGCAUUUACGUGUUCCUGAUAUUAUACACUCAUUUGAGUAACUGAUUAUUUGUUCGAUCAAUUACUUAAUUCAAAAGUUAAAGUAAUAUUAAAAUUUGUUCCUAAAUGAUAGCUCAAGUGUUCAGAGUUAGAGACAUAUGAGUUGAGGAUGAGAAAGUCCAGAAUCAAUCAUGAAGAAUGCAACAGUGUUGUUAGUAUACAAAGCGGACAAUUUCACUUUAACUAUUUAUUUAUCAGUUUUUUUUAAUGAAAUGGUGUUAGGAUACAAAGUGGACACUUAGGCUUAGUUCUUUUUCUUAUUACUAUUACAAUAGUCACCUUUCUCUUUCAAGUUUUCUUCACCAACAUUGGAUCGCAAGCAACAGCAAAGGUCAACAGCGUUGAAAAAUGGAGAAGAUUCAGAUACAAGUCCCACGAGUCAAACUGGGUAGCCAAGGCUUGGAGGUAAAAUUUCUGGAUAAUUUCUCCUUCCUAUAUGGACAUUUUUCAUUCUCCUCAUUAACCACUUUGUUCAUCAUCCAAAGUUGUUGUUUACAAUGGACUGAUUCUUAAUUCAGCAUCAGGAGGGAGAAUACAUUAAACCAUUUUUCCAUUUUCAUCAAAUGCCUGUUAUUGUCAAUCUCUGCAGUUUAAGAAAAGAUCCUUGUUUUCAUGAUCACCAACUCAGGAAUUAUUUUACCCAAAAAGUUGGCAUGAUUCUAUUUUAAUCACCCAUAAUAGGACUUUGUUCUCCAAAUUUCAACUCCACCCCAAGGAAUCUUCAAUCUGGUGGAGUCUUAGCCUGCAUUUAGUGCAUGCUGAUACUUGUAGAAUAAAUGUCUUUUACUUUUACAAUUUGGAUUUUGUUUUCAAGCAGUAGAGAAUGGUAAUUUUGACCUGUUUUGUAUAUCAGACUAUUUUAGAUUCACAGGUUAGAGCCUGAGUAUGAUGAUAGUGGUAGUGUAUACGUCUCUAACUCAAGUAUGCUUGGGUAAACAACUUAAUUAACCGCUUAUUCAUAAGCUAAUUUGAGAAACUUAUUGAAAUAAGAAAUAAGUUAUAGACUUAUGGUAAGCAUAAACUCUAUUUCAUUAGUUAAUCUGAACAAUCAAGUUAGAAAAAAGAUUACAAACCAUACUGUACUGUAUGCAAGUAAGAGUUACAUAAUUAACAUUUCAAUUUUCAGCUACUCCUUCUGACAUUCUAAAUCUCUCUCUAUAUCCCUGCCUCUCUUGAUUUCUCCCUUUUAGCUGGCCUAGUCUUUGAUUUAGUAUUUGUGAUUGUGAUAAGAUAAGGACACCCCCGCCCCCUCCCGUGUGUAUUUUCAUUUUUGCAAUGCAGGUUUCUAGGUUGGGCUUUGGCUGUGGAGGAUUGUCUGGAAUUUAUAAUGCUCCCUUGUCGCAUGAAGAAGGAUGUUCAAUUAUUAAGGAAGUGUUCAAUAAGGGGGUUACCUUCUUUGAUACAUCAGAUCUUUAUGGAGAUAAUCAUGAUAAUGAAAUCAUGGUUGGUAAGGUAACAUAUUAUCCAACUAAUUCAUUGAGUGGUGGAAAACAUAAUUAUCUGUAUGAGCUGCAAAUUGUGAUAAUUUGAUUAGUCAUGUGUUAACAACUGAUACACAAAGAAAUUAUACUUUACAUGUAGCAAGUGGCAUGUAGUUAUGUUUCACCAAUAUCAUUAUAACAUUGCAUAAAAAUGAGUUUGUUUACACUAUCAUCUCGCUGGGAAAGACAGAUUUGUGGGAGAUUUAAAAGAUACUUAGAUGAGGCCUUUUCUUGUGUCAUCAGGCUUUAAAAGAACUUCCCCCGAGAAAAAGUUCAGUUGGCUACAAAAUUUGGUGUUACUAGAUCAGAAGGGAUAGUUCUGCAAUUGGGAGUAAAAGGUACUCCUGAAUAUGUGAGGGAGUGCUGUGAAGCAAGUCUUAAGCGUCUUGAUGUCAAGUAUAUUGAUUUGUACUAUCAGCAUCGAAUAGACACUUCAGUGCCAAUUGAAGACACUGUAAGCUUUGAAUGUUUUUCCUCUGCGAUCCUCUAAGUUUUUCAAUCUAGAUGAUUAAGUGCUUUAACAUUGAUCUUUGUAUAUAUGGAAGAUGGAGGAGUUGAAACAACUAGUAAAUGAAGGAAAGAUAAAUUAUAUUGGGUUGUCAGAGGCUAAUGCUGACACUAUAAAGAGAGCACAUGCUGUUCAUCCGAUCACUGCUCUGCAAAUGGAGUAUUCAUUAUGGAGCCGUGACAUUGAAGAAGAUAUAAUUCCACUUUGCAGGUAUUUUACACACAAAUACUAACUGUGCUGUUCUUAUAGUCACAAAUUACAAGUAUACUUGAAUUUUUCAGUUUGAUAUGUUUUCUAACUCUGUCAUGUAUGCUUUAAGGUUGGAUUAUCUCUAAAUUAUCUGAAAGAAUUUGCUUUUAUUUAACUUAUAAGCAUUUGUGCUUGCAGAGAACUCGGGAUUGGAAUAGUAGCAUAUAGCCCUCUUGGUCGUGGUUUUUUUGCAGGAAAGGCGGUGGUAGAAAGUUUGCCUAGUCAAAGCUUGCUGGUAUGUAGCUAGUAAUAACUAACAAAUGAUAGUUUUAAGUUUGCAUGACUAAGGGAAGGUUUGAACUAUUCGUUGGAUCACAUCUCUCCGGAGGGAAAAUGGAAUAGAUAUCAGUGUUAGUUCUAGCAUGUUUAAAUCAUUUCUUUUUCUUCAGGAUCAAUUCUGAAUGCCAGAAGCUACAAGCUACUCAUAGUAGCUUCUUAUCAGAAUUGAUUUUGGCUAUCAAAUGUAGAAGGAUUUCCAAACAUGCAAUUUUAUUCCUGCAGCGAUUCUCUACUGAAAUUUCUUCAUGUUUCUGGUAACAGACUAUGCAUCCCAGGUUCACAGGAGAAAACUUGGAAAAGAACAAGCUUUUCUAUAAACGACUUGAUGACAUGGCUUCUAAGCAUGCAUGCACUCCUUCUCAAUUAGCCUUAGCAAUGGCUUCUCCAUCAGGGAAAUGACAUAAUCCCUAUCCCUGGUAGAGUCUUAACUAUAUUUAGGAAGACUUAUGUGUUCAAUAUAAGCAUGAGUUGCUUACUAUCUGUUUCUAAAGUUAAUCUUUUUUAUCAUUUGAUAUUCUGCCAAUUUACUUUCUAGAUUUUACUAAUUUCUCUUAAUAAUCACUACUCAAUGAAGAAGGAAAAAAACAUGGUAUUACCAUGUUUGGAUCGGUUUUUCUUUCGUUAGAAUCAAUUCUGACACCCAAACAUUACUCACAAAAGCUUCUCCCCAUGAUUGAUUUUGACUUUAAAAUCAAUUGCAGAAGGAUUUUCAAACAUGCACUCAAAUCCUUUUCUAUACAACUUCUAUAAUAAAUCGAUCAUCUGUCUCUUUCAAGCAUAAUGUGCAUUUGUUCAUUGACUGUACUAUUGUCCAUAAAAUAUGUUGCUAGUUGCUACUAUAAGCAUGUGAUAGAUUGAUUCUAAUGACUAUGUGCUAAUCAUAUAUUACUCUGAUACCACAGGGACUACUAAACUGAGGAACUUUGAGAACAACAUUGGGUCUCUGAUUGUGAAGCUUACAGAGGAAGAUUUGAAAGAAAUUUCUGAAGCAGUUCCUGUUGAUGAAAUUGCUGGGAAACGAGAAUAUGAUAGCUUAUCAAAAUAUACUUGGAAGUUUGCAACUACACCUCCAAAGUAAUUGCAUAGAGAAGAACCGUUGAAGUGUGUAGUGAGUUACUGUUGAGUUUUUAUUUAGUCAUUAUGCUCAUCUCAAUAAAAUAACCUCUGGGAUUCUAGGAGUGAUCUGUUGGAAAAUGGAAAAGCAGUUAUACUACUACCUUCAAAUGUAUGCAUGCCAUUGUUAAUUCUACAACUUAACUGACACUCCUUUUACUAGCAAAAAAUUAUCUCUUAUGUGCAUAUUUCACCAUCUGCACUAUCAGUUCUACUUAACAGCUAUAAUGGCAUUCUGUUUUAGACUAUGGAUCUUUUUUCAUGAACUGAUUGAUAGUGGUUGAGUGAGCCAUAAUUUCUGCAUACAAAUCAGGGCCGGUCCCGACAUUUUGGAGGCCCUGGGCAAAUAAUAACAAUGGAUCCUUAAUAAUUUUAAGGUUCGAAAUUUCAUCAGAACUAUUAUAUUGGUUUGUUUGGCAACUUUCGAACCCGAUACAUAAAAGUAACAUAAACAGUUACUAACCACUAGACCAGCUCAAGUCAUUAAUAACAUCUUGAACAUUAAUUAUUAUAACUAAAUUUUAUUUUAGGGGAAAAGUUUAAUGAGAUUUUUUUUUGGGCCCCUUCUUUUUAGAAGCCCUGGGCUGUGGGCCUGCUUGCACAGGUCCAGGGCCGGCCUUGAUACAAAUAUCAGGGAACAAUGACUGCGGGACAGUAGCUCAAUUCGCCUGUAUCAAUCUUUAAAGCUGGAGAGUAUAACACUAUUUUAUAAAUUAGGUUACUCUUAUUGGAUAUUGGGGUUAUAAUGGUCUCUACUCGAGCUAUCUUCAAAGGAUAAUGUUUGGGGGACAUACGACGAUCCGCAACCACCAAUCAAUACACAUAUUGUGACCGUUUUUUGGGCGGCUUGAGACACAUCCACAACGUUAAUUAAAUUCAAAUGGUUUUUCAUUGUUAAGGUUUAACUUUGUUUUUAAAAUCAUAUUCAAACAAAUUUACACUUUUUAUUCUAAUUAUAAUAAUUAUUUUUAAUUUAAAUUUAAAUUACUUUUAUAACUUAAUAUUGAAAUUUAUGAUUUAAAUUAAAUGUUCACUAAUUUAUUUUAAUUCCAUUUAUAUUAUUUACCCAACUUUUUAGGGUACGAUUUAAAAAAUUAAAAUCACUUCUAAUAAUAAAUUACAAAUCAUAAUUUUUUUUUCCUAACUAAACGUGUGUUGAAUUUUGUAUAAAUUGCAAAACUAAACAUAAUAAAAUAUAAGAAAUUAGUGUUCCAUAAUUAGUGAUACAGAAGAAAGUGUAGAGAAAGUCAUCUUAUUCUCUAUUAGCAAAUAAAAGUAUAUCAGGUCGAUCCUUAGAUGCUAGAGCUGAUCAGAAAAAAGCAAAAAUUGCUAUAAGCAAAGCCAUGUGACCUUAAUUGCAAGAAAAGUUCACUCAGAGCAUCUUCAAUGAUAGGAACUUAUUUUGGGACUUAACUCAAUUUUUGUGGGUCCAAAUUGCUACAUAAAAUUUAAACACCCAUAAGGUCUUCAUACACAUUUCACUCUAGUGGUUGAGAUCUUAUUUUACUUUUUGACUGUACCCACAGUACCCAAUAUAUUUAUAUUAUUUAUUCCCCUCCUUAAUUUUCACUUUGGUUAUGGUAUUGAAAGAGAGAGGAAAAAAUAUUAUUUUAUUUAAGAUCUCACAUUUGAGAGUACAUGAGCUAAGGCAUGCCAUGUAGGAUAGCUCCAAUGGUGAGACCUAAUAAGAUCCGGAUCUUAUUUUAAGGUCCCAAAAUAAGGACUCCAUUAGAGAUGCUCUUAAACACGAAACACGAAUGCUUUUUCCAGCAAAUGUAAUUUGGACAGAAAGCAUUGAAUUAGAGCAAAUAAAUUGAUGUUAAAGGCAGAGGUUCAGUUUCUUGGUUAACUAAGAAUCACUCCAAGAAACUAGAAAGUGAGUUAGUAUAGUGGUUCAAUAUUUUAUUUUUUAAAUAUACGGUUAAAGCUUAUGUAAAUGAAAACAACUCUUUUAUAAACCUUUAUUAUUUUUUGCGCUAGUGUGAGAGAUUAGUCACACAAAUAUCUAUUAUGGGAAUAUCCCUACGAAUCAUUCCAAGCCACGAAUUAUAUUCCAAGAAAGCAUUAGAACGUUCUAGUAAGUAGUACUUACCGAACUAGGUCUGCAGUUAAAACUAAUUGAAGUCCUAAAGGUUCCACGUCAAACACCAACCAUUUUAACCCCUGAUUCACCCUUAUGGCCCUCAAGGGAACCACGUCUCCUCCUUUUACCAUGUGUGGACAAGAGAACCCACGUGAACCAAUUACCUUUUGGACCUAUACACACUAGACGUGGAACCAAACUGUCCACCACAAUGCUUGCCUUAAUUCUAUAUAAACCACCUCAUUCAUUGCUACUAUACCUAACAAAGGAGGUGUAGCAUUAAAAGCAUAGCUUAAAAACUUUACUAAGCUCUUACUAGAAAUUCUCUGAUACAACUUGUUCUUGAGUUAACUUUGCCAAUUUCUCUAAUUCAUCAAUGGCUGCUAUGCAAUCUAUCAUCUCUAGCCCUAUGAUCCGCAUGACCACCAGGUCAAGGGUGAACCAGUUCACCACUCCUGCUGUGUACAUGCCAAGCCUGAGAAGGAAUGCUACCCUGAGAGUUAGGUCCAUGGCUGAGGUAAGGGUGCUUAAAAUAAUUUUCAGACAUAUAGUACUUGUAACAUGCUUCAAUUUUUUAUGAGCACUAAUUUUGUUUGUACACAUGACGAGGAACAAUCUUGUGUGUAACUAUAUGAAUUUUGGUUAAUGUUUGAAGGGAGAGCCAAAAGAGCAACCUAUUGAACCUGUUACUAGCGCUAGCCCAGUUACACCAUCACCACCACCACCACCACCAAAACCUCGUGCACCAAAGGUGAGUGAGCCAAGUGUUCACUAUUUUUUUUUAUAAUAAGUUAUGCUAAUUACACCAUGGAUCUACAGUAUGAGACUUUUACUGACAUGAGUGAUGGUAAAUUUGCAGGUGAGCACUAAGUUUUCUGAUGUGAUGGCAUUUGGUGGGCCUGCACCUGAGAGGAUCAAUGGAAGACUAGCCAUGAUUGGGUUUGUAGCUGCAAUGGCAGUGGAAGUUGCCAGAGGGCAGGGAGUGUUUGAACAAAUAUCAGAUGGUGGAGUUCCAUGGUUCUUGGGGACAAGUGUGGUGUUCACUCUUGCUUCUUUGGUUCCACUGUUUCAAGGGGUUAGUGUGGAGUCAAAAUCCAAAGGUCUCAUGACCUCUGAUGCAGAACUCUGGAAUGGAAGGCUUGCUAUGUUGGGUUUGAUUGCCUUGGCCUUUACAGAGUAUGUUAAGGGAGGAACCCUGGUGUAAGAGUUCAAAGGCUUAGGAACAAUGUCUUAUAAGGAUUGUUUUAUAGUAGGUGAUGUAUGAAACUUGGUGUGUUUUUUAAUGCACAUAUAGAAUUAAUGAAAUUUCAUACCUUAAUCAUAAUCAGAUUUCUUGUUAUCACUUCUAAACUAAGAGCAAAAAUCGUUGAAGGCUAUUAUUAACUGUUGUGAUCCAUACAAAUCAAACAAUGUAUUGUUAACCUGCCUUAAUCGAAUAACUUAAACUGCACACAUGGAGAAAAGUUGGAAAUUGGAAAACAUGAUGAAGUUCUUGCUAAUGAGAAUCAGGUAAUUACUAUCCGGCAAUUGCAAUUAUAAUAAACAGAAAAUUAAUGUGGUUAAAACAUUCAGACCAUUUGUGUGGGGUAACCUGCAGUAAACCUUUAACUAUUGUAAUAGCUAAUAUCUAUCUAACAAUGCAUUCAGGAUAACAUUGAAAUGUCAUUAAACUAGUUCAUACUUCAUAAUGAUAGAUUCGAUGACAAUUGGCCAAUUGCAAUAGCAGAUACUUAAAUUACAUUUCAGGAUACCGAAUGGAACUUUCACUCUUAAUCAUAGAGAAAGCACAACAUGUCCUUUCUUUCUUGGUUGCCAAACACUUGAGACAGAAGAUUACAGCUGGGAGAUAAGUUUACACAUAUGGACUUGGGAAGCUUGGAGGGGUUGUUCAUAAAAUUGACUUGAGUAUGACUUGAGUUGGCAAUGUUAAAUCAUAAAAUACUAAUUAACUCAAUAUUCUGCUUUUGUUUAUGCUGUCGACCCACUUUUUUUAACACAUAAUGAUUAACAUUUAUUUGAAUUACUCUCAAUAUGUCCUUUUUUUCUUGGUUGCCAAACACUUGAGAGAGAAGGUUACACACAUGAAUUUGGGAAGCUGGGAGGGGUUGUUCAUAAAAUUGACUUGAGUAUGACUUGUGUCGACAAUGUUAAAUCAUAAAAUACUAAUUAACUCAAGUGGUUGUUCAUAAAAUUGACUUGAAUAUGACUUGAGUCAACAAUAUUAUUAAAUCAUAAAAUACUAAUUAACUAAAUAUUCUGCUUCCGUUCAUGCUAUCGACCAUAUCUUUUUAACACAUAUUAAUUGAAAUUUAUUUGGGUUUCACUCAACAUGUCCUUUUUUUUCUUGGUUGCCAAACCCUUCAGAGAGAAGGUUACACCUGAGACUGAGAUAGAAGUUGACACAUAUGGACUUGGGAAGCUUGGAGUGGUUGUCCAUAAAAUUAACUUGAGUCAAAAAUGUUAAAUAAUAAAAUAUUAAUUAACUCAAUAUUUUGCUUUUGUUUAUGCUAUCGACCCUCUCUUUUUAGCACAAUGAUUGAAAUUUAUUUGGGUUCUCACUCAAAAUGUGAGUCUCACCACCAAUUUAGUAUGUUUCAUGUGAAUUUCAACCACUAAAAGAAAGAAUUGAAAAAAGAGUUAAAAUAAGUGCUGUUAGCCACUUCUCAUAGUAACACUAUUGAAUAAUAUAGUGCUGACUGACAAUUGACCAAUGUUAACAUACAUAGUGUCAAACAUGGUGCUGACACAAAACGAGCUGGGUAGUAGAAACAACUAAAACUUUAGAGGAACAACAGCCUUUAACUAAGUACAAAAAUAGAAGCCGUGAUAUUGGGUUUUUUACCUAAGUAGUGUAGUUUUGUAGUAAAAUUACAGUUUUGAGGUACUUUUUUUUAUUUACCAUUCUGGUAUAAAUCGCCAUUGUCAGUGGCAAUUUUAUUUUAUUUUUUUAAAGAAUCGCUAAUGCUAUUGGCAUUUUAGUUUUUCUUUUUAGUUUUUUUAUUAAAUUGCCAACAUGGUUGGUGUUUUUCUUAUUUUUUUAAACAAUCGCCAAACAUGUUGGCGUUUUAUUACUUUUUUUACAGUUUUUUUUAAAUGUCAUAUAUAUAUAUAUAUAAACAACUAAAAUUGUAUUUAAUCAAUUGAUACUCACCCGUGUCUUAUUCACUUUUAUAGUGUCUCCGAUGGUUAGUUUAAGUGAUAAAAGUUUAAGACAUGAGAGUUGAGUGAGAUGAAUGGUGAAGGAUUCAUGGUUCGAACCCUAGGAGAGACUAAUUUACUAACAUUACUAACAACUAACAUUUACUUAUAAAAAAACUCACUUUUGCAGUACUAUGGUCAUAAGUAUUUGAACCGAUAUUUAAAGAUAAACAAUACGCAUUACAUAAUUUAAUUUAAGAGAAAUGGCACAAAAGUAUGUGAGUAUCAAUGGAUUAAAUACCAUUUUAAUUGCUGGUUUUUUAAAAAAAUAUAAGCCAACAAGUUGGCCAUUUAAAAAAAAUGUAAAAAAAGUAGUAAAACACCAACAUGGUUGGGGAUUGUUAAAAAAAAUUAAAAAUAAGAAAAAUGCCAACAUGGUUGGCAAUUUAAUAAAAAAAGGAAAAAAUAAAAUAAAACACCAAUAGCAUCGACGAUUUUUUAAAAAAUAAAAAAAAUGUCACUAACAGUGGCGAUUUAUACUAAAAUGGUAAAUAAAUAAAAAAGUACACAAAGCUGUAAUUUUGUUACAAAAUUAAACUGGGGUUGUCUAAAUGACCCAAGGUAAAAAUUGGGUUAAAUCACCCUUUGAUGAAGUGUGCCAAUAAUAUUAUAACAUGUAUUUUUAUAAAUUCUAACUUAUUUCAGUAUUUAUUUUAUUUAUAUUUUCAUAAUAUUCAUUUUAUAUAAUAAUUUAUUUGCAUACUAAUAAACCAAUCAAUUAGUAAUAAUAACACAUAACUCCUUUUUCAAAAAGAAAAAUUGAGAACCCUAAUCCCAAUUUCUUCCAUGCUUUGAUCAAAAUCAUUUGAGUAAAAUCUCUCAAAUAUGAAACUUCUGUGUAAUCAAUUGAUUGUAGUAAACAAGCAAACUCUUCCUCGUCAAUUACGUUUUCAUUCAAAUGAUAAAAAGAAAUUAAUUUCUGCACCAUAUUUCAUUACCAUUGCACGAGUUAUCUUCAAAUGUCAUAGGUUUUUGAUGUGAAAUCAAUAAAUCCCUAAUCACCCCCUUUAAGAAAUGUAUGCCAUAAACUCUAUGCUAAGAGUAAAAGCAAUUAGGAAGAUGCAUGAAAGGUGAUUGCCGACGACGGUGAUGCAACUUUGCUUCUUGGGAGAACAAAUUAGAGUAGCAGACCAAGAAAGCAAGGAAGAAAUUGGGGAUUAGGGUUCUCAAUUUUUGUUUGGAAAAAAAAGUUGUGUGAUUAUAUCAUAAUUAAUUUGUUUAUUGUGCAAAUAGAUUAUUUUAUAGAAUGAAUAUUAUGAAAAUAUAAAUGAAAGAAAUAGUGAAAUGACUUGGAAUUUAUAAAACACAUAAUAUAAUAUUAUUCACACACCUCAUCAAAGGAUGAUUUAACCCAAUUUUUACCUUGGGUCAUUUAGACAACCCCAAUUAAACUACACUACUCGGGUACAAAACCCGCAAUAUUCCAUCGAUACUUAUACUAGCGCAAGAGCUUAUUCAUUACAUGGAUAUCUCAUUUUCAUAUAGAGGGAUGGAUCUCUACACUCAUCCAAGGCUGGUAAGAAGCAAGCACAUGCAGUUCAUAAGCAGAAUGAAAUGAAGCACGGCAAACAAAUUGUAAGGGUAAUGAGACUACACGAAUAAGAAGCUCCAGGUGGAACCAUACCAACGAGAUAAUACUAGUUGCCAGACAAAUGGGAUGAAAAACUCAUCUGGAUGACUCACUUGUUCAUAUGUGAAGCGCAGUUGAGUAAACAUCUGAAAAACAAGAUUCAGCCUAAUAGAAACAAACAAGACAAGUACUGCUCCUUAUAUACCAAGAAACCAAAAGAACGUUCUAGUAGUGACCGAACUAGGUCUGCAGUUAAAACUAACACCAACCAUUUUAACCCCUGAUUCACCCUUAUGGCCCUCAAGGGAACCACGUCUCCUCCUUUUACCAUGUGUGGACAAGAGAACCCACGUGAACCAAUUACCUUUUGGGCCUAUACACACUUGACGUGGAACCUAAAUGUCCACCACAAUGCUUGCCUUUAAUUCUAUAUAAACUACCUUAUUCUAUUCAAUGUAUCAUCAAACAAAGGAGGUGUAGCAUUAAAAGCAUAGCUUGUAAACUUGACUAAGCUCUUCCUUGAAAUUCUCUGAUAUAGCAAGUUCUUGUGUUAUCUCAACCAACACUUCCAAUUCAGCAAUGGCUUCCUCAACUUCUGCUAUGCAAUCUAUCCUGGCUAACCCUAUGAUCCGCAUGACCACCAGGUCAAGGGUGAACCAGUUCACCAUUCCUUCUGUCUACAUGCCAAGCCUGAGAAGGAACUCUAGCUUGAGAGUUAGGUCCAUGGCUGAAGAGCCAAAAGAGCAAAGUGCUAGCCCAGUUACUCCAUCACCACCACCACCAAAACCUCGUGCACCAAAGGUGAGUGAGCCAAGUGUUUGAAGAAUAUAAUUUACAUAGUUGUGACUCUGUUCACUAUUUUCUUUACAUUUAAUUAGUUAUAUAUGCUAAUUAAUCCUUGGAUAUGAGACUUUACUAACAUGAGUGAUGGUAAAAUUGCAGGUGAGCACUAAGUUUUCAGAUGUGAUGGCAUUUGGUGGGCCUGCACCUGAGAGGAUCAAUGGAAGAUUGGCCAUGAUUGGGUUUGUAGCUGCAAUGGCAGUGGAAGUUGCCAGAGGGCAGGGAGUGUUUGAACAAAUAUCAGAUGGUGGAGUUCCAUGGUUCUUGGGAACUAGUGUGGUGCUCACUCUAGCUUCAUUGGUUCCACUGUUUCAAGGGGUUAGUGUGGAGUCAAAGUCCAAAGGAGUCAUGACCUCUGAUGCAGAGCUCUGGAAUGGAAGGCUUGCUAUGUUGGGUUUGAUUGCCUUGGCCUUUACAGAGUAUGUUAAGGGAGGAAUCCUGGUGUAAGAGUUCAAAGGCUUAGGAACAAUGUAUUAUAAGGAUUGAUUUAUAGAAGGUUAUGCAUGAAACUUGGUGUGUUUAUUAAUACACAUAGAAUUAAUGAAAUUUCAUACCUUAUUCAUAAACAGAUUUCUUGUUAUCUAUUUCUAAACUAAGAGCAAAAAUCGUUGAAGGCUAUUAUUAACUGUUGGGAUCCAUACAAAUCAAACAAUGUAUUGUUAAUCUGCCUUAUUGAAUAACUUAAAUUUCAAACAUGGAGAUAAACAGGAAAAUAUGAUGGGGUUCUUGCUAAUGAGAAUCAGGUAAUUACUAUCCGGCAAUUGCAAUUAUCUCAUGGCAAACCUGCAGUUAACCUUCAACAUUGUAAUAGCAAAUAUCUAUCUAACAAUGCAUUCAGGAUAACACUGAAAUGUCAUUAAACUAGUUCACACUUCAUAAUGAUAAAUUCGAUGAGAAUUGCAAUAGCAGAUACUAAAAUUACAUUUCAGGAUAUCGAAUGGAACUUUCACUCUUAAUCAGAGAGAAAGCUCAACAUGUCCUUUUUUUCUUGGUUGCCAAAGACUUGAGAGAGAAGAUUACAGCUGGGAGAGAAGUUUACACAUAUGGACUUGGGAAGCUUGGAGGGGUUGUUCAUAAAAUUGACUUGAGUAUGACUUGAGUCGACAAUGUUAAUUGUUCAAUCAUAAAAUACUAAUUAACUCAAAUGGUUAAAAUUGACUUGAGUAUGACUUGAGUCGACAAUGUUAAAUCAUAAAAUACUAAUUAACUUAAUAUUUAAUUGUUCAAUCAUAAAAUACUAAUUAACUCAAAUGGUUGUUCAUAAAAUUGACUUGAGUAUGACUUGAGUCGACAAUGUUAAAUCAUAAAAUACUAAUUAACUUAAUAUGCUGCUUCCGUUUAAUUAUCGACCCUCUCUUUUUAACACAUAAUGAUUGAAAUUUAUUUGGUUUCCACUCAACAUGUCCUUUUUUUCUUGUUUUCCACAAACACUUGAGAGAGAAGGUUACACAUGAGAGAGAAGUUUACACAUAUGACUUGGGAUGCUGAGAGUGGUUGUUCAUAAAAUUGAGUCAAUGUUAAAUAAUAAAAUAUUAAUUAACUCAAUAUUCUACUUUUGUUUAUGCUAUCAACCUUCUCUUUUUAACACAUAAUGAUUGAAAUUUAUUUGGGUUACACUCAAAAUGUGAGUCUCAACUCUCACCACCAAUUUAAUAUGUUCCACGUGAAUUUCAACUAAUAAAAAAAAGUGUUGAAAAGAGAGUUAAAAUGAGUGUUGUUAGCUACUCCCCGUAAUAACACUAUUAUAUGUAUAGAGUACUUAUUAGAAAAUUUUACUAAACUAGUGCAUAAUUUUUUUUAAUUACACAUCUUAUGUAAAUCGCCACUUAAAGUGUUUAUACCAUUUUUUUUCUUACUUUUUUUAUUGAAAUCGUCACGGUCAGUGGCGACAUGUUCUUUUUUUUUUUCACUUUCUUUCUUAGUGACGGAAACGCAUCCGUCACAAUAUACUAGUAUAAAAAAGAAUUUGUGACGCAAUGUGGAGAGAGAAUUCCGUCACAAACUAACAUUUCCUGACAAAAUUCCGUCGCCAAUUAUUUUGCAAUAUUCACUUAGAUUUUGUGACGGAAAGAACUUCGUCGCAAAGUAUAUUCCGUCGCUACGACGGACUACUUCUUUCAACACAUUCCGUCACUAAUUUCUUUUAGAGUAUGUAUUGGAAUUCUGUGACGGAUUUGUUUCCGUCACUAAUGUAAUUUUUUUUUUUGAAAAAAAGGCCAUGUCGCGACUGACGGUGGCGAUUUCAAUAAAAGAAAAAAGGGUAUCGCCACUUGUAAUGGUGAUUUACCCCAGUUAUGUAAUUAAAAAAAUAUAUGCACUAGUUUGAUAAUUUUUUAAAAAAUUGCACUAUGUAGGUACCAAAGUCGAUUACAACAUCCACAUACAUAUACACCGACACAAAAUAAAAUGUUUGGGUACAUACAUCUGGAUGUAGUUCAACUGGAAACAAGUUUAUGGCUUCUGGGUUGAAUGUGAAUCCACUGAAGGUGACACAAUUUUUGCAUUAGUGACAUGCACAGAAUGAAAAACCAUAUGUAGAAGAGAAUUAACAAAAGUUAUAAUCAAUCAUGCGACAGACAAUAGAAAAAUUUCCCUAGACUUAAUCAUCUCGAGCGUCAAUAGUCAAGAUCACCCAAGGCGGGUAAUAAGCAAGCACAUGCAGUUCAUAAGCAGAAUGAAAUGAAGCACGACCAACAAAUUGUAAGAGUAAAAGCCUUCUAGUAGGAAUAAUGAUACUUUCACACCUCUGUUAGAAGUGGAAAGAAGUGAAAUGAAGAAAGAGAUAAGACGAAAAGAAAAAGUAAGAAAGAGAAAAAGUAUGAGAUGUGAUAUAUUAUAAUAUAAGAGAUAAAAAUAAAAAUAUGUGGAAAUAAAGUGUAUAAAAAACAAGGUGUAUACAUACAUUAUUGUUCUUGUAGUGACCGAACUAGGUUUGCAGUUAAAACUAAUUGAAGUCCUAAAGGUUCCACGUCCAACACCAACCAUUUUAACCCCUGAUUCAGGGUGUGUUUGGAUGCACGUUGGAUCAGGCCUGAUCCACGUUUAAAGACCUCAAACGUGAUUUUUCCAUCUCCAUUGAUGUUUGGAUGCUAAAUGCUGAUCCAAUUCUGGCCCCAGAAUUGGAUCCAUCCUAACACAACAAUUUGUUGCUUCAGCAUCAAUGCUGAUCCAAUUGUCCCCUCACCCUUUUACAGAUCCAAUUCAAGUCUAUCAGAUCCAAUUCCUGAUAAAUGUAUCCAAACAUAAAUCAUGUCACUCAAACUCACGUUUACCAGAUCCAAUUCUUCCAGAUUCAAUUCUGGCCAGAUCCAAUUCUGCUAACGCUAAUCCAAACACACACUCACCCUUAUGGCCCUCAAGGGAACCACGUCUCCUCCUUUUACCAUGUGUGGACAAGAGAACCCACGUGAACCAAUUACCUUUUGUGCCUAUACACACUUGACGUGGAACCAAUAUGUCCACCACAAUGCUUGCCUUUAAUUCUAUAAAAACUACCUUAUUCUAUUCAAUGCAUUCACCAAACAUAGGAGGUGUAGCAUUAAAAGCAUAGCUUAUAAACUUUACUAAGCUCUUCCUAGAAAUUCUCUGAUAUAGCAAGUUCUUGUGUUAACUCAAUCAACACUUCCAAUUCAGCAAUGGCUUCCUCAACUUCUGCUAUGCAAUCUAUCCUGGCUAACCCUAUGAUCCGCAUGACCACCAGGUCAAGGGUGAACCAGUUCACCAUUCCUUCUGUCUACAUGCCAAGCCAGAGAAGGAACUCUAGCCUGAGAGUUAGGUCCAUGGCUGAAGAGCCAAAAAAGCAACCUAUUGAACCUGCUACUAGUGCAAGCCCAGUUACUCCAUCAGCACCACCACCAAAACCUCGUGCACCAAAGGUGAGUGAGCCAAGUGUUUGAAAAUUUUAAUUUGUAUAAUUUACAUAGUUGUGACUCUGUUCACUAUUUUCUUUACAUUUAGUCAUGCUAAUUACACCAUGGUUAUGAGACUUUUACUUACAUUAGUGACGGUAAAAUUGCAGGUGAGCACUAAGUUUUCAGAUGUGAUGGCAUUUGGUGGGCCUGCACCUGAGAGGAUCAAUGGAAGAUUGGCCAUGAUUGGGUUUGUAGCUGCAAUGGCAGUGGAAGUUGCCAGAGGGCAGGGAGUGUUUGAACAAAUAUCAGAUGGUGGAGUUCCAUGGUUCUUGGGGACUAGUGUGGUGCUCACUCUAGCUUCAUUGGUUCCAUUGUUUCAAGGGGUUAGUGUGGAAUCAAAGUCCAAAGGAGUCAUGACCUCUGAUGCAGAGCUCUGGAAUGGAAGGCUUGCUAUGUUGGGUUUGAUUGCCUUGGCCUUUACAGAGUAUGUUAAGGGAGGAAUCCUGGUGUAAGAGUUCAAAGGCUUAGGAACAAUGUAUUAUAAGGAUUGUUUUAUUGAAGGCGAUGUAUGAAACUUGGGUGUGUUUUUUAAUACCCAUAUAGAAUUAAUGAAGUGUCAUACAUUAUUCAUAAGCAAAGUUCUUGUUAUCUACAUCCAUACUAAGAGCAAAAAUCGUUGAAGCCUAUUAUUUACUAUUGUAAUCCAUACAAAUCAAACUAAACAAUGUAUUGUUUACCUGCCUUAAUCUAAUAACUUAAAUUGCAAAUAUGGAGAUAAACACGAAAACAUGAUGGGGUUCUUGCUAAUGAGAAUCAGGUAAUUACUAUCCAACAAUUGUAAUCAUAAAACAAACUACAUAUCCUCAUGGCAAACAGAAAAUUAGUGUAGUAUAAACAUUCAGAUUAAUUGUGCUAGGUAACCUGCAGUAAACCUUUAAAUAUUGUAAGAGCAGAUAUCUAUCCAAUCUAACAAAAAUAGAAGCCGCGAUAUUGCAUGGAUACUAAAUACUAGGGUAAGAGCUUAUUCAUUACAUGGAUAUCUCAUUUUCAUAUAGAGGGAUGGAUCUCUACACUCAAUAUAUGAACAGAAAGAAUGAGAACAAUACACAACUUUUUUUUUCCCAGUGCGCUAUUUCAUAUGUACAAAUAUUCACCAACAUAACUAGUAUUUCCAGCAGCCACGGCUGUCCUGUCCUCAGCUAUGGAUCAAGCUGAUACUCAGGCCUGUCAAAACCACCAUUUUCAAGUGUGCUUUCCACCACCCCAUUUUCAAGUCUCUGCAUCGUCAAUGACCAAAACAAGAGAAGAAAUCAGGAAUAGAAAUCACAUCAUGCAAUGCAUUAAGUUGGCCUUGACCUAACAAUAUACAUGACAAAGCUACAAGUUGCUCUUUAAUUGUUUUAAACGUCAAAUGUAAUGCAGUGGUUCAAUUUUGACAAACAGACAAGAGUUUGGUUUCGUAGAAAAUGUGCCUCCAGUAUGCUUUAUGCAAAUGGGACGUGAGAAUGAUAAUGAUGGUAGGUAUUUAACCACUAUAAAAACAAUAAGAUAUGUUGCAGAGAAUGAUAAUGAUGUGACAAUGAUAAUGAUGGUAGGCAGUUACCACAAGAAAUAGGAAAUGCAGUUAUACGAUUUGAUUAGAUGUUGCAUGUGCAUCCACAUAUACACAAACAGAAAAUAAAAUGUUCGGGUACUUACAUCUGGAUGUAGAUCAACUGGAAACAAGUUUAUCGCCCCUGGGUUGAAUGUGAAUCCACUGAAGGUGACACAAUUUUUGCAUUAGUGACAUGCACAGAAUAGUAAAAAACAUAUGUACAAGAGAAUUAACAAAAGUUAAAAUCAAUCAUGCGAUAGACAAUAGAAAUAAUUCCCCAGACUUCAUCAUCUCGAGCGUCAAUAGUCAAGAUCAUCCAAGGCUGGUAAUAAGCAAGCAUAUGCAGUUCAUAAGCAAAAUGAAAUGAAGCACGACCAACAAAUUGUAAGAGUAAAAUAACAAUAUGCCUUGAGACUACACGAAUAAGAAGCUCCAGGAACCAUACCAACGAGAUAAUACUAGUUGCCAGACAUAUGGGAUGAAAAACUCCUCUGGAUGACUCUCUUGUUCAUAUGUGAAGCGCAGUUGAGUAAACAUCUGAAAAACAAGAUACAGCCUCAUAGAAACAAACAAGACAAGUACUGCUCCUUAUGAUAUUCCCCACUGGUGGGCGGAAGCAAACCACAAAUCAUGAAAUCUAUUUCAUCUUACCUUCAUUCCAUCACCCCUCCACGAACGACAAUUGAUAAUUAUCACUUGGAGCACUUCAUUAACUGACCAGUCACCAUCUACUCGAUGGGCAUCCAUACGACUAUUGAAAAAGUCUAACACCUGCAAAUAUUUAAUAAACACAUUUUUCAGAGAAACAUUGUAUUGUAUAUUAUACAAAGACAAGGUUCAUUGAUGUUACUGAAAACAGCACAGAACUUGCCCCUAUAAAAGUUGCAAGAUUUGAAAGGGUAAGUAUACGCUGUAACUUUGACUUAAGUAUAAGAUAUUAAACAUACAGUAUAAAUGUUUUCAAGCAGUUCAUUGAAGCGUGGAUGAUUCUUGUAUGGCAGAAAGACUUCCUGCCUGUGCAUUACUGCAUAUACAACCUGCCCCAGACACGUAAGAAAGUGAUACAGUAAUCUUUGACAAUUGUGAACUGGAUAAAAAUAGAUGUGAUAAAUCAUUGAUCAAUGAAGUAGAAGAUCGAAUCAUACCUCAGGAUUCCGAGGCAGCGCAUAAGUCAGGAUUGCAUUUAUUAUUUCCAGUACAAGUCUUAAGAAGUCAGUAUAAAUGUGUAACUCAGUUGACUGCAUCAAAAGAAUACAUAAUUUAGAAAAAGGACUGGUUUAAAGUUUGUAAUCAGUAUAACUACUAAAAAACCAAGGUGGUAUGUACCACAUCAUCUACAAGGUUGUUUCCUUCAAUUGAGUUUCCUUUUGCACUAUGGAGCUUAUUAUCUCGGCGAUCUGUUAAUUUGCUAUACCUAGAGAGAAGCAAAGAUUUAGUCAAUUUUUUAUACCAGAGAUCACAAUCAGCUCUAAACACAUAAUUUUGAAAUGGAAAUAGCACAUUAUGAAGAUAAAGAAAGAAGAGAAACAUACUUGCGUGAAAGCAUAUCAAAAAGGCUGACUAGUCUCUGAGAUGCAUAUGCGCUCAAACGAUGGGCAUGAGGUGCCAUGUUAGCCAAUGUUGCCAGACAUGUUGUGUGGAGAUAGACAUCCUAUCAUUAUUCAAUACAUAAAUGAUCUAAGGCAAAAUAUAAAAUAAAAGCAGUUUUAAUAGCUCAAUGCACAUAAACUACUAAUGUAAACAGGAUAUGAAACAUUUCUAAGAUGGAAAUAUGUCUACUCUACUCGUGUCCAUAGGCAUAUUAUACAUGUAGUCAUUGUUGUCAGUAGACAGAGGAUGACAGUAGCAGAUCUCUCAGUAGUGACCAUAUUAAUAGGCUAAUAUAUUAGGGUUUUUUGUACAAUAUAAGUAUCCUCUUAAUUACACAAUCAGUCAGCAGAAAAUGACAUUUUAGAAUUAAGAUACAUGUAAUUAAAUUAAUAGUACAACUGUACAAAUCAGUUUAAGAUUCAUACCCGUAGUUUAGACAAAUUAUACUGCACAGUUCUGAUAAGAAUUAUGACCAUGAGGGAACCAAGAGAAGUCUGAUGGAGAAGACGUUCUUUGUACCACGGAACACCAGUCAAUAUCUGUCCAUUUAUAACCACAUUAGCAUUCAGGAAAAGUUUUGCAGUUUCAGGACAAAUUCUAAUGGUAAAAUAAAACUCUUACCAGCUUAUGAGUGCUCGCAUUGAAAGAAGAAUCUUGACUGAGUAUAAGAAGUAUAAUCAGCAACAUGUAAAUUUGAUUAGCUGUUCUUCUUUGAGCAUUGUAUAGAGCUUCCAAAAUCGGCAUUAACUGUUAAUGAUAGGAAUAAGACUCAGUCUUCAGUCUCUCUAGAUGUAUCACUAGGGCCCAUAUGAUUUAGAAUGACUUAAAACAGGUUGUUAUAAGUAUCACAUGAUAAUCAAGUGAAUACAUGUUUCACAAAGUAAUAGGCCUCGACAGAACUUCAUCUGAAAAUUCUUCUUUUGACUCUUGCAUAUAUAGAUAAUUAAUUAAUUCCCACGUUCAUUCAUAAGAGAAACUUAAGUUUACUGCCUCAUACCAAUGUAUCUAUAUCAGUCCGCACCAAGACAUACUCAAGAAAGGCCGCAUUUCCUUGUAACAAAGAAUAAAGCAGUAGGACAGCUGCCUCAUCAGGUAAGCAUCUGCAGGCGAAUACAAGUUGCCAUGUUAAAAAACUAAAAAAUGUACAAAAUCCAAAACAAAGAAUUGGAAAUAGUAUUUUGUACACAUUCUGAUCAUGGUAAGCAUAACAUGGAUGUAGAUGUUAAUAGUCAAACAUGUAUACAGAUAGAUAGAUGCUCACAUGCCAAGUGUAUCAAACAAUGAAGCAAAAGGCAACUUUAUGUGUCGACCACUGUGUGCAUUGCCCUCAACAUCUACCCGAUCCACUGCAUGUAAAGGGCGAAUAAAAAUUAGGUAGGCUUCUCAAUCAAUUAAAUUAAAUAUACAUGGAUAUGAAAAAUAUAUUACAUUCACAAUCAAUUGCAUGCUCCAAGGCCUUGCAGUAGGGGUUGUCAGUAAAAUAAAGAUUUUCUUUGAGUAAAGAAUCUGAUGUGGAAGACUUUUUAUUCUCAAUGGCAGAGUAAUCCUCACUAAUAGCAUAUUUAUGAUAAUGAAUCAGAACAAGAAGCACGUAAAGACUGCUCUCCGCUAUAGCACUUCUUGACCCUUCACCGCUUGAACUGACCAAAUAACUGAAUGGCAAUAAAACAAUAUUUGCUGCAAGGAAAGAAAAAAGAAAGUACCUAUCAGUAAGUUCCCAGCCUAUCACACAAUAAUCUUGCAGCAAAUAGAUAAUUAUAAUAAUAUUGUCAAAAAAGGAUAUUUGACAUCAAAGAAUUCAUAAAAGUAUAUCAAGUCAUCAUACCAGCUGCAGAACCAACUCUCUGUAGCACACUACUCUGACUUCCGUCAUAAAAGACGGAAUAAGUUGCCCUGUUGAAUGAAACACUAGGGCGGGCAGUAAAAUUUAGAAAUAACUUCCGAACAACUGAAUUAACCAGAGAGCUGUCCUGCAAAAAUAACAACACACUAACCUGACAUUUACUAUCUGCAAAUUCAGAUAAACUCAACAACCAAUGCUAGAUGUUGAAAUAUGAACUUCUAACCUGAGCCAUUGCUGCAUCGAGAAAUGGGUUCACGUCAUUGGGUCCAGGAGAUGGCCCACAGAGAAGUUGAGUUGACAUUGCAAUAAUCAUGAAAUUAAGCAGCUCUAAAUGUAGGAGACAUGUGUGGGAACUAUAAUUGAUAAAAUAAAGUCAGGCAAUAAAAUUCUCACAAUAACUCAACAAGAAUUAGCAGGUCAAGUUACUCAUCACUCACGAUAUACCUCACUUCUACUGAUGCUAUAAAGUUCAGCACAUUCCGCAUAACGAGAUUUUCAAUAGUUUGAUCUGUAUAAAAAAUUAAAAAAUAAAAUAAGAGAUCUGAAAGACACUGGAAAUACAACAUAAAUUCAAAAAAGACUUGAAAGAGAAAAAUGAGAAAACUUAUGUGAACCCCAUGAAAUGUAAGGAAGUUCCAAUUCAAACAAAAGUAAAAAAUCAUGUAUAUAUCUAAUCAAACGAAAUAAGUUGGCAACUCAACAGCUAAGCCAACAAGUUACCCAAGCAGGUUGCCAGACUUCAGCUCAAGCAUUUACAUGAAUCUCAUACUAAUAAUACACCACCCAAAAUAGUGCAAUGAAAUUUACAUGUCUGUAUGUUUGCAGAAUCUGAAACAAUCACAGUUAUACGUACCUGCCAAAACAUCCUUCGGUAAAGCCUCAUCUAAAUCAAGAGACAGGCAUAACUGGACAUCAUUUUCAAUCAAGUGCUUUAAAAAUACUGAACUAAUGUAAACUGCAUUAGCAGCCUUUUCAUAAUCCAAGGGUAGCCCACCGGAGGUAGACAUCGACUCUUGCAAGCAGCAUGCUAGAUGGAACAAAAUCUUUGCAAGAUGCUUGGUGUGCAGAUUGUUUUUGGCUGCAAAACAUUUGCGAGUAAAUUCCCAAUGAAAAGGAAAAAAAAAAAUCACAUAUUAGAAACAAUUUUACUUUCCUUAAUAGCAUAAUCACCAUAUCAUAAACUACUACCAAUGCAUUCAAAGAGAGUAAAACUGAAAAAGAAACAUGUAGAAUGAGUUCUUUUAGAAAACAAUUUUCCUCAGAGAGCAUAAAUAGCAUUCUGAACUCAUGAGAAAGAAAAAUCACACUCCAACAUUCUACCCCACAAAUUAAAUUAGAGAACACACAUAGCAUUCUUGACAACAAUAUUAUCAGUUUUAGAAAGGAAAUUCACACUCCAACACUCUAGCCCAAAAAUGAAAUGAAACUAAGCUCUUAACCAAUGCUAUUCCCCACGAAUUUAUCAAAUGAAGCCUCCCUUUGAAUCCAUUAUCAUUCUAAGCAUUAAGAAAACGGUGAUCAGGGAAAGUAAUCAGAACAAGACUAACCCAAUAGCUCGCAAGCUUGCUGAACACGAUCAGUAGGCCAUUGAACAUUGAGAGGAAGCUCCAGCAAUUUCUGCCAAAACUCAGACGAAACCGGAAACGACUCGUCACCGACAAAAGUCCCGAUAAGAUACUCCGCCGUCUCCGGCGAGAAUGCGCCACGGUUUCUCGGCGUUGACGGCACCGACCCCAUUCGGAAAAGCGGUUUAUUACGCGAUGCGGUGUGUUGGGUCGUCGAUACUCGUCAAAACGGUAGGAGAUUCAGAGCAACGACAAUGUGCGAAGACUCGCGGAGAGAUCAAAAGGGUUUGAUCCAAACACGAAAAUGGAGAUGGGUUUUGAAAAUCUCGCGAUAUCGUGAAGAGAAGAAAGAGAACAGGGAGAGUGUGCGAAGGAAGAGAAGAGAAGACGAAGAAGAAGAAGAACAACAACAGAAGCAGCUUCGAAAUGAAGGUUUUGCAGAGAAAUAAUAAGGACUUGUUUGGAUGAUGGAGCGUCUUGCUUUAUUUAUCUCAUUGAAUUGACCUUCUGAAAAUGGUGGAAACCAAACAAGACGCAAUCGGAAUUUCUUCAAAAUCAAACAUUUCUAAAUCUUUAAUGAAAAAACAAAACAACUUGUUUUUUUCUUUUUUUGACGUGAAAACAACUCGUUUUCUUUUUUUCGUUUGUUGUAAAUAAUUAGUAUAUGGCCUUUCAACCAAAAAUAAGACUUUGUUUGAUGUGAAAAUGUGAGAGAUCUAUCACCUCGCAAAUGGAUAAUUAACUAAACUCGAGACAAAAUAAACAAAUUAAUAAAUAAAAGUAAUAAUUGGAAAUUAAAUAAAGCAUUGCAUUUGUUAAGAAUGCAAUGUGUUUCAAUGUGCAUUUAGCCUAAAGCUUUGACUUACCCAUUAUAAUUCUCAACAUAACCUAAUAGUGUACCAAACAUGUAUAGUUUACUUUUUUAUUCUUCAAAAAAAUUACGACAAAGAGAAACAAUGUUAAGACGUUAUUAAAGAGUUUUUUAGAAGAAGAAUCUCUAGAUUAAUUAAGUUGGGAACAUCAAUGAAACGAGUACUCAAGAUAGGUGUGUGACCUCCUAAUCUAGCUUAGAAGUUCGCAAAAACAUUACAAUCACAAUGCACAAACUUAAGAGAAACAUAGAUUCCAAUUCUUCUUAUGAGACUAAUAUCCUUAAGCAGAGGCAUGAAUUAAUCUCAGGUUAUCCAGAAUCCAGAUCAUCAUUAAGGAAAGAAAUGAGCUCCGCACAAUUCAUCUCACAAACAACUACUAUACUUACGAUUCGAAGCAAAGGAAAGAUCUUCACACAACGCAUGAGCCUUAAUUAGAGAGAAGUGCAUGACCGCCAGACCCAUAGGGCGCAAGGGCACCCAUCCACAUCAUGGGUCAGUAUGCAUGGCAUGCCAAAUAAAUAAGUGAAACGUUUUCUGAAAUUUCUAAUUUUUCAAAUGUUUCAGCAACUGAAAUUAAUAUCAUUCUUAUUUUGAUCACGAAGCCAGCAUCCUCACAGUAUAAAUGCCAUUGGCAUUAUUCACCCAGUCCAAACAUCCUCAGGUGAAUUUUAUAAAACAUUAAAAAAUAAUAAUAGCAAUUCCCAUGUAUCAUUAAAAUAGAAUUGUAAUAUGAUUAUAUAAUGAAUUAAUUAAUUAUUUAACAGUAUUUUAAUUUUACAAAUGAACUAAUUCUUAUUAAGACCCUUUAAUUAAAAAUGAAAAUAAUGAAUUUCUACCUUGCCAAUAUAUAGUUAGUACGAUUAUAAAAUUUUAGAAUGAACAAUUUUUUCAAAGAAAAAUAGUUUGUAAAAAAAUGGACUUUUUUCAAAAAAACAAUUUUAAUAUCUAUUAUAUAGCACAUAACGUAAAGUUGAAAGAGUGAUUACGACCAAAGAAAAAUCAAAGUGGACAAGUAGUUGGCUCCAUUCAUGGGUACGUAAGGCUUGUUUCCAUUUGCUGAUUAUUCUACUCUUCAUUAUUACAAUUUACAACUAGCCACGUAGAAUUGUUACAAAGAAAAUUUGAUUAUAAGUUAUUUAAAUUAUAUAUUAAUAAACUAAUUUAAAUAUAUAUUUCAAAUAAGAUUAUUCGAAAUCUGCAUGGAUGAAUAUUCCUAUUUCUUAAUAAUAAAGUGUGAAUUUCUAAUUACCUGCCACCUUUCCUAGCGUUUAUUGGUUGAGUGAUGUUGGAACCGAUUAAGACGUGACACCAUGUCGGUACCGUUUCCUUGUAAACGACACGUCGUUCCCAGCCAUUAUCAAUGAUGUUUUUUUUUAAUGAAUUUCUUGUAUGUGUUUUCUUUAUUUUAGAGUAUAAUUUUUGGGUGCAUCGGAAAAGAGAGUCUAUCCAUUAAUAAACAAGUAACGUUUAAUUAAAAUCUGUCAAUAUUUGUAAAUAAAAUUAUACUUUGAGUUUGACUUGUUUAUUUUGAUACUAGUGCUAAUUUAAUAUUUUUUGUUGAUCAUUUCAUAUCAUAUUAUAAGUUUGUAGUAGUGCUAUCUAUUUUCUUAAAAUCUAAAUAUUAAAAUAUUAGAUAUAUAUUAUAUGCAAUUUUUAAAUUGACAAAUUACGAGUAUUGAGAUGGUCAUUCUUAGCUCGCCUCUAAUGGGUGGUUAGGAUUAAGCUCUAGCAUUUGAAAAUUGCAUACAUUAGACCGUGAAACGUCUCGUGGACAAGUGAUCAACACAUCUUGCUUAUUUCAAGCUAAUUAACACUCUGAUGACGGUUGCUUUGGGUAGUGAGUUUGAGGUCGGUAUGUCAGUUACUUUUUUUUUUUUUUUAAAUUGGCUCCAUUGAUUUGAUUGUGUUUUCCUUUUAUUUGCUUGGUUUCUUUCCUUGCAUGCUAUCAACCAACCAAUUUACUAUUGAUUCACCCAAACAAUGAACCCAUCCAUAUUUUAUAAUUAAUUAGGUGUUUAUGUCGUAGUCUCUUUGAUACAAUAACUAAGACUUAUAACUCCUAUAUUAUUUUAGAGAUGAAGUAUAAAUUGUUCUUUGCGCAAGUACUUGAAAAGUGUCAAGACAUUUACAAAAGACACACUCUAACACGUAAGUCAAUUUAAUUAUAGGAAAGAGAGGAAAUCUCAUAGCCUAUGAAGAGCAAUGUGAGGGUUCUUAUGGUGCAAGGAAAGACCUUUAUACUUGAUCCUCUAAUUUUGCUCAUAAGCAUGGGUAGUUAACUAUUUGCCAACAUGGAAUAACGUAUAACUCUAGUUGAAUUCGCUUUACUUAUGUUCUAACAACGUAACAUUUAUACAUAGCAAAGUCAGUUGAUUAGGAUGAUGAAAACCUUGUUUUCUUUGGUUUGAUGGUGACUUGAUUAUUAUAUUAAACUUGAUCAUUUAAGCAGAUUAGAGUGAAGUUGUUUGGUAAUUUAUUUUAAUCAUAAUGACAUGGGUCGUAAGGUCAUCUAGACCGCCCAGCCAAAAUAAUAUGGGAAAAAACUUGAUAGGAAUCAAAGUAAAAUAAAUAAUUAACAACUCAUAUUUGAUUUUUAAGAACUAAAAUUUAAUUUAUACUCAAAAUACACAUUUCCUGCCAGCCACACUGCUCAGUGCUCAUGCAUAGCAUGUGCAAUCUUAUCGCUUAAGCAGACAAUUGAAGAAACCCUGCGUGACCCAACCCAAUUUUUGUGACACCAUCAUCAAAAUUUCUGCAACUCAUCUGCAUUUUUUCCAUUAAAGGAAACGAAGCUCUGCCAACGUCUUAAAAUAAUUCACAUGCAUGCAUUAUGAUGCCUCCCGUUAUGCUCCAAUCCAUGGUGUUUUUUUUUUCUUUUUAAAAGGUUCCUUUUAUUUUGCAGAUUAAAAGCCAGAAAACUCAAGAACAUAAUUAAAAUGCAAAUAUAUUUGGCUCUUCAAAAUAAAAUUUGCAAAUAUGUGUCAUGUUACACUAUUCUUUAGUCAUUACCAAAAAUAUUUUGAGCACAAAAGUGAAAUAUGCAUGCUGGCAUGAUUUCAGAUGUGUCCCUCACACAGGGUGCAUUUGAAAAAGGUUUCCUUCAUUGCUUGGUAGCAAAUACAGUGCACUGUUUCGUCUCCUUUUUAAUACAAAAAAGAUUUUUUUUUAUUUACUACAACUUACAUUAGUGUCAUUCACACUCAAGAACAAGAGAAAUAUAAUUUGUUGAAAAGUGCAAGUCUAUAUGGUCAAGAUAACACUUUUGAGAUACCAUACUAUUAACACUUUUUAAGUUAACUAGAGUUAACUCUACCAAAUUCUAAUAUUACUCAUACAUAAAUCACCCACAAAUAUUCAUUCCUUCAAAUCCCAGGCUCCAUAUGUCUAGUCGUGGACAUAUUAAAAGGAUGUGUUGAUAAAUCUCACUUUAAAUAAAAAUAAAGUCAAAACAUUCUACAUAUAAUAAAACAAUACUCACCUCCAAACUAGUGGUUUAGGAGGUUGCUCAGCUCAUGGUUUUUUGGGUUAAUUUCUACCCUUCCUUCUACUAAUUUUCUUUCUCUUUAUUUGAAAUAUAGCUGUUGUUCUCAUUUAAUUUUCUCUUGUAUUGAGUUGAGGCAUCUCUAUCUUUCCAUUUAAUGUCAUUUUACUUUUAUUUUUUAUUCGAAUUCUAGCACCCGUGUGCUAGCUUUGAAUGCAAUUGCUCAUAAAAAAAAGUUAAACUAGACUUUCACUAACUGUAUGCUAUAACUAUCCUAAGUUGCUAACCACCUAUUUGUUACACGUACUUAUAAAUAAACUCAAAAAAUUACAAACAUUGUACAAGUAUACCACCAAUUUGGUGGUCUGUGGUAGAAUGCCCUACCAAGAGACCCUUCUGAAAGAUUGUUUGACACCUUCUCAAGUGUUGAAAUUGAAAACACAAAUGGCAUGUAACAAUGUAGAACUUUCAGAGAGAUCAUGGGAUAUUAUAUUGAAAUUUGGAUAUGAAGUUAAUUUUGAAAUUGAAUAAUGGAGAAAACCAUGAGAACAAACCACCAGUGUACUUGCAUCUAUUCAUGCUUUAAAAAUGGGCCAUGACACUAUCACAAGAGUUGGAGUUUAGUAUCUAGAGAAUCAAGUAUAUAUCAACAUGAAACUGGUCACAAAAGUAUAACGAAGGAAGGAGAUACAAGUACAACCACCACCCAACUAAAUAUUUGACUGAAAUCUUCAAUCCCCAUUUGAUAUUCUCUUACCUGUUCCACCAAUCAAAUUAUACCAUAUCAUUUAAAAAUUAUCCAUGUAAGACUAUAACACACUUACAUGGUACAGGUUAAUUGGUGAGAUAGGAAAUGAGACACCAAAUCAAGACCGGAAAUUUUCAUCCUUCUCAAGGUAGAAAAAUUGCAGCCUAUGACAGCCUCCUAUUUGGACCAGAGGCCAAAUAACCAAGUUGCUCAGCCAAUACAUCUACAUCUUCAACAUCUAGCACAUGUUGAUCACCAAUACCCUCAUCAAGCAAAUCUUGCCAAAACACUUCAUCAAUGUUUUGAUCACUACUUCUUCUAAGAUGAACAUGAUCUUGCUCCACGUUCAUCAUGUUCUGGCUUCCACAUUGUCCCUCAAUAUUCAAAGCAUAAUCCAAGUCAGAUACCUCAAACUCUACUAAUUUGUCACUGUAUUCAUGUGAUUGUUCAAGUUUAACAAAUUCAGAGCUAUCUUCAGCAUGUUCUAAUUCACAUGGCCCUUGAUCAAUAGGUCGCCUUCUCUUCUUGGAAACUGCCUCCUCCGAUUCCUUUCUCCAUUCCUUUUGUUGAGCUAAUUGCUGCAAGAAAUUGGGAUUUUGCACUGCUCUUGCCAAGAAACUCAUCAUCUGUUGCUGUUUCUGCUCUGUCCUUUUAAUCCUUCCUUCCAUUGCUUGAAUGUGAGCUCUAGUACUCUGUUGCUGUUGUCUGAGUUUCACCAACUCCACCAUGAGAACUUGCCGGUCACGCCUUAACCGAUCAACUUCUCCGUCUAAUCCGAACCACCCCACCUCAACACAAGGGUCUAGAGCUUGCUGCAUUGCCUGAGAUUGAUUGGCUUUCCUCCUUCUAAUAUUCUUCAAAAGAUCUUUCUGUCCUCUAAGAAACAUCUCAUUGGCAAACUCCCACCUAUCUGGAUCAACCUUCUUAAACCCCUACAAUAUCAAAUUCCUCCUUCAUUUCCAAGUCCAUAAAAUCCCAAUGUGGUAAUGGUUUGAGAAAGGAUAAACCAGAAUAAAGGAUACACAUCUUGUUUACAUAUACAUACAAGUCUUAAUGCAUGUUUGGAAUUAGUUUUACAAUUGAUUCUAAAGCCAAAAUCAACUAUAAGAGGAAGUUGUAGCUUCAUAGUACAUAAUUGAUUCUGAGGAAAGAGAAACUGAUCUCAACACUUAACAACAACAAUUUGCAUAUAUAGCAUCAUUGCAGAUGAUAUAGAAGCGCAAAUCAACACUGAACAACAACAAAACAAGUCUUAUCCCACUAAGUGAGGUUGACUAUAUGGAUCACCCUACGCUAUUAAGCUCGAUAAAAAAUUAGAUCAAAUCAACACUGAACCAUGUAUCAAUUUAUAUUCUAAAUUCAAUUUAUAUUCUAAAUUUUCUACUAUUUCCUACUCAAGACAUCAGAUUAACAAAAUGUCAAUAGGGAAACCCAUUACUAUAGGAUAAAAUUCGACCAACCAACUAUGAUAAGUAAAAGAAUACUAACACACUCCAGCAGCUUCAUGAACUUCAAUGAAGAUAAGGUUAUCAUUACUCAUGACAACAUCAAGAUGCAAUCCAUAUAUAAAGAAAACAGCACAGAUCAGAAGUUACUGACAUACAUAGGUGUUGAGUUGCCUGACAAAACUGGAGAAAUUGUUGUGCUUGAAGAAUCUGGGGAGAAGGCUUAUGGAAAAGGCCUGUGGGUUCCACACUACGAAGCUGUUAUUCCCUGUGCUCCAUGAAAUUAUAUGAUUUGUGGAAGGGUCAUCAACUAUGUCGUAUGUUUUUGUGAGGAAAGGUGGAGGACCAGUUUCUUGAAGACACUCCAUUGGUUGGGGAGGAACGCCACCAGAAUAGGAAGAACUUUGUCCUACAAACUCCUCUUUCUUCAUUCGUCCCUGAGCCUGAGGAUUCAUAUGGAGCUUUGAUCUGGGAGGUGGUGGCUUUGACUUUGAGGUUGUGAGGCUUUCCUGAUCUCAACUGUUUUGGUAGAGGAUAUUUGAAUAAUGUCAGGUGAAACUGUGUAGGUUGAUGAGUUCAAAUGAAGAUCUGAUCCAGUUCCUUCCUCUAAAGAAGUAAUAGUUCAUGGAAAAGAACUUGAAGAGAGAGGUAGAUGAAGGGUGAGCUUAGAGGGUUGUGAUUAUUAUUAUUAUGGUAUGGAGAAGGAUGGAGUGUUAGGAAUGAAGGAUAUGGAGGAAGCACAAGCAGGUGCACCAUGAGCUUUGUUCAAUUUAUUAUCUGUCUAAUGCCUAUCUAUGUUCUCCUUUUCUUUUUUCACUUACAUACAAUAACAAACUUAAUGUAGACAUAUUUUUCAUUAAGUGUUGAUUAGUCUUUUUUUUUUCUUAGGUAUUCUCCUUUAGAAGCAUAAUCUUAUUUGAGCAAAAAAACAUUCAUAUUAUGACAGAGUUAACUCAAAAUUUAAACUAAAAACUUUACUUAAGAGAAAUCAAGCAUAUAUCACUUGAACCAACAUAUUUAUUCCUCUACUCAAAUAGUAACAUAACAUACCUCACACCUGAAUAUACAUUUACACAAAUCCAUCAUGAUAUGAUAUAUGACGGGUUUGGAUCCUCUCAUGUGUAAAAAAAUUUGAGAGUGUCAAGUUUCAUCAUCUUACCAUUAACUUUUGUGUAGGUAAUAAAUAAAAAAUAAAAUAAAAUAAAAUUAAUAGUGAGAUGAUGAAACUUGACACUCUAAAGUUUUUUUACACGUGAGAAGAUCCAAAUAUAUGACUCAUGGGUGUAGGGAAAAGUAAAGUGAAUAGAAAUCCAACAUGUCAACUAGAUAUUUUUCUCUCUCCGCGUGUUCUUUCUCUUUUGGGAAAGUAGUUGAACAUUGCACUGGCCAAUAACCAAAGCCAAAUGCUUGGUAGAAUAGUGUUCAUUUAUUAGUAAUUUUUAAUUGAUUCUCUCGGAUGAAUAAAAUAUUACUAGCAGUAAAUUUAUAAAAAAAUAAAUAACAUUCUUAGACUACUCAUGAAUUUCUUUAUGUAAGUAAAAGCUAAGCUUUUCAAAAUUACAUUCUAUCAUGCUAAAUAUUAGAGUGUUUUGGAUAAAAAUUAUAAAAUACUUCAUUGGUAUUAUAAAUUAAUAUUAUAAAGUGAAUUAUCAAUUAUAUUUAGAAUUAAAACUUAUAAAAAACACUUAUCGAUAGCAACAUAUAUAAAAAGUAAUGUGAUAGAAAGAGUGAAAAAUAAAAUAUAUGAUAGACGUUAUUAUUAUAUUUUCAGUAUAACAUUUACAGUAAAUAACUAAUAAUUAAAUAAUUGUUUGAUUUUUAAUGGAGUGAUCAACUUUAUUUAUAGGAUUUUUUUUCUUUCGUUUGUUUGAUUUUCACCGUGGUGGUGAACAAUUUGUUGUAAGCAAUUUUUACUCUUAAAUGCAUAAACCAAUGUUUUUAUUAAUACAAAAAUUAGCACAAGUGGUGAUCGAAACCAAUUUUUCUAUUAAUACAAAAAUUAGCACAAGUUAAGAUGGGGCGAGGGACACGUAGCCCAGCUUUUUGGCACCACGAGAGGCAGACACGUGUAUGCCACAGGCUAUUUUUAUAUCAGAUCAAAACAAAAUAGUGAAGUGUUUGGUGUAGAACCGAAUCGAAUGUACCCGACACCAAGAACAUCCAAAAAGUGAUCACAGCAAAGUAAGUGAUCCCAUAUUUAAUUUUAUUGUUAAAUUCAAAACUCUUUUGUGUAUUUCUUUAACAAGUAUCUUACAAUUUAAAUAGAUGUUACACAUUCAUGAAACUUGUGAUAGUUCUAAAUAGCCACAAUUACAUUUUGCACUAGCUUUAAACGCACACGUGUUGUGAUGGUUUUUAACUGCAAAAAAACCUGUAUGUCACCAGGUCACGCAAGAAGGGUUCAAAUAUCACCAUUUUAACACUAUAUAACAUUUAGCCUUGUCGUUUCACAAUAAUUGAACAUACUAUAAGGCAAGAUAGGUCUCACUCUAUCUCUCACCUGAGAUAUCCCUCCAGCCACCGUAACAUUAUUAGGCAGCCAUGAAACAACAGCCUUCAAACCCUCCCACCACCCCAGCACUGUCAAACCCUCGCCUCUCUCGUUUUAUUUCCCUUUCUAUGUGAAUGUUGAAUUAUCUUCUAACUUGGUGAUUGUGAACACUUUUAAUCCAAACCAAAGAAAGUAAAAUAUGCUAAGAGUAUAGAUACAACCACAUAGUGAUGCUAUGUUCUACUCUGUUCACAAAUUCCAGAACCGCAUACUAAUAACAGGGAUGAAUAAAAUGAAGACAAGACUAAGCUAAAGAAGAAAGCAGAAGUAUGAGGAGAUAAUCAAUCUUGCUCCUAGCUAAAAAUAACCCCAACAUAGGUUGACUAGGUUCUUGCCUUCACCCCUGUCCUUUGUCACCAUUGACAAAUGAGGAAAAAUGGUUCAACUUCGGCGCGGCUAGAAAAAUCGGCGUUGAGCGGCACCGCUAGAAAAAUCGGCUUCGCACGUUGUCUGAGCAGGGGAUGAAGGACACAAUCUCGAGUGGCCAUCAUGGAGGAUAAAAGUACAACCUUGGUCUCAUCUCACUAACAGCAAAAUGAGCAAUCACAAAGGCGGCUGAGCGAGAAGGAAGAACUGCAACCUUGCAUGAGUGCAGGGAUGGACCCAAGUGCUCCACAAAUGGGGCAGUCGCAAAGAGAAUUUUAUUUUCAUAUAAUAGUAUUUAAAUGUUGUAUUCUCCCCUUAAGUUUUAGUGUAAAUAAGUUUUACACAAUCAAUCAAUCACAACCCUCUAUUUUGCUAGCUCAUAGUUAAUUUUGAAUUUAAUAAAUUUUAAAUAUGAAAUGGAAAGUUGUGAUUGAAUGAUUGUGUAAAACUUUUUACACUGUCAGUACAUAGAAAUUAAUCUCUAUACUAUUUGCAAAGUAUAUGUUUAUGCUGUACCCAGUUCCAAUAAUAAUACCUCUAAGUCAGAUCCUUAAACAGUACCGGACAAAAUAGAAUACAACAUCAGCUAUGGGGUUAAUUACACACAAACCAUAACAUAUAAAGCCGGUCAUUUUAUUUGAACAGACCAUUAUUGUUUUUAAACCUUAGUCCUUUUCAACCCACACUACUAUCGAUCAGGCAGAACCAGAUCUCACUCUCAUGCAGCAGCAUCAACAGCAUUGUUGGCAACAUCCUUUUCCAGAAAAGCCUUGAUAUAUUCCUCUCUGCACAUUGAAAACACAAUAUGAACCACAACAAAAAGCCUAUCUGAUUGUCCCAUAGGCUACUGAACUUGUUAAAUUAUACCUUGCAGGGAGAUGAUCAUGUGGACGGUUGUAUGGAGUCCAAACUGGUUCACCAACAAAGAAACGCAAAGCCUGCAUAUUUACAAUCAUGUAAGACCGCACUUAUGAGUUAGACUAAUCUUCUAUUUAAGUUAAGAUAAAAAGAAACAUUGAAAAUGGCAAAAUGCACAUCCAAUUGCUGAAAGAUGACAAACACAAGCAUAAAAUAUGUCAUAUCUCAAGAUACACCUUCAUCAUAACACAUAUACAAGAAUACAACUAACAAAAAAAUUUGCAAUCAGAUGCUUCGGUCACUCAAAAAAUACAAAAAUAUGACUCACAAGAAAGCCUUUCAAAAGGGGCACAGGGAAAUGCAGUAAAGUAUGACCAAGUUCAAGGCCUAAAGAGUCAAAGUUCCCCAAAAAGGGACAAACUGACAGGAAAAUGAGAAGUUCAUUGAUAUAAUGCUUUUGUAAAGAUGGCAUCAAUACCUUAAUAUAAUUGGUCUCAUCUAGUGUAAAGCGAUGAUACAUUCCAGCAGGUAAAAUGAUCAUUCCUCCUUUCUUCACCCAUACACGAAUCCAAGCAUCAUUGCGAUCCCUGACAUCAAAAUAACCUAAAGAAAGACAGGAAGUAUUUAGCGUGUGGUUGAUUUGGGGUUGUCCUCAUAGAUGCUUUUGUGUGAUUGCAUUGGAAGGACGCAAAUGAACUUAUGUAAAGACUAUAAACGCCAAAACAAACACACAUUACAAGAUAGCAAGAAAAUAAAAGUAAGGGGAAAAAAUUGCUCAUACCACUUCCAGCAACAGCAUAGCGGAUCUCCUCAUCAAUGUGAAGAUGCUCUUCAAAGAAGCUUUUGAUCUUCGCUUCAUAGUUUGGCAUCUUUUCAGGGCAGAUCUCACAAACAUCCUGCAGAAAGAGAGCCUCAGGUCAAAAUGUUAAACAAACAUAAAUGCAGACAGAAUGACAAGAUUCUGAUUGUUACACAAAACUGAACACAGUCAUACUUUUGCAUAUUGUUGAUUUUUCUGUACACAAAUUUAUUUACUGAGUAGAGGGGAAGUUAAGUAUAAAUGCUAAAUUGCUAAUAAUGAAACAUUAGUAUAACAAACCUUGUAGGUGUAACCACGUUCUUCACAAAUCUUUUUCAGAUCUGGAUCUGUUUCAUGGUUAUCAGCAUCUAAUUUCCAACUAAGGACUCCGAUUUCUGCAAUGUGAAGAUAAGCCCAAGAUCAGAUGCGAGAAUAAAUUUCACAAUUUGUACAUAUCAGAAACAUAACUGACACAUGCAACGAGAAAAUUACCAUCAAGUUUAGCCAAUGAGACAAACUCCUUGGGUUCUCUGUGAUGGGGAAGUCUUUGAUCUUCAUUACUGUCAUCCAUGUACCAGGCUUGAAUGACUUCCUCUCGGGGAUCCUGUGAAAAAUGACAUUUGAAAGAAUGAUUCCUCUUAUUUCUGCUCAAUUUUGAAUGAGAGCUCAUACAACCUCCCAACAACCAAAAAGUAACAAUAGGAAUAGUACAGAACAAUUUGAGCACAUUACCAUGAUUAAGAAUGUAGUAGUAAUUGGGAAACAAAUAAUCUGUUUCAGAUAGAUGAUUGGCUCUAGAGAUAUCAUCAUACAACAGCAAUAAUAACAUAACAGGAACAUUCAAUUUAUACCCACUUGCAAUAGGACAUUUAGCAAAAAGAAACAAGUUAUCUACGAGUAGGAACAAUGACAGUUAGCAUCCAGUUCUCGCAAAAAACAUCACAACCUAUUUAUCAAUGCGAGAUGAUCAAGAAUUCACUAUUUCACACAUGAGAUGCAACAACUUUCAAGUUCUUCAAUAGACUCCGAAUUCAAAAUUUGAUAGAUGCAACAUGUUCUGUCUCUCCUGAGUCCUGAAGAGUAACGAGACAGGUUUUGAUCACACAACAAUGCAGACUCAGGUAAAUUCCUAUAAAACCAAAAAAUUGAAUUGUUUUCCCUAGGGUUUUAAAUUGGGGAAGCGGUCGCGGUUAUGUUGCAGAAAUGCAGGUUGAUAGGUUGAUGCGGCCGCAAUAGCGGUUGCUAUACCAUUACCACGAAUCAAAAACCUGCGACCGGAUCAAUUCAAAACCCUUGUUUGGUCAAUUAGAUUCUCAAGCAAGGGGUCAGAACUCAGAAGUCAAAUUUCCAACUUACUGAUUCAUCCUUAAACAAAUUCAUUAGAAACAAAUCAUGAAAAGAUCAAUAACUUCAUCCACAUCCACAUCCACAUCCACAUGCAUACAAAUUGGUCACAGUUGAAUUCAAAUAGCUUAGGCUACGAUCAUUCAAAUUGUUAAUUCACAACAAAAUCUAUGCAAUUAACAGAACAAGGAAUCAUGUUUUUUUGGAACAAAACAAAAAUUGCUCCGAUGAUGAGAAUCGAGAAAGUACGAGGAAUACCUUGUCGGAAGAAACCAUGAUGAUAGGUUGGUUCGGUGGUGCAGUUGGUGGUUCUUUUGAUCGGAUAUCUGUGACUUGUGCUUAUUGUCCACGCGAUUUAUAUAAACCUCUCAACCUCAUCAUCACCUUUGACCACAAAAAGUCAAAAAUAUUUCUUGGACCUUCAUUUUCCCUAUCACUUUUUUUAAUUUAAAAAUAUUUUUUAGAUUCUGUUUUUAAGAUAAAAAAAUUUGUCAAAGAUUGUAGAAGAAGUAAUAUUGUGUUUGAUAGAAUGAUUUUUUUUAAAGAUUGAUAGAAUGGAUUUGUGUUUGGGAAUGAUGUGUAAAAUAAAUUUAAUAAAAUAAAUGUUGUUUACAUGGAAUAUAGUAAAAUUAAUUUUAGGGAUAAAAUUAUAGAAAUAGAUAUAGUGAGUAUUAGUUAACAAUGAGAAAGAAAAUGUGAGCAAUAUCAACGCAGGGAAGCACACCACUGAAUAGACUUGGGCAACCUCGAGCCACCAUUGCGAGUAGCUACUCACGUUGAAAUUUAUAAGCAUCUAGGUAUAUAUUGUUCACGAGCAAUCUCUCAAACAAUGUAGAACAUAUUCGUCCUCUUCAUUCCACACAACACAUGUAGCUGACAUUGUCAUCAUUCAAACAAUAUUUUCCUUUUUCUUUUGAAAAAUAGAUUUUAAAAAUUGUUUCUGCAAAAUUAAUUUUAGAUAAAAAAAAAACUAAAACACAAAUUAAACAAGCCCUGAGUUAUGAUUCACUUGUUAUUAUAACCGAAGGUAGAGACUUUAUUUGGGCUUCUAAACCGGGUUCUAAAAGGUUAGCAUACUUUUUGAACGGAUCCUUAUUUUAUUGCCCCAGCAUCUCCAAUGCAUAGUUGCUAGUUGGGUUGUUUAAAAACUAUUUCGGUGGGUCCAGACUGACACAUAGGAUUUAAGCAACCCAAGCAGAAUUCGCUCCAACCACAGUUGCUUAGUUUACUUUUAGUUGGGUCCCAUUAUACCUCUUAUAUUUAUAUUAUUUCAAGGUAAUGACACUAUACAAGUACAUGAAUGAAAGAGAAAAUAUGAUUUUUUAGUCAAAAAGUAAGGAGAGAGAAAAUAAGCAACCGUUGCUUAAAUAAGCAACCGUUGCUUAAAUUUAAGCAACCCAACUGCCACGUCAUGUUGCUCCAGUGGUGCUUCAAAAUAAGCAACGUUGCUUAAGUUGCCAACUAGAUUUAAACAACCCCAUUGGAGAUGCUCUAAGGAUGUAGGGUGGUAUGGGUAUUAGAAUACAACUUUGUCAAACAUUUCAUUCCUUGGCAAGCUUUUCUGCAGUAUCUUUCAUGAGCAGCACAAGCUUUGGAUCAGUGUGUUGUGUAAUAAUGGUGAUGGUUAAUACUGGUAGUGAGGUAUUCUUAGAGCUCGAAAUCAGCUCCAAAAUGAUUUUUCUUCUACUUUGGCAAUGAGUACAUCUUUCUGGUUUUAGGAUUUGACAGGUUGGGUCCAAUAGCAUGUCAUGUUAAUUUUGUGGAUAUCAAUGACUUGGAUAUUAGUCUCCUCUCCUGCUUGUUCUAUGUGUUCUUGUCAACAGGAAGAUAUUCUUCAUUGUUUGAGAGAGUGUCCCCAUUCUAAGGAGAUUUGGUGCAGGCUUGAAGCUCUGGCUUGGCCUAAUUUUAUGAAUGUUAAUUUACGUGAUUGUAUUCUUUCUCAAUUAGAGGGAUUGCAUGUUAUUUUUGCUGCUGCAAUUUGGAAGAACCAUGGAGUUUAGAUGGUAAGUUGAAACCAGGCAACACAAACAAACUAUAUAGAUAUGCAUUUCAAUCAUUCUGUAAAUUACACAUUUGCUUGUACACUUUUUCAUCAUAUACUAUAUACAGUGACGCAAUAAAAGAGUGUCUAUACUUAUACACGAAUUUCACCUCGGAUAGAAGUGCCUUAUUGGAAUGAUAAUGAAAUUUGGAUCGCAACCGAUUGCCAGCUAUACAUAUUCCAGGGCUCUAGUUUCUAAUGCUAUUGAUGUUUCCUGCCAAAGAUGAAGAGCAUAGUUAUGUUAGAAGAAACAACCAGUUUAUAUGGUCAACAAGAUAAAAGAUUAAAACCAGAUAUCAAACACACCCUAUAUAGACAUUAGACAUUCAUUUAAAGUUUCAACCAUCUCAAAAACUAAACAUCUGAGUCAAAACUAUUUACUGAUAUCUUCUGUUUUUUUGAUGCUUCAGAUAUUCCAUUUUGUUUUCAGUUUCAUACAGUGCCAAGUUCCGUUCUUUUAAGUAUUGAGACCCAGCAAACCUCAUAAGAAGCCAGGUUUAAAUAUAAGUAUUUUUUGGUGUAGAAAAUAUAAGGUAUAAAGCCAGAGAUGAGAAAGAGUCACCAUAAUCUAAUAUUAAUUCACCAUUAUCUAUGCAACUUCUUUUCUUCAUUCCUAUUUCCUUACUGCAUAGAUUCAUCCAGGACAUGACACUAGGUAUUAUUGGAUCAAUCUUGUUGCUUCUCAACUCAAAUUUGGAAGGAUCCCAGGUAAACUGAUUUGAAUAUUUUAUUUUCUAUCUCCCUUUCCUUAAUGGAAUGAUGAUUUGGAUUCUUGUGGAUUCUCCAUGUCUACCUAUGUGUAUGAUUAGUAAAAAUGAUGUAUAUAAAUUAUAAUUUGUAUCUUGCCUUCAGUUUUGCAGGGCUUGAGAAUAGACAGCUUGCUGUGAUUGCCUUCCCAUGAUCCAAAAGCCAUCCCACUUCACUUUGCGUUUCACCAUCCUCGUUUUGUUUAAGUGAACACCAGAGUUGCUUAGGAAGUAAUAUGUCCUUGUCUCCAUCUCUGACAGAGUUCUGCACAUUUUCACCUACAAGCUCUCGAAAGAUCUUCUGGAGUUGAAUGGAAAGGACAUGUAAAUGAAGUCAAUGAAACAAGAAGGAAAAAAAUACAAACACGAGAAACGGAAGGGAAAGAGAUCCUUGUUCACUCACAGUUUUUGUAGUGCCAAAAGUGGCGACAGCCUUUGAUCCCUGCCAGAUACCAGCAACUUCUGAAGCAGCUAUGGGUGAAGUAGAAGCAAAGGCAGAGUCACGGAUAGCACAACCUCCAAGUUGUUCGCCAUUUCUGAAUGGUCCAUACCACUGUUCACGAAAUACUCUAACACUCUGUAGCACCAUCUUUGUAUUAUCAACUAUAUGGAUAUGCUGAAUAAUCCUAACCCGAGAUUCAAACUCUUGAGGAUUGAUCAAGCAGUACUCCAACUCUAGGAAGUUAUCCUUCUUUUGCCAGACAGCAAUGUAAGAGCCACUGGAUUGGUAAGCAAAGGAAGUAACUCCAUUGUUUUCCCCACCCACUUUCCUCUCAUCCACACUGUAUAUUGUAGCAGCAUCAGCCUCACAUCCAACAGUGGGAAGUAACUGAACGGAUUUGUAUUUAAGAACAUGAUCCUCUGGUUCAGCAAGAGUGGGGCACUGAGUCUGCCAAUCAUAAACUUUAACCUCCCACUCUCGAUAUGCUUCCGGCACCACCGACUCUGGCAGUUCAAUUGUCUUCCCUUGAUUACUGAAGUCCGCACCAAAUCCAUCCCAUUCACCAGAGACUCUUUUGGCAAAUUGCGACCACCCUUCAACACUUUCGUCAUAUACCUUGAGAAAAGUUCUACAUCUAUCAUAUAUGGAAUAGCCAAAUAGGUAUCCAAACCACCUAGUAUUCUAUAAAAUUCUAAACAAGAUAAGGAAGCACAAAUUUGCAUAAUCAUGGCAUGAGUUAUAUCCAUUUUACAGGGCAGGAAAAAAGUAACAGCAUCGCAAUCUACAAAUGAGUUUGAUAAAGACAAAGUGCGAACACCACCUAUUUGGCCCUUCAAAGAUAAAGGCUAUAUCACAUUAGUCAUCUAAUUAUAUCAAAUAUGACACUUUAAAUCAACAAAAUUAUACCAUCAAAUUUUCAUCUUUCAAGGAUCAAGUUGGGCGGCAAAGAUGUGCCAUUAAAGGACAUGUAUUGUAAUGUCAUGUGCACAUAUAGAAUACUAACAUGUACACUUUUUCAAAAACAAAUCACUCAAAUGCCCCAUUUGGAAGAGCUUAUUCGAGCUUAUCUUUUAGCAUCGGUAACUUAGUUUCAACUUAUAUCAAUAAGUUUCUCAUAUUAACUCAUGAAUAAUUGUCAAUUCGAUAAAGGGUUAUUGUCAUAAGCGUUUAUUAGCAUAAGCAUUCAUUAAGCUGUUUAGUCAAAAUGAAAUGGAAAGGUUUGGAACAAAUGGCCAGUGUUCUUACUUGCUGAGGCUCUACUUCUCCCAGCACACUUAUCAGGUCAUCAAUUGCAGCAGUGACUUUUCCAUGGCGUCUUGAUUGACUGAACAGAUGAAAGUUCUCCUUCCUGUUUUGAGAUUCAAACAAGCUACCAAAUAGUUACAAUUGACACAGCUUCAGAAAAUGGCCACAUACUAUAUGAGUGAAUAUUACCUCCUCCUCCAAUUGAAAGAAAAGGGUCUGAACCCCUGAAAUGGCAUCCUGAAAUUCCCAUUAUGCAGCAGUGAAGCCUAUAUUAGAGAAAAGUUGCACUUUAAGCAUAAAGAUCGAGCUAAAAAAAGCAAAUUAGGGAAGUGAUGAGUAGGGAGAGAGAAGAGGAGUACAUGUAGGUGGGUUGAAGAAGAAGUGGUGGAGAAACGAUGUCGCUGGAGAAGGCAUGGAGAAGGUGAAGUGGUGGAGAUGACGGCCAUGAGCGGAAGGAAGUACGUUAAUGGCAGAAACCGCGGCUACUACGACCAUUCAACGAGACAUUAUAUGUAUGCUUUUGGAUAAUGUGUGCUGUGCAGCGAGAAAGAGUUUGCGACGGAACAACUCCGUCACAAUACUGCGACGGAAGACAAUCCGUCACUAAACUGCGACGGAAGACAAUCCGUCACCAAAAUUGCGACGGAUGGAAUUCCGUCACUAAAUUUGCGACGGAUGGAAUUCCGUCACUAUUUUGCGACGGAAAACAAUCCAUCACUAAGUUUCGACGGAACACAAUCCAUCACUAAGUUUCGACGGAACAUAAUCGUCACAAAUUUGCGAUAGAAGAAAAUCCGUCACUAGAGCGGAAAAUAGCCAGUCAAUGAUUUGCGACGGAAUAAUCCGACACAAAAAGUCCUUGUCAGACUGUUAGAUUAUGUAUGACGAGAAUAGAUCUGUCAAUCCUUAGCGACGGAAUAUAGAGAGAGAUUUAUUCCAUCGCAAAUUUUAUCUUGAAAGUGGUUGUUUAAAUAUCCCUGACGGAAUUCCCCCACUAAAUUCGCAUUAAACCAAGGGACUUUGUGACAGAGUAGUUUUUCGUCGCUAAUAUUGGUACUUUGUUUCAUACUAUAUUUUUGUGUAAAUUGUUUUAUUUUUUACAUAAUUUUUCUCCACUAGAAAUCAAUGUUAUUAUACAGCAUGGGUAUUUUAAUGGCUAAAAUUUAUUGUGUUGAGUUUCUUUUAUUUUUGCAGAAUUUUUUACAAGGAAUGACUCAAGGUCCCUUAGCAACACACUUACAAUAGUCAUGACAAUCCUAAAAUGUUUUUGGUCAAUGAGGAUGAUCAAGCCUAUAGAGGUUAAACACUUAAACUCCUAAGAAUUAGCCAUUUGGUGGGUCACUCUAUUAUGGCAAAUUCUAUACACGAAUAUCCAGUUUUCAUCUAACAUUCAAUCAAUGCAUAUUUUAGCUGCAAUUUUUCAUCAGACAUUCAAUCGACACACUUUUUAUAGGCGAUAAAUCGCUGCUAAAGCGUGUAUUAAUUGAAUAUCGAUGAAAACCAGAUAUCCGAAUAACAUUUUCUAACAUUGAAGACACUGCAGCACCCAACACGCAUACCAUCUUGCUAAAUGAACUAUCCACAUAAUUAGGAUUUUCAUUCACUCAACCUCAUUUUUUCAUAGAUUCCAUUUUCACUCACUUUUCUUCAUAUUACAUUAUUUUUUCUUUUCACACUGAUUUCUUUCAUUCCAAAAGGUCCUUGUUGGAACUCAUAAUAAAAAUUCCCAAGGAAUGCCAUCUAGGACAACAUGCAUCUAACGUUUGCAUUCAUCCAAGAUUUGAAUAUGGACCAAAAAAAUUGAGUUUAAAACUUCUGGGAACUAACAUUACCCAAACUACCUUUACAACCUUUACACAAAGGAAAGCUGUAAGAACAUGUAAAGGGCUUUCCAGCUAUAGUUGGCGGUUCUAUCAAAACAAGUUUGCCUUCUCUUUGUAUAUAUGCCAUUAUUUUUCUGAAUGGACAAACUUGAUUUAAACAAGUGAUUACACAGAACAUAACAACAGCUUCACAUAGACAAAAAUUUGUACUGAGUAAACAGACACUAAGUGUUCUUAAACUUAUUUGAGUCUCAUCUCAUGCUUGGUCUGUUUUAGGUUCAUAGACAGACCUUUUACUUGGUAAUAUGCUUAUGUUAUAAUAUCUAAAACAAGAUACACUUGUAUAUUAAAGGACCCUAAUGAGCUGCAAGAGGAAAUCUAUUUUUCUCAAUCAAGCCCUUCAUGUAUUCCUUUCUAGCAGGGUUAUCUUCCUGUGGUCGAUUAUAUGCUGUCCAUACAGGCUCGCCGAUAAACAACCUCAUCAACUGCACACAUCAUGCACAGAAAUAAAACAACUAAUGAUUAAUCAAACCAUAAAAGCUUUGAAUCUUUAUCUAUUGAAACACACUUCAAACUGAAAUUUCUUCCUUCUCAUCCUAAGAAUGAAGCCAUAAUCUAGAGUCUUAAUGAUUGUGGUUAGAAUAAGAUAGUUCCAAACCUUCACAUAAUUACUUGUGUCAAGAGUGAACCGAUGGUAGAUUCCAGCAGGUAAAAUGAUGAGAUCACCGGCCUUGAUCCAAAUGCGAAUCCAUCGAUCAGCUUUGUCUCGCACAUCGAAGUAGCCACUUCCUUCCAAGCAAUAACGAAUCUCUUCAUCCUGAUGGAUGUGCUCAGUGUAGAAGUUCUUCAACUUCUCUUCAUAAUUUCCACUUUCUCUGGGCAUAAAUCAAGCAGAUCCUACAACAUAUAUUCAAAUAAACAGAGAUAUAUUGAAAAACGCAAAUAAAUGCUAUCAACAAUCAGAACAUUCGAAACAAAUGGUCAGCACACAAUAGCAAAUUUGAAGGAUGGCCAGUUGGUAAGGGAAAAAUCUAAGAAGAACAAAAGUUCAGAAGCUCAUAAAUUAACCUCAAAUUGCUAAAUCUCUAAACAGGCAAGUAAUAUUUUGGUCUAACAACUAUGCUACUAAGAUGUGUUUGGAAUCCAAUCUGAAAUCCCAAAACUAUGAUUUGGAUUCAAGCUAAGACAAACUUUUGGCCAAACUCUGUUUUGAACUAAUAGAAAUCCAAACAUGCUAUGAGUACUGAGAAAUGGUGUCAGUCUCAGAGUUUCAGUGUAGCUGCUUAGUUCUGUGCAGCCUAUCCUAGGAAUCAUACACUGUUCAUACAAAAUUGCAUAUCAUGCUCCUCUAUAAAAUCAAGUCUAAUGAGUGUAUUCCAUGAUUCCCUCCAAACCUUAUGAUAGAAUGAAACAGUAAAACUUUGAAGGCUAUCUAUAAACAAUUUAGAUCACAAGCAUGGUUCUUUAGUUUAAUUAGUUGAAUGUAAUAAAAAUUAAACACAAGAUUACCAUGUAAUUGUAUCCCCUGUCUUCCCUAAUCUUCUUCAACUCUUGAUCGUUUUCAUAGUCAGUUGGAUUCAGCUUCCAGUAUAAGACUCCCAAUUCUGCUAAUUGGUCCAAGGAAGCAAAUUGCUGGGGUUUGCAAUGGUGUGGAAGCCUUGGAUCUUCAUUGCUAUCGUCCAUGAACCAUGCCUGUCACAUUUUUUAAUCAAUAAUAAUGAAAAUGAAGCCUUAGAUUGAUAUUAAUUCAUUGGUACAUAGAGAAGAAGAACUCACCUCAAUCGCCAUGAGUGACCAACUUCAAGUUUCAAUGAACCUUGUCGCUUAUUCUAUAUGCGAAAGUGGUGAUGAUAAUUUAUAUAUAUGAAGUACGAGACCAAAAAAUAAUUAAUUAAUUAAUUAAUUAAGAAAUUAAAUAAUAUUAUUGUGGAGUAUAUUUUGUAUUAUUAGUUUAUUACCAUCUCUUCCCUUCCUGUGGUUGGUGUUUUCUGCUAUGGAAAAUAUCAUCAUUGUCGUUUUAUCUUACACUUUGCUUCUAGAAAUUACUUGAGCCGCUUCUUUAAUUUCGUGGCAGAGAGAAGUUUAAAAUGCCAAAUUAUCUCCUCUCUUGUCAUAUGUGACAAAAUAUAUACGACAAUAGCAUGACAACCUCAAAAAUAAAUUAUGAACCUAUUAAACGAUUUUAAAUUAAGACUCUAGGCGUAAUUUUACUGAUAUUUUUCUUCACAAACAAAGUUCAAGAAUUAUACAUUAAUCAUGUAAACAAGUUUUUUCAUUGUUACUGUCAGAAAAAUGUAUCAUGUUAACAAGUUUUACAUGAAUGUCCAAUUUGGAUUCACAAUCUUAAUGUAUGGUUAAAUUCAAAUGUUGUUGUGUUUAUAAUUUCAUAAUUAAGUAAAACGGUUUUACACUGAAAACCAAGUUGAUAAGUCUAAGAAAGAGAAGUCACAAUCUUUAUUAAGCUUGAUAAUUCUCAAAGAGAGAAAAGUCACAAGAGUACAAGACAGAAUUUGGAAAAAGUGCCUAAUGCAAGGGCUAGGCUCAACUUAGCCCAAAAUGUCACACCAUGAAUAUUACUAAUCCAAUUGGACCAAGACAACAAGUCCAAUUUUCCUAUUCUAUGUGGGCCAGAACACAAGCCCAAAAUAUCCCUAAGGCUCAUAUAAAAACCCAAGACAAAAAAAGUAGAAAGCUGCAUUUAAAAAAAUAACCUCUUUAGAUAGCCUUACUUGUUUGUGCUAAAAUCAAACCAGAAAGCUGCAUUUUCUUCUUUUGAAAACUUCUUUAGAUAGCUUUUGCUUGUGAACUGUUUUUUAUAAAACAUAAGAGACUUACUUUUAAAAAACUUCUUUAAAAAUAACUUUUCACCAAAAAAUCUGUCAAGCGUGAACAUAAUCAAAAUUGGCAAAACAAAAAAAAACAAAUUAGAGUAAACAAAAGUAAGAGCAGAGAAAACAUUGGCUUGCAAAAAGCUAUUAACAUUUAACAAGAGGCAGCACAACAAAUUUACAUAUCCAAUUAUCCAUAAAUUCCUGGGAAAAUAGCUGCUCCUGGCUCUAAAUUUUAACUCAAAAAACCUUCAACUACAGAAACAAGAAAUUCCCGACGGAUGAAAAUUAGAUGGCUGAAUUACAAAAUUGAUCAGGUAAGCGGGAGACUCAACUAUCCUAAACAAAAUAAAUUUACCAAGCAGUUAAAGCUACUAAAAUUAACGAGCAGCCCAAUCCUUGCAAUAGGCUCCAAGAAGCUAUGGUCUCUUCGCUUAAGUUAUGCAGUAAUCACCUCCCUUCAAUCAUCUACAGGUCCCAACUCUGCAUAAUCUAUCUGGUCUUGAGUUUUAGGAUCCUUGAACAUCUGCAAAGACACUCAGAUAACAUAAAUUUAUGACAGAAAAAGUGAUAGUUCAUCAAAUCUUGGUUUAUAAUUAGUAUUUCACUAUGGUGCACCGGUACGGUACCUGUACCGAGUACAUAUAUGGGUGGGCUGAGCACAAGAAUUGAAAAAAAAAAACUAAGGCUAGUAUGUGUGUGUAUCUCGACAAGUUAGAAAAACAUCUUCACAAUUAAUAUAACUAAAAUAUACAUUGUUGUCAAAACUAACAAAGCAUAUCGGAGAAAUUGAGAUUUAUGCACGAUGCAUGAGAGAAUUGUGAGUUUAGUAACUUAGUUUUAGUUAGUGUGUGCCCGCGAAGUACCCACCCAAAAGGUACCAAAACAUACCUGUUUUUUUGUUUGCUUGAAUAGUUACUUCAGUAAAUAUCCGAUGCUAAUUUACAAGUAUCAAACGAGUACCAGAUACAAACCCAGUACGUGUAUGACAGCCAAAAUGAAGUACUUAUGCUAAAGAUCAUCACCACCAUGAAUAUAAACCAUUGUAACAACUCAAAAAGGUUGACAGCUGCUUAUAAUCUUAUAAGCAGUAACUAUUAGUCUUUCCAGAAACUUUUGUGAGGGCGUAUAUACGCACAUAUAUAUACAUAGGAUAUGUAUGAUACACACAUAAAAAAAUUCUGAGGCAACUAAUUCACAUGAUACAUACAAUAAAAAGUAAAAUUCUUGUGGGGUAAUUCCCUCCGAAAGCCAAUGAGUAAAUCUGCCCCUGCUUUUGAGCAUGGCAGACAAAGAUCCCAAUCCCUGCUUCAUAGAUGUUCUACAAUUCUAACAUCUCCAAAUAUCAAUACAGCAACCAGGACAAUCUAAUCUAUGCAUCUAUCACAAUUCUCUAAUUGAUAUACUUGAAAGAUUUAUUUUCAUAUCCUUGUUACGGAACUAUAGAGUUAUGUUGUUAUACAACAGUUGAAAAAAAAGAUUAUGAGUUUGUGACCGACCUUUGUCAUUGAGAUCAAUGGGAAGGGAAACUUUUAGCUGAUUGUCAGCUGAGCCACCGGAAACUACAGGCAAUCUAGGCUGUGGAGGAGAGCUAGUGCUACUACGGCUUGAAUUCCCAUUUGAGGCAUGGCCCUUCACUGGAAGGUUCACAUACAUGUCGAAGUUAGAUGAAGUUACGCUGGUCGAUUUCUUGCCCUUCAAUCUUCCCCUAACACAUUAGGCAGCAAAAGAGACUAGUUCACAGGUUCUCACUGAUGGAAUUGAUGUCAAUAAACAAAUGACAUUUGGUACUGCAGAUACCUGUCUUUUCGCUUUUCAAGAUACCGCUGCACUGACACUUUUCUGCUUGCUUGACCCUCUACAUCUUUUAUGAAACAAAAAAAUAUUACCAAUACUUAGGUUCUUAGAAUUUGAUGUAUGAAAGUUUGUUACAAUGUAUUAUGUUUAAACAGAAAUUAUUCUCCCUAGCUCUUAGAGAUACUCACAAUCUAAGUUGAGUAUUAUGCUACCAUGUGAGUACAUGAGCAUGUAUCAUUAAAGUAGUGCAUACUUAUUUAAUUAAAGUAGUGCAUACUUCUUUAAUAUUUCACUAAUUUAAUAUACCACAAGUCUUCCUUUUUCACACGUAUAACUAUAUGUUAGCUUUUUGCCAAUUAGAUCCUUAUUAGGAAAGUAUAUAAAAGGAGAAAUACCAAUGAUUCAAUAGUUAAAAAUAUUGGAAUAUAAUUAUCAGAAAUAGAAUAAUUUCAGUUAUCAGAAAUAGAUAUUAACUAUAGUAAUUAGAAAAUAAUCAUUCUAUAAUGGAGGUAGGACUAUUAAAUAGGAAAUUAAGUAAAGUUAGUAUGUUAUAAAUAAUAGAAGAUAAGAGGUUAGAACUAUCAAUGAAUUGGUAAGAGAAUUUGAGCCUUGGGGCAUGGAUGCAGAGUGUUUUAGUCCAGAGAGAAUUAUUCUUUCUAAUAAAAUAUAAAGUUCCUGUCGACUGGUAUCCGAGCUUGCAUCUUGGAGUUGUGGCCAUUGAAUAUGAAAGGACCCAGGAGCUGUUCACUGUCCGUAAAAUGAAGAAUGAAACUCAUGACAUCCUUAAAGAAAUGAAGCUAGAGAUUGCAGCUUGGAAAAGGGAACUCAAGGACAAAUGCCAAGGGACUUCCGGUCUCUGAAGGAGGGGAUGCGUAGGGAUGGCUGGUUCACAUCAAGCAGCACUUCACAGAUUGGCAGUGGAAGCAUUGGAGGGACGGGCUCACCAUUGGUAUCAAAAGUGGGAGAGCCGUAAUCCUAAGGCCACAUGGGCAGAUUUUCAUAGGGCAAUGCUCAAGCAAUUUCAGUCUGAUUAUGAUCCAAAAUUUACCAAUUUUAAUCCAACAAAGGGGCCUACAGUCUGGGGAUCAAGAAAAUGGAGAAGAUGAAGCUUUGAAGAGCAAGAAUCGGGCGCGGCGUCAGUAGAGGGUCAGCACUUAAAAUGGAUGUAAGAAGGAAUGAACUACCACCAACCUUGAAUGGAUGGGUCUCGGGCAAGCCAGUCAACCCACCCCACCAUCAAAACCACUAGAUAGAGACGGGACACCAAGCAAUUAGGUCAUGCGAUCCCCAAUAGAACCGCAUGACUGGAAUGCAUGUUUGGUGGCAGAAGCUACGCCAGUAACAGAGAAGGGGAUGGAGAAGGUGGGCGUUCCGCAACUCCGAGGUAGAGGUGCAGCGGAUGAGAAGGCAGUUCGGUUGAGCCUAGAGUCACAAAAAGCUGGUCACGAUUAUGCACUAAUGGGCCCGAACCCAGUGUACUUAGCUGUUGGAUGGGUUGCCAGUUGGCAGGAAGUGGGAAAGAGCUCACUUAACACAGGAAUCGUCACAUUUAAGGCAAUAGCUAAGGUUGAGAUCAUAGGCCUUCCAAGCCACUGCCCAAACUAUCAGGUUAAUAAUAGAAGAUAAGAAAGAGAAACUAUCAAUGUAUUUGUGAGAAUUAGGGCCUUAGGGCAAGGAAGUGAACAACCCUCAAAGAUCUCAGUGCUAUAAUCAGCGGAGACUUUAACUGUUCUUUCUAACAAAAGACCAGGUUCCUAACACUAUAGCAGCAAUAUUUCAUUGCUUUAAGAAUUACAAAGAACAAGUUUUUCUAGCUGGGCAUUAAAUGGAAUCAGUACUCAUUUUGCCUGAGUAAUUAAAUGGCUGACAAUCUCUCAUGAACUGACAUGGUUAUGAGUACUAGUACUCAAACAUAUCUUGUAUAAGAACCUCCAAAAACUUGCCGAAUCAAAAGAUAGAAAAUUGGGAGGGCAUAUCAGAAUAAUUUAAAAAACAGAAGCAGCAAAGGUCCAAAUUCAGCAGAGGUCAAUAACAGCUGUCAUUUUCUACUAAAAAUUAUCCAUAAAUCUGCCAAAAAAGAUAACGUAGAAAGUUCUAGCAGACAGCGAAAAUCCACAAACUUAAUUAUCCUUACCAGCAUCGCGAGGUAUGCUCACUUUCUCCCUGUAUUGCAGAGGAUAUUCCACCAUCUUAUCUGUAAUAUCAAAUUUGGAACCCCAAUUAUGAAGUUGCCAAUACCGCAAAAAGUAUAAGGAUCUUAACAUCUUUAGUUCCAAGCUAGAGCAAAUUAUCAUGAUCUUGAACAAAUCAAAGAUGUUUAGCUAUUUGUCGAUUUUCUGGAUACAAGUACUAGGUAGCUUGAAUUCAAAAAUUGGUGUUAAGAGAGAAUUUGACUAUAAAGAUGUCUACAUAUCCAAUGAUUUUUGCACUUGCACAGAAAUGAGCAAUUGAUAGCAUGAAAAUCCCAUAGAACGUGCAUAAAAAAUAGUACAAUAAAAAACAACUAUUAGCUUGAACUCAUUUUUAUGAUCCUUUCUCCAUUAAAACAAAGCAAGGUAACUUGAUGUUAUUAUAUUCUGCUCCAAGUAAUUAAUUGAAUAUGGUACGUAAGCCAGUAAAAAUGCUAUAAUGAUUAUCUGCACAUGCAUAUCAAAUGAAAUAAUGCAUUCCUUCAAGAAAUUCCAAACAUGAUGUAAUGGGCAUUGAAAGAAGUGAGUGAUUCCUUUGCACAUUACAUAACUAAUGCUUCAAUGCAAAAUUAAGCAAUCUUUCUACCCAAUUGCUACCUGUUUGAGCAACCUGAAGGAUUGCUGUAUCAACGGGGAAGAGCGCAUCCUUAUCCAUCAGUGAAGGGCAAGUAGAAGCCCAAACUGCUGCAUUUUUAUUUGAAGGGUCAUCCUGAGGACAUUGGACUGGGCUUGCUGCAAGCUGCAUAAUCGAUCGUGCCUGCAAAUCCAAAUGUCGCUGCAUUGGAAGGUGAAAUUUUAUUGGAAAUAUCACCAGGUAUUUAAGCCAGAGGACACAUCAUUACCUACCUUAUCAGGUGAGACUCCAUCAUAGACAUUCACCUUACCACAGUAGAAAAUUGUCAUUUGCCCAAAUGAUCCACUAGAUGCACAACCUCUAUAACCACAUCACAUAUAUAAGCAGUGUUAGAUGGACAAUACAUAAAAGGAACACUGGAUCAGCUUCUGUCAUGUGUAUUUAAUGCAAAUUUUAUCAAAUUGAAAUUAUUUGACAUCUUAAGUUUCAGAAUCAUUCUCCUAAUGUGAAAUGUAGCUGUAUAGUGGAACUUUUGUACACUUUACAACUAAGCUGGACUCUUAUUUAUAAAGAAUGGCAUAAGUGCAGUUGUUAAUUUAAUAAAUGAAGACACUUAAGUAUAUCUAGAACACCAAAAUACAGUACUUGUGCAGCUUCCUUUUCAGCUGGACAUAACUACUACAUAUUGCAACUGAAAGAAAUUAUUAGAAAUUGGGAGGCCUAUACUCAACCACAAAAGCUAGCUCAAGAGUUGAGGUUUGCACUACCCUUAUAAAGGCUAUCUAUGCUCUAUCUCUAGCCAAUGUGGGACUUCUAACAGAAAUCUUAGAGAUUUGGCACCAGCAGAACAUUUGAUUUCCUACCACAACCAUGGCUGGAAUCAUGGGUUAUUGACUAUCUACCCUUCAAUUAAAGGGGUUCGACAGUUUAGAUGCUAGGAAUAAGGAAACAAGUCUUAAAAUAGAGAUGAACACAAAUUCAUGAUAGAAAUUUCCUCCUAUUUGUUCUUGCCCCUUGAAUCUAGAAAUUUGCGAUGUUAAGAAUCAUUUCCAUACUUAAAAAAGUCUUCCUAGUUUCAUUUGAUGUUUGCCAUAUACUUAAUCUCCAUGAAUCUUGCCUCCACCUCAAUAAUGAUAUCUAGAUAGAAAAUUUAAACAAAAGCAGCUUAAGAUUGUUGGUACUUUUGAUGACGCUAAAAUCUAGUUUGACAUUGUAAGAGUUCAGCCAUGAAAAGAAAACAGAAAAUGACAAGAAAAUUAAAUAUACAAUAGUAGUAAAUAAAAGAUGCACAUGCAACCCAGCAAAUAUAGAAUAACAUUAAACUUGAAGGGAUAUCUAGAUCUCACUCAUACAUAACAGGGUAUUACAGUGUCGAUUGGUCCAGAUUGUCGACCCAACCUAGUGGGAAAAGGUUUGGUUGUCGUUAUUGGGAUAUCUAGAUUUGGUAAUAGCAAAUAUCCACUUCCUAGUUCCUAUACAUCAAGUGGUUGGUUGGAUGGAAAUGAAUUAUCCUUCUACAAUCAUCUAUUCCUCUUCGAAAGAUGCAUCCUCCAAUCCAAAGUAUAUAGUUCAGGAAUGUAUCUAACAUCAAAUGCCUAAAUGACCAUAAACUCCAUGCAUAUCCAAUCUGUUUGUAAAAGUGUGUUUUGAAACCUAACCUAGUAGGUCGCCGUGUUGGGGGGAAAUUGAUCCUUAGAGAAGCUUCUAGGAGUAGCUUUUGUGGGGGGUUUCUGUGGGAUUUAACUGAGGAUUCAUAACCGGAAAAGUACCCACUUUUAUAUCCUCUCAAAAACAGCUUUCCCUUCACUUUCCCCACACACAUUCAUCCUUACCAAAAGCCUACCAUCUGUAUGAUCUUCCAUCUCACUCAGUAAAGUGAUAAAACAACAGUAACAAAAUGCAGUUAAAAAAAAGUAAAAAAACUUCAUUGUUUCAACCAUCCAAAUCAUCCUAUCUAUCAGUCCCUCGAAUCUCCACCAUUCACUCACACACAAAAAGCAUUGAAAAAGGAAAAAGACAAAAAACAGAUCAGACCUGGGGCUAACAACAUUGGCAUCAUUCGUCUCUGGAAGUUUCUCCGCAGACGGAGAUUUCUGCGGCUCUUCGGCGGCAGCCUGAAAACCAGCCUCCUCCGCAACCGGUGCCGUCGCCGGAGCUUCAUUCAGAUUCCUCCCCUGCAAUUUUUCUCAUCAAUUACCAAUCCAAUCAAAAACCAAACGAAAAAUGAUAGAGUGAGCGACUGACUCGAGAGGAGGCAUGGGGAGGUUGCUGGUGGUGGUGGUAGUGGCGGUGCACGGCGGCGGGAGAAUCUUCGUCGGUGGGUUCUAGAAGCGCUUUGAGGGAAAUGACCUGCUGGAUCGCUUGCGAUUUGUUCCAGGAAGGUCUGCGCAUCCCUGUACGAACACGUGUCUUGUGAAAAUCACUUUAUUUCUUAAUUAAUCGUAAUUAAUCGUAAUAAUUAAUGAUUAUAAGUACUAUGAUUGUUGAAAUAAUUAAAAUAAUCCGCAUCCCGAUUACAUAAAUAUUAAUAAAAUUAAAUAAAACAAUGGAGGUUUUUCGGUACCGGAAAUAAUGGAGGGAAGAAGAAAGAAAGAGAGAGGACCUUUUUCUUUGAGGAAUCUGCGACAGUCUUCGCGAGUGAGCUGAGAAAUGUCAUCCUCGGUGAGGUGUUUGAGGGGUUUGUCGAGGAUGGAUCGGAAGGUGGCGGUGGUGGUGGUGGUGGUGGUGCCGCCGUUCAUCGCCGCCGAUUCCCCCACCGGUGGGUUGGUGGGACCAUGUAGUUCUAGAGAGAGUGAGAGUGAGUAGUGUUGGCAGGCAGUGUCUUUGGGGGGAAGGGGAAAUGAAAUGAGGGAAGGGUAGGGAGGGGGGGGCUUUUUAUGAGUUGGGAUGAACCCUAAGCUGCCACGUAUUAUCUGUCUUAAUUAUUAGGGACUAAUUAUCUCUCAGCUUUUUUUUUUCUUCUUUUUUUAAUUUAAUAGACUCUAUUUUUAUUUUUUAUUAUUAUUAUUAUUAUUACAUUGGAGUUUGCAUAAGUUUUGUAAUUAUUUGUGUGUGUAGGGGGUUUUUUCCUGAAUGAAUGGGUCCUGGAAUGAGAUGAUCAUGAUAUCAUACUUUGUCCACUUGUGAUAGCUUCUUCCAUGCCAUUCAUUCACAUCUACUUUUUAUUUUUAUUUCUUUGAAAGGCCCAUUAAGCUGUACUUGGGGCCCCUGCACUUGAUUUACUAAGUAAUUAACUGCAUUUAGUUUUCAUUUAAUUAACUUGUACUCCUAUUUAAUAUAAGUACUACUAUAUGCACUAGUUAUUUUGGAUUAUGAUAUAUUCACACAUAAUCCCAAUAUCUCUUGUUUUUCUUCAUUAUUAUAUGCUUGUUUUUCUAUUGGGUGUUGGUGGAAUGAGUUUCAAUAAAUUUUUACAAUUACAAUUAUUUUUCUUCACUCCACAAACAGAGAAACUAAAAUAGAGUUUUCAUUUUUCAUUUUAUCAAGUUUUCUAAUUAUAUAAUAACAUAUGUAUACUUUUUGAAAAUUCAACAAUAAAUUCUUAUAAUAAAUGUCAUUUAUUUUCAAAAAUAAAAUCCACUUGUCAUGAUUUAAAUUACAAACUUAAUGAAAAUGAUAUAAGGAAUUUUCAUCUAUCUUUUUUUCUUUACAAAUUUCUUGAUCAUAUGCAUUUGUAGUCAAAGUUGAUUAUGGGGAGAAAUUACUAUGAGUAGUUCUAUCUUUAAUUAUUUCAAAACAUAUUAAGUUAUUAAAAGCGUAAAUAUAUUUGAAUUAAAAAUAUUCCUUUAAUUUUUAGAAAUUAAAAUUGCAAAAGAAAAGAACCUCAUGAUGGUGACUCUAGCUACCCCCAUUCUUGUCUUAGUUGCCAUUAAUGUUAGGUUGGCACACCAUUUUCACCUACAUUCAAAAUGUGAAACAAAUAAAAGAAAGAGAAGAAAAAUAGAAGAGGAAAUAAGUGUUUAGGCCCGUUUGGUUACCCGUUCAUUUGUUUUGUUUUUCGGCCCAUAAUUCAACAUCUGUUGAUGGACAAUGAAUUUAUAAAGCAUUAAUUGGAUUGGAUAUCCUUGGAGGGAGGAAAUAAAGUUAUAAAGGUUUUCAGAAACUUCAUAAUGUUGACUGGGUUGUGUCCAAUGUCAUGUCCUAAUCUCCCUUCCUAUAAACUUUAUGAUGAGACUUUAUUAAUCUUCAGGUAAACAAAACAAAUCCCUAUAGAUUCUCCUGUGUAAGAGUAAUGCAUGCAAUAAAUUUCUGAAAGUGAAUCUUUGAAUUACUCCUAAUAAGUAAUAACUCUAUAUCUGAUCAAACCAAACAAGUCAUUAACUUCUUAACAAUUAAUUUAACCAAAGUUUUUUUGUGGACAAGAUCUAGUGAAAGUUCCCGUGGAUGAAUAAUGUGACCUGUGACCUGCCACCUGGUGUAUGCCUUCUGGUUUGGGUACAAACCCUGAAAGCUUCAUCUAUCUAAUGACUCCAUGUCUCACUCCACAAGGGUGAUUCUUCUAUUUUUGGCCCCAAACUGCAUUAUUUCUUACGCCAUGGAAAGUGCUUUACUGUUAGUGUUAUUGGUUCUCAUUGUCUACCAAGAAAUAAUAAAUAAUUAUAUUUUCCUUUUCAGUGCUUAUGGAUUUAGCUCAAGAACUAUAUAGCUAUGUUUGGACAAUAUUCGUUAGAAAAUGUAUUAGAAAACCAUUGAGGAGUCCGCUUUGCAACUUCGUUAGGCAAAAAUAUAACAGAAAAACAUGUUUUUCAAUAAAAAUGGAGUCUAAUUUCUGGAAGCAAAAGAAGUGAGUAUCAUUAAGAUAAAAAAAAAAUUAUAGUGUGAAUGAAAUCACAACGUCUCUUUAUUUUUUGGAAGGUGAAAGUCUCUUAUGAUUGUCAUGAACAUUUAUUUUUGGGGUCAGGGACAAACACAUCUUAUAUUCUCUGGAAAUAAUACCGUAAACUUCACUAAAGACAGAGGAGUGCAUCAAGUAGAAAGGCAUGAUUCACUUUCUGGGUAGGUGUACAUCAUCACCGAUCCUAAAAUAAGUAACCCAAUUACUCCAAGGGCCCAUCAGGACCAUUCAUAUAGGGCCUAAGUUUAUAUGAUCAGGAACCCAAUCAUUUUCUUUCCAAACUCUUUAGAAUUUGUUUUGGGCUAUAUUCCACUCAGGUCUCAGGCAUCAAUGCCAUUGUUAGCCCAAAAUAAAAAUACUAUAUAAUUCAAAUAUUCUUUAAUUUAAAAUUUAAAUUCUUAUUUGUGUAACUCAAAAUCAGAAGCUUAACCUACCCUACUUUUUAUAUUAUAGUCUUAAAUUAAAUAUAAAACCAACUUUUUUAUUUUUAUAAUGUUAACUUGUGUUAGUAUAACUAACUACAGUAUCAAAUAACGUACGAUAAACAAUGAACUUCUAGUACUAUUUAGAGGCUCAUGCAGAACAUGUAAUCCCAAAUUAAAGGAGAAGUAUGAGCUUAUUUAGUCAACAAAUGCAUCCCGAUUAACUUCUCGUAAUAUGUGGUCAAAACUUAACCUUUAUCGCCUAUUCUUCAAAUUCAAAGUCUAAAAAAUGAUGUUAUAACAUAGAGGCGACUCUCCCUACACAAGCUAAACAACAAAUUAAUAGCAUCGGUGGAAUCACUCUCAAUCACCACACUCUUGAUCCCAAGACAUUAAUUAUUAUUUUUGGCAUUAGUUUGAAAGCUAAUUAGAAGAACUAAAUAGCACAUCCUCACGUGCCAUGUUUAAAAAAAAAAAAAACAUUGUAAGAAUAUCUAUAUGAUAUAUAUAUAUUUGUCUUGUUUAAAAUAAAAAUUGUUAUUUGAUUUUGAGACAAAGAAAAUAUAUAGUAUCUGUAAAAUUGGAGUGAAUGAGUGUAAAAUUUCUUAAAAGAGUAACCUAAAAGUUAUUCACACAUCAUACUAUGGGUGAUGUUAGUGCUUUUCUACUUUAAUUAUGAUACAUAGACAUCAAAUAGUACAUACAACUCACAUUGUGUUUUUUUUUCUCUAUCUCUUAUUAUAUCUCAUUUAUUAUUUCUCAUUUAUUUUUCAUUGAGAGUAUUUAGUAUUUACCUUGAGUGUCUUCCAACAUUUCUCUUUUUACUUUAGAGUAAAAAACUACCACUACUAUCACUUAUGAAAUAGACACCUCACCCUAUAUUUUAUCUAAUUGAUUAGAGCUACAUGGUUAUUUAUUUCUGACAAACUCUCAGCGAGCAUUGGACUGGAAUAAUUUUCUUACACUUUCUGAGUGAGUGAUCAAACAGAUGAGAUGAGUAAUGAAUUUGAAAUGCAGAGCCUAGAAAGCCUACCUCGUUGGUUUGCCCUGUACAAGCAAAGCAAAAUCCAGAAGAUGGGGGAGGCAAUCCUGAAUCACACAAUAUUGUGACUUACUUGGCCAUAUGUGCUUUAAAUUCACUGGUAGGUUUAGGAUAGGCCUGCUACAAAGAUAUCAUAUGCCUUCACUCCAUUAAAUACAACUUGCUUCCCCUCUUCCUCUUUUCCCUUUCAUCUUUACUUUUUCAGUAUCAUUUUCAUCCACACCAUUUAAUGCUCUCAUAAAUGACUCUGGUGUUUGUUCUCUGUUCCGUGGGCCGGUUGCCCCAUUCAAUUUAUUGUUUGAACACAUUAUUUUAUUUUUCUUGACCAAUUUAUCCUAUAGCCAGUAACAAGAUUAAUUAUCGCUCUAUAGUAAUCAAUACAUUAAUCAGUUUUUUUUUUCAUUCAUAAGAAUUUGGAUUGAAACGUACAAAAUUACUUAUUUAAAAGACAAAAUGGUGAAUUAGUAUGCAAACUCAGUUACUUUUGCUCAAAUUAUUCACUCACGUAUUUAUACUCAUAUUGUUUUUCAUUUUAUCUAAGCUAAAUUACCAAAUAUAUGUAGUGCACUAAGUGCUAAUAGUGUGUUUAGAUUGGUGGUAGACACAAUUAAACCAUGUCACCUCUGAAAAAAAUUACUACAUUUUAUGAAAAAUGUAACCGUAUAUAUUAAAAGAUUUUUAUGUAAAUUGUAAAAAGAAAUAGAAGCAGGAGUUUUUGACAGGUUUUGGGUCUGAGUGCAGAGGACUCAGAUGUUGGAGCCGUACGAGACAGUACUCUGGAUCUAUACACUCUCAUGAUACGUACAUUUUCACACGGGUGAUGUUGCUGCCGUCCACCUGAUCAACACCCUCAUUUACUCUCUAUGUUUUGGAUCUUUAUAUAUAUGCUUAAUUACUAAACAAAUUGAUUGAUGAAAUAUUGAUCCAUUUUCUGAUGAGACUUUCUCUUUGAUUUGAUAGAUCAUGCAAAUAUGCAAAUAAUUUGUUUUGUUUCUGAUGUGUUCAAACUCUCAACCAAGUGCUAUAACUCCAAAAGGUCUUGUUAUUAACCUUGUCCAUAUUGAAUAUGAUUCAUUUUUUAUAAAAGGAAAUAUAAGUGUAAAAUCUGGAAUGUUGUAUAUUAUUGUAGUAUUUAUCGAAGAAUAACUACUCUUAAAUCAUUCAACUACGAUCGAAAAUGAGCUUAUUAUAAAAUGUAAAAAAGAGAAGGAAAAAAAAAGUUAUAAUUUGCGAACCAAACACUUAUUCAUGUCAAUGUGGGGUGGGGUUAGCCCAAUAACAAUAUUGAAUAAUAAAUUGGGCUAAUCCGAGCAUUAUUCUGGCCCAAUAUAAGGCGCUCAGUAAUGUAGUAUAAUAUUAAUGCAUUUGUGCCAAAUGAAAUAAGAACUCUAAAAUUGUGUAUAUGGAGUUUAGGGUUGGAAACUUAUUUUAUGUUUUUGUCCACCAACAUUCACUUUCAUCUUAUUUCCAUUAUCUUUUUAUUUAUUGGCUCGUAAUUUUUUUUAGGGAAUUUUAUUUUUUGCACGGAUGAAUAUUUGCACUGCACCUUUAUGUCCCUAAUUUUCACCCACUUAAAUUUUCUUUCCAUUUUUCAAUUUCUUUUUAUCCCAUCAUACAUAAUAUGUCUCACUUCUCUUUGUUAUAUUUCUAUCUCUCUAGUCUCUAAUAGGUGUGGUUCUUAUGAACAAUUUUUUACUGAAAAAAAUUACUUCAUUAAAUUAAAUUGUGAACUAUGGGAAUAUUAUUUUGAACUUUUUCUAUCUCCAGGUACUCUUGCACCCCUCUUAGUAUUCUCUAUCUCUCUUAUUGCACUUUUAUAAUAAUGUUCUUUCUCUUUUUAUCAUUAAAACCUUUUCUAAUGUUUUUGUACUUUUUACUCAAUUUAAGGGGUCAAUGGAACCCACACUUCUAAAAUACAAUUAAAAAUAAUUAAAAAGUUCUCAACUUUUUCAAGUGUCACAGGACUGAAAGAAAUUGCAAUUAAAGUGAAAAAUGGAUCAGGUGCUGAUGCAUUCCCUUGCUCACAUAAAUUCAAAUUUCAGUCACCACCUCUAAUAGUUGCCUCUUUAAUUUGUUUUGUGGUUAAGAAAUUUUGUAGGGCUGGGAUGGUGUUCGAGUUCAAUAAAACUGUUGAAUUUAAAAUACACUUUCAAAAGACUUGUAUUUAAUCUUAUCCCAAGAGAACAAUCAAGAGUUUAAAUAUCCAAUCUAUUAGGUAUAAAACUUUGUCAUACCACUAAACCAACACAUUUGACGUUCAAUAGUUGUCUCUUUUAAUAAAAAGACACAUGCAUAUGAAUAAGCCAUAUAUCCUUUGAUGCCUAACUAAAUUUACUAUGGAAACUAAGCCAUAUAUCAAUCGAUGCAUAAAUCAUAACUAAAGAAUAAAUAUGAAUCAUCUACUUGUUAAAUGAAUAAUGCAUUGAAUAUUUUUUAUAUUUUACAUGAAAUAUAUUUAGUUUUUCUAUUCAAUGUUUUUCUUAUAAUUAAUAAAAUAUUUUAUAAAUUUAUUUAUUUUUGCUCCAUCAGAAAAUUAUAAAUUUCUAGCUAGUAACUACGAUGAACCCAACUCUCAAAUACUCCUAAGUCCAAUAAUUAUUUAUUCACACCUCAAAAUGAGGUGGAAUGAGGUGGAGGAAGAGAGAGAUAGGAAAAAAAGAAAAAGUAAGAGUGAGAAAGUAUAAGAUGUGAUAGAUGAUAAGAGGAGAGAGAUAGAAAUAAAAAUAGGUGAAAAUGAAAUGUAUAAAAAAAGAUGUGUGUAUAUUCAUUACCCCUCCUAAGUCUAACUCAAAAAUGAGCAAGGCCAUAGCAUUGGAUCCAAAUUAUUUCAAUCUUUUGUUAUUGGGUCCCAAAAGGAAAUGAAAACAUGGACCCUUUCUAGUUUCAACAUCAUAUAUAUCCACACAAUGAAUAUAGAAAUUCUUAAUGCACCAAUUAUUUUCAUAUCAGCAUAUAUGAAACUAAUUUUUCAAAAACUCUGAAAUUGAUAAAUAAAUUUCUCUUAACAAGUUAUUCUUCAUGCAUGUGUGCCGUCCAGAGAUUGAAUACUUGACUAAAUGCUUAAAAAAUUCAUCUAUCUACUAAAUGUGUUCUAGUAAGUAUGUGAUGAAUAUUUUUUGAGAAAGAAAAAAAAGGCAGCAAUAGCAUAUAUAGGUGAAAGUACCCCAUACAUGUGAGAUAUGUAACACAAACAUUUGACAAAUCAGAGGCUUUGUUUGAAACUAGUACAAGUCCUUCACACUCAUUAUUCACACACUCACUCACUUCAUCAAGUUGCAACCCCACCCCUAUCACAAUCAUCCUGAAGCCUUGUAGGGACCCAUGCCCCCCACCCUUUGGGCCUUUUUCCCUAAUACUCAAACAAAAUCUCUCUCACUCCAUCUCCUCUUUUGGGUUCCAUAUUCCCUUUCUCUUCUCUUUUGACUUGGACUUUCUUUCUUUCUCUCACUCUACCAUCACACGCAACAACAACAACUGCAUACACCUCACUGUUCUGCAACAAUAAUACCACACCCUCUUCUCUUCCCUUCAACACCCUCACUCUCAUCUCACUCUCAUUGUCCCUUGCUAACGUGCGCAUUCCCACCUCGGCGAUGGUCAUAAUCCGUCACCUCCGCCGCCGCAAACACCACCAACACCAUCACUGGUUGCAAGCCUUCACCACCUUCACAUUCCUCUUUCUCUCCUCUGCUUCAGCCAUGGCUACUCUCUCACCACAACCUAGUAAGUAAAAAACGAAGCAGAUUAGUUUCUUAGGUCCAGAACUAAGUUUUCACGUUGCUUUUCCUUCUUUUUCAGGUGGUGGAGCAGUGAAGCAUCCUUUCAGGGAGGAAAACGAAAAUGGGUCGCAGUUUACUGCGGUGGCGGAUCAGAAGAGACUCGGCGGACCAGGGUCAUCGCCGCCGUCAUGCAGAUCCAAGUGCGGGUGGUGCAGCCCUUGCCAACCGGUUCAUAUUCCGGUUCAGCCUGGUUUGAUCAUACGCCUUGAGUACUACCCAGAAGCGUGGCGAUGCAAGUGUGGGAACAAGCUUUUUAUGCCUUAAACAAUAGUAAUGAUAAUGAUGCAGCAUAAUCCUAGUACUGAAGAAAAGAAAAAAGAACACAAACAUUGCCAGAACCGAACAGGGAAAACGGUAGCAGACAGCUAUCUUAAAUUUUUCCCCUUUUGGGGGUUCUUCAGUGUUAGUGCCUAUCAUGCAUUGAUUAUUGAGUACCACUACUACGUUUAUAAUAUUGAUUUUUGAGUUAACCUUUUGAGGGAGAAGGGACAAGAAGGGAACUUUGGGAAUGUAAGAUAUUAAGGUGUGAUUAUCGAGAGGGAACAUCUAAUCUAAACCCUUCUCUGCUUUUUACACACCCUAGCUUCAUAUAUUAAUAUGAUUACCCUUUCUUUUUGUGUUUUUUUUUUGGUUUUAUGUUUGUACCCUUUUUUUAUAAGACAGUGAAAUUAUGUGUAUGAAGGUUGUAAUUAUGAUUAGCUUCUCUUUAGAACAAUAGAGAAUUUUCAUUAUUAUUGUCUUUAAAUUCUUCUUCUUCUUCUACUUCUUUGUUCUAUGAAUCUUUUUAAUGUGUUAAGUUGAAAGCUUUAGUAUAAGGAAGGUGCAUCUUUGAAUGGAUUAGAAACAACAUGGUGAAGAAACUUUUGGGUCUGGUUCAACUUAUUGAUGUGUUUCCAUGUACUUUUACAGGUUGAGGUUAUUCUACAUCACUGUUUCAAACCAUUUAGGUGUCUGAGUAGUAUUCUUAGUUUUUCUUUGUUUGGUUCUUUGUACUGUUGGUUGGGGAAUUAUUGUUACACGCUCACUCACUUGAUCUGUGUCAUCAGUCAUCACUCUCUCCCUCUCUGUUUCUUCUCCUCUCUGCGGUAUUUAAUUGUUUCCUCUAUAUUAAUUUGUAUUUAUUUAGCAAUCCUGAACCCCCUUUCCUUUUCCAUUAAAUGUGCACAACUGCACAUGCCAAUAACAAAAGGAACACAGAUAGGGCAUUUGUUUACCUCAGGUGACUUGAGAUUUAAUGUGCAUAAAUGACUCAUUUUCUCUACUUUCAAACAUUUGGUCAAAAUAAUUUGACUCAAAUUUAACAUAACUUCGUAACUUGCUUGAAUGAAUGUUUACAAAAUUUCAAAUUAUAGCUAGUUAGAGAUUUAGUGAUUUUUUGAUACAUAUGGUAAUCCACAGUGAAGUUAAAAGCACGAUAAACUGUCAUCAAAAUUAAGGAAAAUUGCUUUGUGAUUGUAGUUUGCUGCACAUGCACUUAAUUUGAUCAAUUGAACAUUUCUUUUUAUAGCCUGCUAUCGUUUUCACAUCAGGUACAUAUACAUGACCUCAUAGAGGCAUAAAGUAGAAACCCCAGAUAGUGAACCAUGACCCUAUGAUUCAAGACUGCGUGUCUAGGAAAACGCCAUGCACUCAAUUAAAGUUCAUGUCUCUAUUUAAUGAAACUAACUAAAGCCUUGAUAAAGAUGUGUAAUGGUUUUCAAUUACCUAAAGAAGAAGAUGAGGAAGAAGAAAAUAAUGGUACUAUAUAGUAUUAUUGAUGUGGAUGACAUGUGAGUGACGAGUGUUAUCACUAAGUAUUAAUGUGUGCUCGAAUUCCAAAUUUGCAGUACACACACGAGGGGGUGAAAGCUCUUUUUUCUGCUUCAACAGAGAUAUACAGUUGGUUUGGCUAGCAACCCUGUUUGUCAGUGUUGUUUGUAUCAAAUGGAGUAAAAGUAAAAACUGGCAAUGGAAAGCCCCCAUUCACAAACAUCCGCAACAAGUCACCACUAACAGGUCCCCCUUACCUACAAAGUUAGCUCUUUCAAACACCUUUUCAGUAGUCACUCCCAAAACAGUAAGGUGCUAGUGGUAUAAUUAUACUCACAACUCACAAGUACACAGGUACAUACAUUUAUAACUUUUUCUUAACAUCACUAGUUUUUUUUUUUCUACUUAGAUCAUAUUUUUUCUUAUAAGCUUGUUAGUUAUUAGCAAAUUAAUUAUUUUGUCUCUGGAUAAAACUAUGUAGAUUGUAGUGGUCCAUGUACUGUCACAAUUCACAAAUGUCAAUUGUAUGUAUGUCUCCGGUCUCGUAUGUCAACAUGAUUAAUUGGUUGUUUAUCUUGAUCUCUAUAUAUAAGAUUUUGCUUAGAAAACAAUGUGGCACAGAUACACACAAUGUAUUGUACAGCACAAGAACUGUGCUUUUUCACGAGGCCUGACAGAGUUGUUGUUUUUUAUUUGUUUUUUUGUUGAAUUCCACAGAAAAACACGUAUAUAGUAGUGUUUGUUUUCAGGGAUUGACAAGACAAGUUGACAACGUGAUGGGGAAUGCUUUGAAACGGUGGCUCCAAGAUGGUAUUCAAAUACUAGUCAUGGUGCCCAUUACACCACGCAUGACAGCAUUUGGUUAGGUUUGUGAAAAAGAGGGAGAAAGAUAAUAAUGCUAACAAGUGAUGUCUGAUUUGACAGUGUUAUUGAGUUUGCUGUGAAAGUAAAAGUUCUUCCUACAUCAAAAACUUCACUUCAGAGUAUUCUCUUAUUCCAUUAUAGUCAUUCAUCAGCUUCUGAGUUUUGACCAUGAGUUUUGAAAUUUCAUCAGCUCUUGUUCUUUCAAUGCCAAUGCCAAUGCCAAUGCACUAGAUUUGGUUUGAAAAAGGUAGGCUAGUGCCUCUUUUUUCUUGCUUUCCUUUCCUUUAAUUGAGGUAGUGCUGGUCAUUACAGAGAUGUUACAGGACAGAAUAUAUACAAUCAUGGAUGAAUAUAUAUGGGUCCUUAAAAUCUGUUGGACAAACACCAAUGAAGAAAUUAUGAGCAAUAAUGUAAUGCAUUGGUCACCAAAUAAAAUUGUUAAAGAUGUAUAACAUAAAAAAGUUUGCAAAGGGAAUACAUUUCCUAAAUGUUAUCACAUUCAUACACAAUAGGCGAUUCUUACAUGAUGUGAUUCAUACUAUUGAUUGAUUGGUCAAUCCAUUCAAACUAUUUAAAAUGAGAUUGAUUCUAGACAAAGUUGACCAGUUGAAGAAUGUAAUUGACCAAUCACCUAACGUCAUUGAGUAUUGAUUGAAGUGACUUUACAUAACUGCCUCAAAUUCACUUCCAUGUACUCAAUAUACUAUUCAUUGAUUUAAUUUAUUGAAUGGAAAAAAGAAGUAUAUUAAAUAAUCAAAUAAAGUUUUGCUGUUCAUGAAAUCACAUUAUUGAAUCUUGAAGAUGUGAAUGCUGAUAUUGUAGCCAAAACAUUGCCCGGUAUGCUCAUUAUCCGGUAUGCAUUCUCAUCAUUAAUUAGAUUUUUCAAUUAGUUUCUCUGCAGAUUCUAAGAUUUCAUUAUAUUUGUACUUGGUUGUUGUUCUAUGCUCUUGGAAAGAAUAAUGAAUCUAUACCCAGAUUUUACUACACAUAUGCACCAGCUGUUGAACUUGAUAAAUCGUGCCAUACCAAUUCAUUUACUAUACAGCGACUAGACAAAGGGAUACUAAGAAUAUGGAUAAUAUCUGUAUCUUGAAUGGUAAAGUUAGAAACCUCAUAAUUUAUAUCAGAUCAAUUGAAAUUGGACCAAACUUGGAACCUGUUAGGCUGUUAUUGUAGGAAUCCAUUUAUCAUGCCAUAUAUGUUGGAACACUUUCUCCAGUACCAAUUCUCCAAAAGCUGCCCUGUUUUGUUAGGAAAUAACACAGAUGAAGAAGUAAAAUAUAAAAUAAACCAAGAGCGUAAAUAUUUGAACUACAUCUCACAAUACUUUAAAAUAAGAGCAUAAGAGAAAAAGAAAACACAAAUAUACACUUAAAGUGUUUUCAGGUGUUACAUCUUUGGUGUUUUGGUGUGUUGAAACAAGGAGCCUGAGAUCCAUAUAUAUAGUCUUGAACUCUCCAACCCCUCACUAAUCUAAGCGAUAUGAGACUUCUCCAAAAUACAUAACUUGAUCUUUUUUCUCCUUCAUUAGCAAUGUGAGACUUACAUUGCAAUCAACCCCAACAAACUCCACCUUGAUUGUAAUGGUCUCCAGUCUUCAUUGUCUACACCGACAAUCAUUGUCUUAACCGACAAACAUAAUUCUCAUUGUCUAUAUACCAACAAAUUAAAUUAUUAUACUCCACCAUAAAGAGUGCACUACACUUGAAACUAAACCAUCCCACAAAUUUUCUUCACUUGGAACUAAACCAUUCCAAGAAUUUCCACAUGUCGAAACCUUGCUGAAAAUUUAUGGUGCAACUUCCAUGUUGGCUUUCUCCGGAAGUUCAUCAGUCAUCGACAUAACCACGUACCUUGCAUCAACGCCAACCAAUGUCCGCACGCUAUCACCACACACCUCGCAUCUAUAUCAACUAAUGCCCGUGUGCCACCUGGACAAUUUCAUGCCCAGAACGCCUUGUGUAAUCAUGAUUGCAUCAACUCCUCCAUCACAGCAUCAUCGAAGUUGUAAACCAUACUUCUUCAGCACCUUCGCAAUACCACACAAAGUGAUAUCCAUCGAACCGGAAGCUCUGAUACCACUGUUAGGAAAUAACACAGCUGAAGAAGUAAAAUAAACCAGGAGCGCAAUCAACAACACAAGAAUAUAACGUGGAAACUCCAAAACCGGAGAAAAAACCACGGUCGUUGUCAAAACCGACAACCAUAGAAUAAACACUAUGUAAAAAUUGUUACAUCACAUAGACUUCACUCUCAACCACCCCAUAACCCUAGUACACCCACACUCUCCAAAGUUAAUAUUUGAACUACAUCUCACAAUACUCUAAAACAAGAGCAUAAGAGAAAAAGAAAACACAAAUAUAAACUUAAAGUGUUUUCAGGUGCUACAUCUUUGGUGUUUUGGUGUGUUAAAACAAGGAGCCUAAGAUCCCUAUAUAUAGUCUUGGACUCUCCCACCCCUCACUAAUCUAAGCGAUGUGAGACUUCUUCAAGAUACAUAACUUGAUCUUUUUUCUCCUUCAUUAGCAAUGUGAGACUUACAUUGCAAUCAACUCCAACAUGUUCAACUGCCCAUCUGCUUGAAAAAUGCUGGACCAACUGACCAAGUAUAGAUAGGAAUCCAUCAUCCUUUAGUAGCUUCUGUAAAUGAUUUGGGGCACAUAACAAGCUUUUAAAAUCAGCAAUAAAUAGCUCACUUAUUAGUGACACCCCACUUUUAUGACGAUUUUUAAAUACCUCACUUAAUGUGAAGACUAAAAGAAUUUACUUAAAAUUUAUCAGUUAAAAAGUUGACACAAAGUGAGAUGUCAAUAAAGUGAACUAACUAACUCUUUUUCGUUUAAAAUUUUGGAUAGCAAAGAGUCAUAGUUCACCAAUAAGCACACUUAUUGAAAGUUUUGUAAAUAUGAAAAUCUUGACCUCCAUAGUUAUUUUUUUUCGGAGCACUAAUAUAAUGCACGACACUUGCUAUGCAAUGUAGAAAUGACACAUGUUUGUUGUGCAUAAAACCUAUAUAUAUCACCGUACAGUCAUUUUAGGUUAAUCAAUAAUAUUUAAGAUAAAUGAGUUAGUGAUUUAACAAUUUAUUUCUUUAUUUUUCAUAAAUAGUCUUAUAGAUCAACAAGGGUAGGGUUAACUUAAUCUCAAUGAUGAGGAUUUAGACAACCCAAAAUUUCCAACUCAUCAUGUACGUGUAUCUUCCUAAUAGCUUUUGGGCAUCAGGGCAAACAAAUGACCAGCUGAGUCCCUGAGUUCGAAUUCUAGAAAAGAAAUUUGAAGGGAUUUUAUAACUUGCUAACAACUAACCACUAAUAUUUGCUUAUAAAAAAAAUGACCAGCUGAAAUGUGUGGAUUGGGCCACUUUGUGAGCCCGUCCUGUGAUAACAUGUAUUUCCACUGGUCAAAUCCAGGUUUUAUGUUUGACAAAAAAGUCCAGGUUUUAUGAAGUUAUGAAUGAAACAUUAUCCUUAUUUCUCCAUGUCCAAAAAAAUAGAUCAGCAGCCCAAUUCUUUUAGACUUCAGUGACUCUCUUAUGUCCAGAUCCCCAGAAGAAGAACUUCAAUCUGUGACCCAAAAGAAUAACCCUCUCAAUUGGGUAGUUGGUUUUAUCCAAAAAACACUUGCGUAAUUGGUUUUUUUUUUGUUGGAGCUUGAGUAGUUUUUGUUUAUUUCAUACUUGGGAAAAUUUGGGCUUGCCUGUUGAGGACCACUCAUGCAAAGUUAAGAAGUCUGCCCCUUAUUGACCAAAAAAAAAAAAAAAGAAGUCUGCCCCUUUAUAGCUUUGUGGUACAAGGGCCUUAAACGAAGCUUGCUUGACAUCUUUGACAAAAACAAGACAGUAAAAGCCCCUUUAAGUUUCUUUUAUUAUUUUAUCAAUUGACAAAAACAUCUUUUAAAUUGAUAACUUUUAUCAAUUAAAGUUUAAAACACUCAAUUUGGUUGUCACAUAUAUAUCCUCUAACUAGACAAUCAUAUUCAAGUUAUAUAUGACCAUUAAAAGUAAUAAAACUAUAUCCUCCACUCCGGCAGAUAUUCUAGUUAGAUAGGACUACUAUGGUUGGUGAAACUCUCUAUAGCGAAUAUUUAGCGCAGGUGCAUUAAUAAAGCCAUCCUCUCUUUCAUCAUCAUAUAUUUUUUGAAAUAAUUUUUAAACAAUAUUUUGCAAAACAAAGCAUUCAAAUAAAACGAUAUCAUGAGCAGGACCCAAGAAACAUAUGGACUUGUUAAAUUUUAUAUACUCAGCAUUAUAUUAGUCAUCUAUUGCUAGUCACUUUUAAUACACGAGUGGUAGGACCAUAAGUCAUCAAAGAAAGUCACCAUCCAAAUUCUGUAUCAAUUGCAAGAUAUACUUAUAGACAUCAAUUGAUGUUGAACUGCACUAACAGGAAACUAAUGAGUGGCAUAGAGGUUUACAAGGAAUCAUUCCAAUCUUUUGAGUGGAAAGGAUUGAGGACAUGAAUCAUGCAUGCGUGACAAAUCAAUGAAAUUGAAAUAUACAUCUAUUGCCACUACGACUAAAUCCACAUAAUGUCACAAAUUUUUUUCCUCAUCAAGACCAUAAUUCUUAUAGUGCUUGCAGUGGAUCGACAAAUACAUCGAACAAUCCAAAUGAUAUUCUUUCAUAAGGGUGGUUGACUUCUUUUUUAUUUAAAGAUAUUUUUUCUUACUUAAUAAUUUUUUCUCAUAAUUUUUAGGAAGGAGAAUUUCUUUUGGGGGCUAGGGUUUAAACAGCAAGGAUAUGGAAAUCACCAACAACUAGUAAAGCUGCAAUUAUGAGAAAAAGAAAAAGCCUUAAAUCAUACCAUUCAUUUUAUGGGGUUGUCUAAAUAAUCCAUGGUGAUAUUUGGGUUAAAUAACUCAUGAUCUAGGUGGACCAAUCACAUUCAAGAUAAUUAGUUGAAAUUUUUAUAUAUUUUUAAUUUAUUUAUUUAGGGUUAAAUAUGUUUUUGGUCCUUAAUUGAUACACAUAAAUAUAAAAUGGUAUUUGAAAUAAAUAUAAUGAUUUUAGCCCUUUAAAAUUUUAUUUUCGAUCUAAAAUGGUUUCAUGUGAAAUUUUUUUACAUCUAUUUCAGUCCCUUAAAAAUUUCUUCCAUCAAAUUAAGUCUUCUUUCCCCUCAUAAUUAUUUUAAAACCUAAAAAUUCAUAUCUUCAUCCCAAAACUCAGAAAUUCAUCUAAAAAAUUCUCCAUGUUCUUCAUCUUCCAAAAGCACAAGAAGUGCCAACGAGUAAUAAAGUACAAGUAAGUUCCCCAACCAACAGGAAACAGAGGAACGAAACAUAGCUAGGGGGAAUGAGAUAUCAAAGGGAAAAAAGGAGAGGACCACCUAAGCAUACCACGAAAUUAGAAUACUACAGGGACAAGGAGUCGUGUCACAAAACAAAAGCACCCAUCUACAAGAAAGCUACAGUGGGGCAAAAAAACCAAAACAGUCCUCCCUGCGCCAGUGUCGUCAUGAGUUUUGCAUAACCACAUAAGUAAAAACGGUCCAGAAAAUAAAUCCCCUGCCACACCAAAACCGGCCUCUCAAGGUGGUGGUGUUGGGUGAGGGGGGAGGAGGUGUGUUCGGUGGUGGUUGUUCUGGGUGGGGGUUUGGGUGGUGAUGGUGGUUUUGGUGGGUGAGGAAGAAGGAGGAAGAUGAAGGAAAUUCUGGGUUUUGAAGAUGAAGAAGAUGGAGGGGUUUUGGAGAUGAAGAUAUGAAUUUCUAGGUUUUGAAAUAAUUAUGAGGGGAGAAGGAUGUAAUUUUAUGGAAGAGAUUUUGAGGGACCGAAAUAGAUGUAAAAAAAUUCACAUAGAACCAUUUUAGAUAAAAAUAAAAUUUCAAAGGAUUGAAAUCUUUAUAUUUUUUUCGGGUACCAUUUUAUAUUUAUGUGUAUGAGUUAGGGACCAAAAACAUAUUUAAUCAUAAUAAAUAAUAAAUAAAACAUGAAAAUAUCAAUUAAUUAUCUUGAAUGUGAUUGGUCCACAUAGAUCAUGAGUUAUUUAACCCAAAUAUUAAUAUGGGUCAUUUAAACAACCCCUUCAUUUUAUCCUAAUAAUUUUGAGCGGAAAUAAAUUUUUUUCCUCAUUUUAAUAAGCCCUUAGCUUUUAUAACUCAUUUCAUGUGCAGCUUCUAGAGAAGUCAAUAUUGAAGCUUGAGCACAUUGAGAACAUGAAGAGGGAGGACAAAUGAUCCUAAAACAACAAAAUAAAUCAGAGGCGUGAGAGGGAGAUGGAGAUGUAUGAGUUGGUAGUGGCUGCGAUGACAUCGGUAGAGUUGAUAGCGGUUGAGACUGCAACAUAAUGGGUGCGGAGACGAUGAAUGAUGGAAGAGGAGAGAAACCCCACACUAAGUGGAAAAAAACAACACUUAUUUACGUAGCAAAAUCACUUAUUGUGGUACAUAAUCCACCUAUUAUAAAGAGAAAACACCUAUCGUGGAGAAGAAAAACCUCCUAAACGAGGGUGAAACCCCAAAGGUGGAUAAGACUCCCAAAAAGAGGUCUUAACUGCUCAAUGUUGGAAAUCCCUCUCUACUAGAGUUUUAUGAAAGGAGCGGCUGUUUUCUGAUUUGCGCAAUCUAGCAUACUAUAAAAUACUCAAAAGUUAAUUUCAUUAGUCCCAUUUUCUCACUACUGUUGAAAACUUAUAAAACAUUCUGUUAUGCACAUAUUUAAAGAUAAAGAACACAAAGUGGAUGUGCAGGACAAUGAUGACUCUUGACAUGCAAGAGAAUAUAGUUUUCCAGAGAUCCAAUGGGGAGCCUAACCUCCUAAUUGUUUAUUCUAAAUCACAUGAAAAUCUACACUUUUGACCACUUUUUUACAAGCUCAAAACCUAAAUGUACACACAACACAAAUAGAAUAACAGGGUUUAUUUGUCUUCAAAUUUAUGCAUCCCCUCCAACAUGAUUCUUUCCAAUUCUUUUUUGACUGGCCCCCCAGUCCUAGGUACUCAUUUCCUUUCCAAAACAGUGAAAAGAACAAAAGGAUCAUGGCUCACUUUGGUUCAAUCACUUAGCAUUCAAAAAAUUACAUCAUUCAAAUCCCCAUAUACAUUUUCCCCUAGGUUAAAGUCACCCCCAUCUGACAUAACUUUGCCUUUAGUUUACCCUUUUUACAAUGACCAAAACCCCACCAUGUGUCAAAAAGAUCCACAGUGUAGAGAGCACCAUUGAUCCUAUAUUUUCCCUAUUGCCAAAACGUGUUUCUACUUCACAAUCUAACAGAAGCUCAUAUUCUGUUUCUGUUGUUCUUUUCUGCAGCAAUGGAAAGAAGCCGAGUCACGCCCUGAGUCCAAACAUCAUACUCCCUCUGAUUUACGCACUCAAACUCAACAACACCGCGCGUCACAGUUUUAAGCCCAAAGUAGCGACGAUUCUCACCGCCUUCCAGCAAGUGGCGGCCGGGCCAGGCAGGCAUAUCUUUGAUCACUUCAAUCACCACAUCUAUAAAUUCAAAAAGAAAGUAUGGGAUUAAAGAAGAACAACCCUUUUGAUUAAUUUUUUUCCAUCUUUAGUAGUGGCUAUGACUUUCACAAAUCCCUAUAUGAAACAAGACCCACCUCCAAAUCUGUUGUCAAAUAAUUAGUUAAGAGCAAGACAAAAGUUAUCAACACUCACUCUUUUUCUUUUUGGUGAAGGUCCCAGCAACAUGCUUGCUCUUCAUUUUCACAGUAACCUUCACAAAAAGAAGCUCCAAAGGGUAAAGAUUGCAGUUUUCUAAGAUAGUAAAAUAAGUUGAUACCUUCACAUCAUCAUACUAAAAGCCCCACCACAUAACCUUUUCAUAAUCAGAUUUAAACCCAUCAUUAUCCUCUAAUUGAUGCCCAAAUAAUUAAGUGACUGAUUAUCAUCUACAAUCAACAUAAUGGAAUAGAGAGGGGGGAAACACAACACACCUGAUUCAUUUUGUUUAUAUACACAGAUACAACUUUCCAAUGAAGAUCACCUGCACAAAAUUCUCAGAUCAGCUCACAUUCAAAUAAUCAUACCCUUAAACAAUGGAGGACUAGGGAAAAGUUAGAAAUUUCUUUUCCUACACAGACAAACAGAACCUUGCCAAGCAAACAAUCACAAGACCAUAGAAACACAUCCAUAUCAUGUUUGGAUGGGUUACUCUAUCCUCAGAAUCAAUUAUAAAAUUCAGAAGCUCUCACCAGUAUUAAUUCUAGCUUCACAAAUAUCUUAGGACAUGUAGGAAGGUAAAUUGCAGAAACUAUACCUUUGCGUGUGCGCUUGAGAAGAUCACCACCUCUGGCUAGCAAUUCUCUACUACAAAUACCCAAGAAAUUCUCCUCUAGGGGAAGCUCACCACUGAAACUACUAUUAGAACUUCCAUUGCUACCACUAUUCCCACUACCACCACCCCCUAAAUUCUUCUCCACAGGAAUAACAGCUGCAAUAUUCCAAACAUCCUUCAAGGCCCUAGCUUUUAAUGUUGCAGCCCCACGCAAAGCUGCAAUUCAAUUUCACACCACAAAAGAUAUCCACGCAAGUCAAGAUACAAAAUUUUCAACAAACAAUUGGAAUAUUCCUAAAAACAUUCACCAUGCAUCAACAUCAAAUAUACCUGUAGCUGCUGCUGCAGUUAAAGUCAUGAUAUCACCGGCUGAUCUAACAUUGACGGCGGAGCUGACCACCGAGGCGAGGUGCUCACGCUCCACCCCUAAGGCCUCUGCUGCCUCCACACACUGGGCCGCCACAAGGGUUGCCGCAGAAGCCACCGCCAUAUCGGUCUUCGCCAUAUGCUCAUCCUUGGUGGACGCCGACGAGGCAGCCGUGGCAGCAGCGAUAGCCGCAACCGCAGCGGCAAGACCGGCAACUGAAACAGCCGCAUGGAGCUGAGCAUUGUGGGCCCUGGUUUCCUCUUUCUUCUUCUCCUUCCUAUCCUUGAGCCACCUCCCUACCGUCUUGCUGCCGCCGACACCACCAGGCCCCGCAGCAGCGGCCACGGCAGCCCUGAAAUUACCGCUGCUGCUGUUGUUGACACGGCAAAACUGCAGAGGGGAUUGCACAGGAAGCAUUUCGGGGUUCAAAACAGAACAACACAGGACACCAAACUCAUUAAACCGUGUACAACACACGCUUGUUCUAUGAUUCUACCACCUAUUUUCCUUUUGUGCCAGAAAAAGUAAAACACAUCAAAAUUGUUUCUACGCUGUAACUACUUCGAUAACAACAAAGAGAAUGAUAACCUUAGCCACAUUGCCACGCCUAGGCUAAACCACCAUGGACAUUUUUCUUCAGCCAUUAAUGCAGCAUCACAAGAAGACCGAAUUUUGAUGCUGUGUCAUGCUAAAAUGGGACUUGUAAGGACAGUUAUUAGGUGGUACUCUAACAAAAUUGACAGGAUGAGGGGACCAGGUAACCAAUGGAACCAAACGAUCCCACGAGUCUCUAAAAAUAGAAGGUCUAAAUCCAACACCAAAAAAAUUUACAAGCUUAACUUCACUUUCACACGGUUUUUAUUAAAUUAAGGCUUAAUUUAUGGAAUUGUUUAAUACUACUAGGUAAGUGUCAGUAAAGAGAUUAAUAAAUUACUAGUUUCUAUGUUGUUUGUUUCUGAAAUUUAGCAUAGGAAGCAUCAAAAACUGCAAAGAGAAACAUGGUAUUAUUAUUAUUGUUGUUGUGUGUGGGUGUGUUGAAAUUAAAGAAGGCUUUGGUUAUUGAAAAAGGUGAUGAAGGGUAUGGAAAUGCUAGGUUCUGUGUGAGCAGUCAUGGUGCUUUGUAGCCGAAAAGUUGAAAAGGGAAAGACCUUGAUAGUAGUAACAUAAACAUGCACAUACCUUGAUAUCAUCGAUUUCAGAGGGUGAAACAGGGGGGCUAUCGGAACCACAGCUUUGAUUUCCGUUCAGAGGGCCACUACUGUGAGAGAGCCUCCCUGAGGUUCGUGGAGAAGAUACCUCCUGCUGAACAAUAAAACAAAGGUGGUGAUGUUUGAUGAACCAAUAUAAUCCUCUGUUUUUGAAAAACAGAGUAAAGGACAACAGAACAAGCAUGGUGACAGUAGAAUAAGGCCAAGGAAGAAGACAAAGGAAGCUAAAAACCAAAUCAGAAAACAAAAAUAGACAACAGAGAGUCCAUUUCAGGUGGUUUCCAUUUGCAGGAAAUGGAUUCAAUCUGACACAGAAAGCAACAAGAGUGAGUUCUUUUUUUUUUUUUUCUAUGGAUGCUCUGUUUUUGUUUUGGAAAUGGACUUACAGAUUGUGACAGGAUGCGUUCCAUGACCAUCUGAGAGGUCUCAGAGGAAGCAAAGGAAAAAGGGUGUCCGGAAACAGUGGCAGCUUCUUCAACUUCGCCGGCUACGUCCUCCUGUAUCGAAACGCCGCCGGUGACAUUUGGUGCCGCUUUGGAAGUUGCUGGAGACAGAGCCUUGGAGACCUCCAUAGCUGAGACGCUCCAUGAACGAGAGAGGAACUCCAUCGGCUCACGCGGUGUCUCCGGUGGCCGGAACAUGUGAAGUGGGUCGGGUCGCCAUGGUUCGGUUUGUGCCUUGUCCAUUUGGGUUUGAGAAAUGCAGAGAGAAACAGAGAAAGGUGAAGAGUUGAAAGAGUGAGAAAAUGGUGUCCAGUGAAAGUGUGGGGUGUGUGCUUUAUAGAGAGAGAGAGAGAGAGAGAGAGAGAGAGAGAGAGAGGGAAUGGAAAAAGCAGAGCAGAGGGCAGAGGGUGGAAUGAAUACAAGAGGGACAAAGCAGCCGAUCGUAAUGGUAUGGUGUGUCAGUCUCAGUCUUGAAAAAAGGUCAAAUAUUUUGCAUAAACUAAGAAACAAACAAAAUGUGAUGAAGUGAUGAACCAUAAAACACAAAAAGGAACAGAAUUAGAUGAUUUGAUUUUGAUGGUAAUCAUCAUAGUAUUACUAAUCACAAUCAACUUGAACCAGGCUGAAUAAUUCUCUAAUUGUGAUCUUAAAUUCUUAAUUUUUUAAAGGAAAAUAAAAUAGUAUUAAAUAGAAGUCAUUAUAUUGGCGUUCAUCCAAACUAAAUCAGGAUAGAUAGUUGCGUGUUGCGUUUCUGGUCAGAAAAUCAAUAACAUAGUUAUUGAUCGUCACUGUUAUGCGCAAACUAUGAAACAUCAAAUUCAAAACUAGAAACAAAACAUCAAUAGUCCUCAAUAAUUGUAGCUGAAUGGGAUCCCUAGGAUCUGGCUUCUUCCACCACUGAUAAAAUUGGUGGCAAUCUGUCUCAAAGUAAAUGGAAUCAAAACUCAAAUCGAUCGCCAAAGUCAUCACAUUACUUCGAGGUUAAUGAGUAUUUUCAACGAGCAAUAUUGAGAAAAAAUGACUUCCUGAUAAAUGUGAGAGAAGACAAAGCCAGUUAGGAAAAUCUAAAUUUUUAUUGUGAGUUAGUCAUCAGUGUUACAAUACAUAUGGUUUACAAAAAAAAUUACAUAUCUAACUAAUUACUGUUCUAGGAAUGGACAUUGAAGAGAGGCAUAGUACCUAGAGGUAGAGGGAUUGUGCCAAGAGAGAGUGAGAAUGAGAGAGAGUGCUGAAUUUCAAGUGUUCUUUCAUCAAAUGAGCCAAAAAAGUCCCCUCCAAUUGAUAACUACCUCCUAUUUAUAGAGCUUGGGUACUACCUAUUGGGCCAAUUGGGCCUCCGAGGUCAAGGCCCAACUGAAGGCCAGGGCCCCGCCUCAGGGCGGGAUACAUGCUGGGCGUUGCCCCUCUAGGGGCUCGCCCAGUCCACUUACUAAUGAUGAUGUUUCUUAACUAUGAAGGUGAUUCAUGAUCAUUCUCUUGUUGAUGUUGGUUUAUGUCUUGUUUAAGAAUUACUAUGACACUUGUUAAUUCAGGAAUCUGGAUCCUCUAUAUCAGAUUUUCCCUCAAUCUCUGAUGCGACAUUUUUUAGGGUAAGAUUUAUUCCAUGGUCCAAAAAUUUCCAGCCUUAAAAAAAAAUAGUCAAGAAAAACACACACAUGACACCACUGCCAAUGAAGCAUUUCGGGAAGGCUCGAAAAUGCUUUAACAACUGCCCGAAUGAACCUAUGAAUCCGAUGGGCAUGCAUGUUGUUUGUACAGUCGAAAUGAACCUCAUUGACUCAGUUAAAAAUUCAAUAUAAAGUACCGCAAAUUCUUGCAAAUCUACAUAUGUGGAUAAUUCUACAUAUAAUUGGCGCAAUUUUCUUUCAUUUUGCCUUUUUACAUAAUUUUUCACAGUCUUUCUUUGGGUCUAAUCCACAUGUAUGGAAAAUGAUUUAUUUAGAAAGAUUUACCCAUUUAAUGUGAUAUAGAAAUAAUUAGUCUUAUAGCUACCGACUGUGAGGAUACUUUGGUGCAACAAAAAAAUCCACAUGUAUCAUCCAAUGAAACAAUCAUGCUCAAGUCAAACAUGUCUACCAUAAACGGAAGGUUUGUUUAUCAAAUAUUUAACAUAAUUGCAUUCACAAAAACUCGAACUUAAUAUUUCUAUUCAAGUUAUUCAAUGUGCUUGGUGCAUGGGCGGACCCAUGUGUAGGCUGGGUGUUCCAGAUUUUGAGUUUUUUUUUUAAAUAUCGUAUAUAGCGGCGGUUCGGCAUCCGCUGCUAAAAGUUUUGUGUUAAUGUAUGGCGACGGUCGAAAGCGCCGGCAUAGCUUAAUAAGUAAAAAACCAAAAUUCACGCUUAACAUCAAAUUAGAACGCGGUUUUUCUUUCUUUCUUCCAUUGUUGCUUUUCGGCAUUCAUCAACUUAAAACCUUUUUCCCCAAAAAUAUAAAACCUAUCAAUCUUCACCUUCCUAAAUUUCUCAUCGCAUGGAGAACCCUGAUCACCGCACCAAUCAACCACAAUUCAAGAGGAAAUUCAAUUGAUUCAUUGUCUCUCAGGUAAAUCAACUUCGUAAUUCACCUUACUACGCUACACAGAAUUCAUGUUGGAUGAUCUUUUGCUAUUUCUAUAUUUUUAAUUUUCAAUUUUCAAAGAUUUUUUUUGGUUUAUGAACUUGUUGCACGCGUUGAGUUGGAUCGAUUUUUUUGGUGAGAAUUUUUGCUUGUGAACUCAGCAGAUCUGAGUUCUUUGAUGGAACCUUGUUGGGUUUGGAGCUACCCCCGUUUGUUUUUGCUGAUGGAUUUUCCUGUUUUGAUUGUUGAUUCGUGUCCGCAAAUUUUGGAAUGUUAAAUUAGCAGCAUUGUAAUGUUUUCUUCCAAAAAAAGUAAAAAUUGUUUUUUUUCUGCACAAAUUAGUCUUAACUUUUCAUGGUUGAAUAAACUUUUGUGCUUUUCAUGUGAGAUUAUAGCUACUUCUUGCUUACUACCUAAUAUAAUUUCUACUUUGUAUUUUAGCAUAAAAUUUCUUUUAUGUUUAACCACACCGAUAUAUAAUGUCUGGAUCCGUCCCUGGCUUGGUGGUAAAAAUGAAAGUAAUUAAUCGGCCACGAUCGAUGGACAAAUAUAAAUAAACAUGAGCCUUCAUAUAUUACAAUUUACACAUGUGUGUGUGGUCAAGGAUACCUUUCAAUAAGCAAGAGACUACUCCAUGAAUCUCUCAAUCCGAUUAUGACAAAACAAACCAAUAAUUUUUAUGAGCAAUAUAUUGAUAAUUAUGAACAGACUUACAGAGGAAUUGUUACUAUCAAAUUGCUGGAAAGAAUGCAAUGUGACUGCAGUCUGCAGCUUGAUAUUCAUUUCUGCAAGGUAUUUGAGGUUGAGCUCUUAUGUUGUACAAGUGUAGAUAGAAACAAGUCAAGUAUACACACAUGCUUAUGAACAAACAAAAUUAUAUGCACACACAUGCACUAUAAUCAGGGCCCAAACUAAGUAGUAGCAAAUUAAAAUGAUGCGGUUGCUUCCAAGAGACAUAUUUUCUUUAUUAAAAUAGUAUUUAAAUGUUUUUUUUCGUCCCAUAAUUCUCUAUAUAAUGCUUCUUCCAAAACUAUCCGAGGUAAAUAAUAGUGUUACCCAAAUUUAACAUAUAAGAGUUUUUUUUUUUUUUUUUUGCGGUUACAUUAAUAUAUAAGAGUUUGAUUAGACACAUGUUAAAAAAAUAUAAAAACUAAAAAAUAACGCAUUUCGGAUAAUAUAGUUUGGGCUCAUAGUCGAAACUUGAAGUGGCGGGUGAUCUGUAUCCAUCUGGAGAAUUUAAUGAAAUGGGCCAUUAAGUUUUGUGAGUAAACAUUCCAAAAGAGAGAAAAAAUUGAUAAUCAAUGAUUGGGACACAUAUAUAUAUAUAUAUGGUCACGGGGCCACCGUCUAUCAAAUUUCCCACAAAUUGCCAACUUCUCUAGAUUGAUUUGCCACAAAAAUAUUGGAGAGGAAAUUCAUCCUAAAAUAUAAUAAAGUUGAAAUGAUUUCAUGCAAUUUCGUCUCUUUAAGAUUAUUAAGUGUUUUAAUACUUGUAGGAUGGACACUCUCGCUAUCGCAAUAAAAGAAAGGUUUAAAUAUGCUUUGUAUCCUUGUAUUUAUGAGUUUUUGCUUUUAGUCCCUAAAAAAUUUAUUUAUAAUCUAUACUUCCUCAAUGUCUAAGGUUUAAUUCCCUCUCCAUUAAGUUGUAGGUAGAACAAACAUUUUUUCCUUGCUUCCAACCAAGUGAUGACUUGGAGAUUCAACUAAAAACAAGCAAAGUCAUCGAUUUAACUUAAACCGAUCAAACCAUGCUAAUUCUUACUAGUUUAAUUGAAUAACUGAUUUGAUGAGAGGUUUUGACUGGUUAGUUGAUUGAGUCUCGAUACAACUGAUUGAUUCAGAACACUAAAAGUCACUAUGUCCAUAAAACUCAUUAAAAGUCCUUGUAGAUCACUUAUGCUUACUUCCAGGAAGGCCAUGACUAGAUGGGAAAAUUCAAGGUGGGAAAGGAGAACACAUUUUCUAAGAGAAAUUAAUAAGUUGGUUUAUUUAAUGGGCCUUUACAAAUACAUGGACACAGUCACACAGACCGAUAUUCUAGCGAAGUUCUGAAGCAAUUAAUCUAUGUGAUUGGUGGUAAUCUAAUAGUAGUAUAAUCGUUUUUUUUUUUUCGGUGAGGUAGUAGUAUAAUCUAGUAACAUGUGCUAUAAAUUUUUCCAGCAAUCGUAUUUUAAUUUCUUUUUAUUGAAAUAUAUCGAUUGGUGAAGAUACCUACCAAUUAAUUAACAUUUAAUUUGUGGCAGUGACAGUGUUAGUUUUGUGUCUGAUAUAUCUCUCACUAUUUCUUUCAGAUCUUCGUUGUAAUCAAAAUCAGAAGUUCUCAGCAGCUAGCUCAGCUUGGGAGUGGUGCGCAUUGGCGUGCCUGGCUACGUCAUCAUCUUCCUCGUGUGAUUUUAACCUUCUCUUCCUUACACAUCUUAAAGCAGCACUGGACACUCUGCACUCACCUUUUUCUUUGUCUCCUUUUUUUUUAUAGUAUCAUUUUCUUUCAGUAAAAAUUGAAUAUUUCAAAAAACUUAUAAUGCUAUUGAAUUAUGUUUUAUUAACAUCUCCACCUUAUCCAAAUGGGAAGAAAAAUAAGAGAAAUGAAUAAUAUAAUUUGUGAUUUAACUGGAAAUGCUAAAAGAGAUGAAAGAAAAAUAUUUAAAAUAAGAUGAAAGAGAAAGUGAUAUGUAAAUAUAUCAUUACUCAAUGUUAUCCUUCUAAUAAAUUUGAAAGUUAUUAUAGUGAAAAUGAAACAAAUGAGGAAAAAUAUUUUGUGAUAUCAUGUGCAUGCAUGUAAGUCUCAAAAUAGAAAUAUAUUGAUAAUAUUUAGUAGUUUACAAAUAGUAAGAAUACUCAUACGUCUAAUACCUUAAAGUUUUGGGUGAAAAUAUGAAAUUUAAUCAACAUAUAAUUUACUCCUUAAUCUAAUAUAUGAAGAUAAUAUAGUUUUAAACAUCUCUUUAACCCAAUAGUAACAAUAUAACUGGUGGAAAUGGUGAAAUAACUGGAGAAUGUUUGCACUACUGUACUCUGUUCCUUUUAGUACUACCAACAUUUUUGGGACUUACACCAGAUAUAAAUGUGCUAACUCAAAUAAAUUUGGCCACUUGUCAACUACUAUUAGUAAUGUAUUGCAAUUUCCAACCUUGUCCGGGGGAAAAAACUCCACUUUUUCUAUGGCUACGCAUUGUAAUUCCCUUCACCUUUACAUGAUGUUGAAUCUCAUGAAAAUUUGAUAGAUUAGUUUGUGCAACAACUGAAAGCUUAAAAGAAAAACUUUUUUAAAAACAUGAAGAAGCUUUGGUAAAAUUGUCUAUGAAAUUGAAAACGCCUUUACAAUUAUUUUAUAUAUCACUUUCUCAUAAACUUGUUCUACCUUAAUGAAAGUUCUUAGCUAGAGGCAGAGAGGAACAAACUAAUUAAGAAAGAGCAUUUGAGAGUGAGCACCUUAUGUAGUGUUGUAUGUAGAAUUUGGGAUCAGCUUAACUUUCCCAUAAAACUACUUAGAUUGAGGAUUAUUGUACUACUUUUUAUAAGACUUAUCUUAACGAUGUCUCUAGUUCAUAUGAAAUUUAACAGGAACAAAACAGUUUUCUCUCAUGAGAAACACAACAGUGAUUAAUUUGGGGCUGGAAUUUUGUUCCUUUUGGGUUCCACCCGGGAAUUUUGCAUGCAUACACGGACUGACACACAAAGACAGAGUUACAGGAUUUGAGUCCCUUUGCUGUUCUAUGAACACAAAAAAGUACCAUGAUUGAGUCCAGGACCAAUUAAGCGGAAUAGGAAUAAAGACCAACAAAAAUUUGCACCAAAAUGGAGUGCCAGUAAAUUAUCAACACCUACUACAAGCAGUUACACAUUUACAUGUAACACAACAGUAACUGAGUCAGAGGAGCUUCAUGAUCAUAGCCAGGAUAUGAAACUCAUUGAAUGUUGUGGGUGAUACCUAGGUUGGCCCCAUGAGACAAGGACCUCGUUUUCUUCCCUCAACCGAGUGGAUCAUGAAGUUUUUAAGGUUCAAACCAGAGAAAUCACUUGUGCACCAUGAUCCUUCUUAACAAUUUCAUAGGGCUUAUUUGAAUUUCUGAAGAUUGUUUAUUAUUAAUAAGGAUUAUUUUGAUCAUACUCUAAUCAAUAAUGUGAGAUUUCUAAGACUAACACAUUUCACUAAGUCAAUUGCUAAAAGAACUAAAACGUGUAAUUUGCACGACUAAACAUUAACUAAAUAACCUAUAUUUAAGAGGUAUUUAACAAACGAACUUAAGAUAAGUUAUGAUAUUAUAUUAGAAUUUGAAACUAGUUAUUCUAUCCAAUAGCUAUUUUAGCUAUAUCUUUACUCAAUCCGUACAAUUUUGAAAUUAUGAGUUUGAGCCCUGAAGUGACUUUCCGUGCAUAUUGUUCAAUUAGUUAAAUGUCAUCUGCUCAUAAGUCAAAACCGUACGUAGCACAUAGCGUUUUUCAUUAUUGUAUCUCCUUGAUCACAACUUUGAUUAUGCAGCAAAUUCACGCUACAAGGUUCUUCUCUUUUCCUUCCUGGGGUUGUAUAUGUUCUUUUUUGGGUGGGUCAGCGAAGCAAUUAAUUUGAAACAUAUUAUGGUGCGUAAGUUGAAGGACGAGGACUCAAUAGGUGCCAUAAUGAGAUACGACAAGGCUGCAUCAUGAGAAAGCGAGAGAUACAGUAUAUAGAUGGACGGCUCUCCAGCAAUUAUAUUAUAUAUCAAUAACAAAGGAAAUCAAUAUAGGCAAUGGGGUACACUGUGUUUUUCAUUUUCACUCUAUGAAAAAACCUCAUUUCCAAAAGGUUGCACUUCGUUUAUAGCACUUGAAGUCAGUUUUAGUAAAGAGAAUUAGAGCUUUAUAAGAAUUAAUCACGAUAUAUGUGAUGAUUGUGAUCUAUGAACCCCAAGUAUGAGCAUAGCAACUAGCUAGCUAGAUUACUAAAUGCAAAAGCAAGUAUUAUUAAAGUUUGUUUGCAGUAAUUAUCAACAAAAAAUUUUGUUUGCAGUGAUCCUAACAAAUACCUAAAUAUAACAGACUAAAUAUUAGCAUGCCACUUAAUAAUAAUCAUUUAAAAUCAAUUAUAUGAUUUUUACUCAACCGUCCUUACAUAUAGAUCAUCAACUAAUAUAGCUUUUACAUCAAUAGUAAUAAUCGAACACAAAAUCUUUAUCAGACUAUUUUUUUUAUAUUAACUUUAUAUUGCAUUGGACAUUUUUUAUUAUUUUUUAAUAUACACCGAGUCAAGCAAUCGAACCAGUGACCCACUGGUCCGACCAGUGACUCAGUACCCUGACCGAGUCAAUGACCGAGCCGAGUUUUAAAACACUGUAUCAGAGAAUUGAUUUGUCCAACUAAAGAAAUGUUUGAUGUAGUGCACUCAAUUAAUUUUUUUAUAGACAAAUUUUAAUUGUUAGUAAAUUAUUACAAAUUAUCUCUUCUAAUUAGAAUUCAAAUUCAAGCCUAUCACUUGCAAUUAUCUUUAUCUUAAUGAUGUACCAACCCACCCCACCCGAGUGCACUCAAUUGAUAACAAAUGAUUCGAUACAAGUUUUCUAAAGUCAUUAAUUAAUUGAUGUGAAGUAAAGUAUAAUAACUGAGGCACGUACUAGGUGUAUUAUGGUAACCUAGGAUUAGUCUUCAAUAAAACUUAUCUGAUUAAUGAAUACAUUGUUUCAUCUGUAACGGCGGCGGGCCUGUACUCCACGUGUAUGCAUUUUCUUUUGAUUUAUUAGCCCAUGUUUGGUUUAUCAUUUGAUCCCACUUCAAAUAUCCGUUUGUCGGUCUCUUCUCAUUUUCUUUUUGGUGCAUAGUCUCUUCUCAUAUCAACAUUGAUGAGUAUAUAACUUCACGUAAUUAUCUUUUUACCCACACUACUUGAUGUGUAUACGAUUAUGGAGUGAGGCCUUUUUUGUAAAGUCAAUUUUCAAAGAGGUAUUGAGUGGGUUUGUUUUGGCAAUAGUUGGGUCUUUGUUUUUGUACAUGUUUCUUUUAGCUUUUCCUCCACCUUUACACUUUUCUAUUUGUAUUGAGUUUGAAGUACCCUUUGUCUUUCUCUUUAAUAUAAUUCUUAUUGCCUAUCAAAAACGAUUAUGUAGUGAAAGGAAAACAAAUUGAUGAGACAACUACAUCCGAAUCACUUAAAAAGUGUUAAGUCUUGAGGUCGAGAAUGAAAAAUAACAAUGAUGGUAAUUCUUCAAGUUAGAAUGGUGCCUCCCCCAGUUGGGGAAAUGCUUCUUUGUUAUCAAACCACGUUGGGUGGACCCAUGAAAUGACACUCUUACAUGCAAAGAAUGUGGGUGUGUACUACGGAGUCCAUCUCUUAAAUGAAUAUAGGAUUUUAAGACUAUGAGACUGGGAUUGGAGGUUGGCUUCAUCAUGGAUACGAAGUACAACAACAAAGGAGGGUCGUUGGACCUUUUAACACAUCGUUUAAUCGAGCAGGGAAGGGAAAGCUUGGAUAUUAUAGCAAGACUUUUGAGCAUCGUGCUCGUAGUUUGAGAAGAGAGUCGCAGACUUUAGAUGAGACGUGGUAGAUGAAAGCAUGCCAACUUGUGUCCUAGGUUGAGAUGAAGGACUAUGGAUGUGGAACAGUAAUCGGUCAUGGAUAUGUAAUCGGUUGUGUGGACGCCAUGUAGUCGGUCGUCGUGGUGACGCAAUCAGUUGUGGAAAUGCAAUUGGUUAUGGAGACGCCAUUUAACUCAUCAGAUUGAGUGACACAAUUCGUUGUGAUGAAGCCAGUCUUGGAAAAGCAAUCAGUUACCAACCUUAUGCCAAUUAGUAUUUGUAGACGAGGCCUUUUGUGGUGAUUUCUUGAGGGGUUACAACGUGAGUGA